AGCCGCUCUGUGACACUGAUAAAGAAAUGGACCUUGGGUCUAAAUCAACCUCAAAAGCUAGCUCAAGAGGGGAGGAUUGCCCAAGACCAUAUAAGGAGACCAAGGACCCUUUAAACCCACCAAUGCGGGACUCCAACACCCCCCGCAUGCCCAGGACUGGACAUUUGGAGCGUGGACAAUAUAAGGCGGGGGGCCCAACAUCGGAAACAAUGAACUGGGUGGGCCUGGCUCUGAUACCAUGAUAAUAAAAUGGACCUUGGGCCUAACUCAACCUGAAAAGCUAGCUCAAGAGGGGAGGAUUGCCCAAGACCAUAAAAGGAGACCAAGGACCCUUUAAACCCACCGAUGUAGGACUCCAACACUCCCCGCAUGCCCUAGGCUGGACAUUUGGAGUGUGGAAAAUAUAAGACAGGGCACCCUACAUCAGAAACAAUGAACUGGGUGAGCCUGGCUUUGAUACCAUGAUAAAGAAAUGGACCUUGGGCCUAACUCAACCUCAAAAGCAAGCUCAAGAGGAGAGGAUUGCCCAAGACCAUAUAAGGAAACCAAGGACCCUUUAAACCCAUUGAUAUGGGACUCCAACUGAUUAACAACACUGAUGGACCUUAGGUCUAGCUCAACCCAGAAGCUAGCUGAAGAGGAGAGGAUUGACGGAGAUCAUAUAAAGAGGCCAAAUGCUCCUUAAAGCUGAUAAAGACUAAUAAAUUACCUGACCGGCUUCAAGCAAUGUGUGACUUCCAAGGAGAUGUGAUCUCUUUCGUAUUGUAACAUAUUUUUGAGUUGAUAGAAUUUUUAGUAAUAUUACUCAGUUGGGCAUUACUAAAUUUUUGAGUUCACGAGCUCACAAUGGUUAACACGAUCACACACUCAUUUUAUUUGGUAACGUUAUUUAUUAAAUGAAUGGAGAUGUGCAUUUAUAUGGUGAUUCUCUUGUUUUAGUUUUGAAAACAAUUACUAAUAAAGAUUGAAGUUCAAGGAUUUCAUCAUAGUUCUUACUGUUGAAAUUUUAAUUACUAUGUUUUAGCAUUAUUCUCUAGCUUUCAAGGAGAUGUAAUUUAUCUAUAUUUUAAAUAAGGGGCAUCUAUUUCUCGACUGCUUCAAACUGUUUAUCUUUAGCAAAGGGUCUAUCGUUAACAUCGUCUCUACCUCUGACAUAACGAUAAGGUUUUGCGUAUACUCUAUCCAGAUCCCACUAUUUGUAUAAAGCACAACAUUUUUUUCAAAGUGCAUCUUGUUUUUUGCAGAGAUUAAGGACCAUUUAUGUUCAACAUUAUAUUAUAGGGACCUAAGUGAACCUAUUAUGUAAAGUUAAGGGACUGUUUGGGCUGAUAAAUUCUUCAGAUAUCGUUUCAGCCACUCAAAUGUUAUCUUGUUUAGGUACUGUGUAUCUUUUGUUCUUUACACAUUUGUUUAUUGUAACUCAUAAUGUUGUCAUUUCUUCUAUCCUUUUCUCAAAUAUUUCUUGCAGUGAUUUUGAAGCUGUCUGAUCUGCCAUUGAAAGGUUAGUUUCCAUUAAUUAUUCUCUCAUUUUAUUAAAGUUUUAGAGCAAAAACAAUACUUGUAGUGGCUUGUCAAUGUGUAACUUAGCUCUUUGUACUAUGUAUAGUUAUGUUGCUCGAAAUCCUCAAAAAUAACAUUGAUUACGUGUUGGAUCCUUCAAAAGUUGUGCAUUUUUGUAAGGACCUGACACGGGUGUGCCAACUUUUUAAAAGAGUUCCAGCAACGUAGAAAACAAUACCUAAGUAAGUGAAGCGGAGUUUUGAACCACAAUCUAUUUUGCGUACUGAAAGUUAAAUUAUUUUUACGCGUUAAAUGAGCUAAAGCUACUGAGUUUGGGACUUUACUCACUGUUACUGUUACCUGAUCUUAUUUAGUUUAUGCGUUCCUUUUGAUCUGCGUAUCUCGUUAUUUGUAAUACCAUUGAUCUCUUGCAACCCUGCAGCUUUCAGGUCAUAAUCACAUAGGACAAAAACGAGAAUACAGUAGAUAUGGCUCAUGCAAGUGUGGCUUCUCUUAUGCGAACAAUAGAAUCGCUCGACAUCCAAUUCGCGAUGCAAUAUCUAAUCUGUGAUCACAGAGAAGAACUUUGUGCUCUUCGUGAAAGAGUUAGUUCCCUGGAAGUAUUUCUCAAGAACUUUGAGAGAGAAUGUUUUUGGAGAAAUGAAGGAUUUUGUAGUAGAGGUAAAAGUAGUUGCAAGUGCUGUUGAAUACACAAUUCAACUGAGACUAACAGAUACUGUUCUGGGAGAAAAUAAAUGCAUCAUAGGAAUCAUUGGCUCAAGAUUUUUCAAAGGAAUCUCGAAUAUAUGGACACGCCAAAAGUUUCGUAAAAGCCUUCAACAAUCGGCAAAGGACAUUGAUCAUGUCUGAAAAGAGUCAACAAAGGUUCAAGAUAAAGGCAAACAAGUAUCAAAGGAAUCAUUGGUUCAAGAUUUUUCAAGUUCAACAAACAAUAUUCUGAAUGUUAACAAUAAUAUGGUUGGACGUGAUGAUCAAAAGGAACGCUUGUUAGAAGUCUGACUACAAACUACUCUGGUGAACCAAAAGUCAUUCCGAUUGUCGGGAUGGGAGGCAUAGGUAAAACAACCUUAACGAAAGAAGUUUACAAUCAUGGAUCAAUUAUAUGUCGUUUUGAUGUUCAUGCCUGGGCAACUGUAUCUCAACAGCACAACAGAAAGGAAGUUUUGCUGGGCCUUCUGCGAUCGACGAUCAACAUGGAUGACGCAGUUAAGACGAGAGGUGAAGCAGAGCUAGCAGACAUGCUGCAGAAAAGUUUAAAGAGAAAGAGGUACUUAAUUGUCUUGGAUGAUAUCUACAGUUGUGAAGUGUGGGAUGGUGUGAGACAAUGCUUUCCAACUGAAGACAAUGCAGGGAGUCGAAUAUUCUUGACUACACGAAUCAAUGAAGUAGCUUGUUAUGCUGGCACGGAGAAUCUUUCUUUGCAGAUGAACUUCAUGGAUCAAGAUGAGAGUUGGAACCUUUUUAGAAGUGUGGCAUUUUCAAAUGAAGCAUUGUCAUCUGAGUUUGAGACUAUUGGGAAGAAAAUUGCAGGGAAAUUUCACGGGUUAUCACUAACUAUUGCCGUGGUUGCUGGGCUUCUCAAAUCUAAAAGGGCAAUAGAAGAUUAGGGAAGUUUUGCCAAAGAUGUCACGUCAUUCAUCACAAAUGAUCCUGAUGAACAAUGUUCACAUGUGCUUGGGUUGAAUUACAAUCACUUGACUAGCAAUCUAAAAACGUGUCUUCUGCAUUUCGGAAUUUUUCCAGAAGACGGUGAGAUACCAGCGAAGAAAUUGAUGAGAACAUGGAUGGCUGAGGGGUUCCUAAAGUUGGAAAAUGAUUUGGAAGGAGAGGCUGAGAAGUGUUUGCAAGAGCUUGUCGAUAGAUGUCUAGUCCUCGUCUGCAAGAAAAGUCUAGAUGGAACAAAAAUUAGAUCAUGUAAGGUUCAUGAUCUAAUAUAUGACCUCUGCGUGAGAGAAAUUCAAAGGGAGAACAUUUGAGAACAUUUUUAUCAUGUAUGACAUUGUGCUUGACGAAUCAGAUUCAGAAUGGCGAUAUCUCAUUGUGCAUAAAAUGCAGCCCUUUAAGCACGUGACUGGUGAUGAAAUUGAUUAUUGUCCCUAUGUUCUUUAUAGGGUUCUUCUUACCCCUGUACAUCGUCAGUUGAGAGAUCAUGACAACAACGAUCUCUUGAAACGAACCCGUUCUAUUUUCUCUUUUCAUCUUAAGGAUUCAUUUUUAUCUCGUGGUCACAAAUCAGAGCUUAUUCAUUUCAAAUUACUCAAAAGUCUUGGACUUGAGACAGAAGAUUGAUAAUUUUCCUCUACAGGUACUAAGCCUCAUCUGGUUGAGGUACUUAUCAUUGUUCUGCCAUAAGAAUUUAAACAUACCUCCAGAAAUUUGCAGGUUAUGGAAUCUGCAGACAUUCAUUGUUCAAGGGCCUUGUCAAUUAGUUGAAAUAACUUUUCCUGAGGAAAUUUGGUGACUAAUGCAAUUAAGGCAUCUCAAACUGCCCAGAUUUUAUUUGCCAGAUUGCCCAAGUGGAUCUGUUGACAAAGGGAGACAACUGGAUUUUUCAAACUUACAAACUAUUUCUUACUUGUCUUCGGGUUGUUGCACGAAGGAGGUUAUUAUGGGGAUUCAGAAUGUCAAAGAAUUAGGAAUCAGUAGAUAUGAGAUUGACUCUAACGGGCUUCUCAACAAUCUUAUUUAUCUGCAGCAACUUGAAACAUUGAGUCUUACAUAUUGUUUUAGUCGAUUGUUCCCAGCAAUGCUCAAGACGCUGAAAUUGGAAAGAACUUAUCUAAGCUGGUCGUACUUGGACAUCAUAGCUGCAUUGCCUAACCUUGAGGUGCUGAAGCUGAUCGAUGAUGCUUGUGAUGGCGAAGAAUGGCAUCCUAGUGUUAGGGGAUUUAAUAAAUUGAAGCUUUUGCUAAUUGAAUUUAAUGAUCUCAAGUACUGGAAAGCCACAAAUGAUAAUUUUCAUGUCCUUGAGCGCCUCAUGAUUAGAAGUUGCCCUCAUUUGAAAGAGGUACCCAUUGAGUUUGCAGAUAUUAACACACUACAACUGAUUCAGUUAAAAUGGUGUCUUCCUGAACUUAGGAAAUCUGCUGCACGAAUUCAGAAAGAACAAGAAGUCCUCGGAAACAACCCUGUGGAUGUUUCUUUCUCCGAUCCAUGUAAGUAUAUAUUUAUCAAGGUUAUACUCUGUUUCUCAUUUCCACAAGUAAAAUCAUACACAACAGUUAUUUAGCUUUUCCCCAUAGUCUUUCCCAAAAAUAACUUUAACAUAAUUUGGUUAAAACCCUACUUAAAAUGUAAGAGAAAUUAACAAGAAUAUCUCUUAUAUUUGAGGGUAGUUCAAAAUGUCCCCUUAAAUAUAUUUUUGAUCAAUUUUGGUAAUUUAGUUUAAGCUUGCUAAAUCUGAGCACAUUUGAUCUAAUUGUUACUACCUCCAUCUAUCAAUAGUUGUCCACUAUUAACUUGACGCAUAAGUUAAGAAGUAGUAAAUGAUAGGGCUAGUUUUGCCAUAUUACCCUUUGAAUCCAAUAAAUCUAAUGCUUUGAAAAAUACAUUGGAUAAUGAAUCGUAUUUAAUGCUAAUGGUAAAAUGGGUAAUAUAUCCACUGGUUUCAAAAUGGACAAGUAUUAUUGACAUUUAUUUUUGACAUAGUGGAGUAAAUUUUACAGAAUUGUGAAAAAGAAAAUUUAAUAUGAACUCACAUUUCAAGGUGUUAUCUUGGCAUUUUUAUUUUCUUGUUUGUUGCGGAAUUUGGUGUAGCUUGUUUCGCUUCAUAACAUUGAUCUCUUUGUAAGAAUUCCUCUAACAUAUAUACCACUUGUGUUGUUUUGGAGGCUUCCUCUUUGAGUUUUAAAAGAUAUAUGUUACUUUCAAGAUUAGUGUUAGAAAUCUUGUAUAAGUACAUAAAUAAUUCAGGGAUAUCUAUGUAUAGUGGUCUUCUAGUAUCUUUUUAAAAAAUAUAUAAUGAUGUACUCAUGAUCUAAAUAUUCUUGAUAUAUCUCUACUUUAAUUGACAUGAUUUGAUCGUAAAUGGGAGAUUUUAUAUUUCUAAUUUAUGUUGCUUUGUUAUAGUAUUACACAGAAGAGUGAGAAGGCUUGAGCAGCUUUUGGAAAAAAGAAAACAAGGAGAGGACGAGCAACAAGAGCAUUUAAUAAUGGGAGUUUGAUUCGAUAAAUUUAUGUUGUAAUGUCUUUUAGCAUAUUGUGGGAACUGGAUGAUGAUUUACUUUAGACUUUAGUUUCUAGAUUUCAUAUUUAUUUUUUAUGUUUGACGGUAUACUCUUUGGGAUCAACUCAAUGAUAUUCGAUAGAAGUAAUAGAGCAGCUCGUGUUCUUGAAUUGAUUUUUGUGGUCUAUUUAUUCGAAAGAAGAAUUUAACGAAAAGGUAUAAGUUCCCUCAACCUAUGACCGAAAUUCCAAGGACACAGUUCGUUUUUGGAGGCAGAAAUAUAUAUAGUUCUCUUACUUAAUAGGUUGAUUGAAAGAGACACUUAAAAAUAAAUUUACGAACUGGAAUCUGCAAAGAUUCAUCGUUCGAGGGAGUUACCUAAAUAUCUGUAAGUGAACAUACUAUCCAAAGUUGUGUUGUCAGAUCCUUCAAAAGUUGUGCAUUUUUUUGAGGAUUAGACACGGGUGUGACAACCUUUUUAAAGAGUUCCCUCAACAUAGAUAUAUAGUACAAGUCUGUAUUUAGGAUAGAUCCAAACAUCAUCCUAAGAAAACUUUACUAAGCAAGCAAAGCGGAGCUAGGAUUUUUAGUCUAUGAGUUCUAAACCGUAAUCUUUUUUUGUGAGUUAAAUAUUUUCACACACUAUAUAAGAUAAAGCUACUGAGUUUUGCUGAAUACACUGAAUCCCUUCCUCGAGAAGGAGUGAACCUGACCACUUCAUGCCUAAGGUUAUACUGAUCUACGAACCACCCUUCUUUUUGAUUUGUCCUUCCUGAUCUCUCUUAAGCCUUUCAACAAUAGUUUAGGUAGCAUUAAGGCUGGUUCUGUCCCUGUCAGUAAGGACCAUUUAGCACUGGCAUAGCAACUGCAGAGAUACCAAACUCCCCAAGAACACAACAACACAAACACCAAAAUCAGUCCACUAGUUCAAGAACUAUGGACCCUUUUGAUGACCUGUCUCGGAUUCGCAAGAAGAACAAGAAGGGAAGUGAUAUCAAGAGUAAAACACACUAAAUCAGCAACAACACUUGAUGAACAAGAUGCAAUAACAACAAAACAUGGUUACAAGACAAGAACCGAUUACAAAAAAGUAAAGAUAGAUAGAUAGACAAAGGGAUUGUAUAAUAUUAACAAACCAAAAGCUGCUUCCACUUUUGGACCUUUAAUAUCACACACAACCUAAACCUAUCUCUUACGUGACCUCAAGGGAACCGGAAUUCCCAAGCAAUCUCCGUUUCUAAGCAAAUGAUCAACACAAGGAUUCCACCUUGUCCAAGGAUUCUACCUUGCUAAAGACUCUCAAAGAUGCUACAAAAUAUAUUCUCCAAAAAUGACCUAAUGAGGUUCUAUUUAUACCUAGGUUAACUUAUUACAAAUGACUAAAAAACCCUUGCAAAGGGUGAAUGAAUAGUGAAUGCGGAUGAACAGUGAAUAGUUUUGGAGCUUGUGGGACUUGUUCUCUACACUUCAAAGCUUAUUCCUUGGAUGGGUAGCCCCCCGAGCUCGAGUUUUGACGCAUUGGACCCCGAUCAUGAUCGUACCGGUGUCAUGCAGAAUGCAAUGCUACUCGUUAGCCGCUCUGCGAUAGUGAUUAACAAGAACUAGUAUACAUACCCAUGUUGUUGGGACCACGUGCAACUUCACCCAAACUCUGCACUAGUAUGAUAUUGUCUGCUUUGGGUCAAGCCCUCACGGAUUUGUUUUUGGACACCUCCCAAAAGGCCUCAUACUAGUGGAGUUAGGUGACACUUUAAAUAUUGGAAAUAUUCUCUCUAUUUUUUCGAUGUGGGAUUGUGUUUGCUGCUCAACAAUCCCCCCCUCAAACCAAGACCACAUCACUUGUGACCUCCCCACACCGCCACUACCAACCAGUGGGACACGCUGCUUGACCAUCACUUGUCAGACAAGAAGACUUUUGACACGAGGCAUCAACCAUAGAUCUCAACUACUAGGUCACUUCACAUGAUCUGCCAAGCAUCCUGUACCGUCGUUAUUACCCAACGGGACACGCCGCCUGGCCACCACUCCAGGAAGACUUUUGACACAAGGAACAACCUGCAGAUCUCCAGUCUUAUCAUUAAACCGAGAACUUCUCACCAACCACAGUCCACCACUCCGACACACCCGAACCUGGUCUCUGAUACCACUUGUUGGGACCGCGUGUAACUCGGCACUAGUAAGAUAUUGUCCGCUUUGGGCCAAGCCCUCAUGGAUUUAUUUUUGGAAACCUCCCAAAAGGCAUCAUACUUGCCUCCAUCAUUCAAAUCGACAAUCAAAUGGAUGUUCAGAAGUGAUGUGGUCUUGGUUUGAGGGGGAUUGUUGAGAAGCAAACACAAUCCCACAUCGAAAAAAUAGAGGGAACAUGUCCAAUAUUUAAAGUGUCACCCAACUCUACUAGUAUGAGGCCUUUUGGGAGGUGCCCAACAACAAAUCCGUGAGGGCUUGGCCCAAAGCAGACAAUAUCAUACUAGUGCGGAGUUACACACGGUCCCAACAUGUGCGAUGCAUGGAGAUUUUUAAAAAAUGUUUAAUUAUUGAACGCAUCACAUCAUUUUGAUCUUAUAAAAGUAUAAUUAUCACCUAGUGUCUAGUGGAAUGUAUUACACAGUGAGGGGUUUACCUAGUGCUCACCAGUAGGGCAGAAGCUGUGACAGAGGUUACAACGGCUGCAGAUUAUCAUGGGUUUCAAAAAACAAACUCAAAUACAUUUUGGUAAAAACACAUACUAUAAUUAUACAUUUUUUAUUAUAGUAAAAAAUACACCUAAAUAAUCCUCUCUUUUGAGUUUCACACCCAAACUAUUGAGAUUAUGAGAAAUACACCUAAUCUAUCACACUAAUUUGAGAAAUAUCUUGAAUAGUAGAUGCACUCUAUGAGGUAGUGUAACAAAUAAUAACCGUUGAAGGAGAAACAACAAAACAUGCAUGAGUGAGCAACUCUCUGUGAUAAUCUUUUAGCCCCAUUUUCUACCACUUAAAGUUGUAUUAUAACCUUUAGUCCUCCCCGUUGCCUCCCCCAAGAGAUCCUGAUUCUUAGAAAUCUUGUUAAUAGAUCUCUUUUUGAAGCCAACGUUUCUAUCAACCUUUCCGUUAUCAUCAGAGACCUCACAAAAGUGGCCUUUAGCUUUUUGUGACUUGCAUGACUUCACCCCUGCAAAAUUUAGUACUAUAUGAUAAACAUGUCCAAUAAAUAUAAUGUCCAUUCUAGUAACAUUUUAGAAACUAAUUCAGAAAAACUGAAAGACCUUAGUACACAGAAACAACUUUCUUAGAGAUAUUAAUACAAUUAAUAAUUGAUGAUGGAGGAACAACUAAAGAGACAUUAGUGAGCAACUCUCUGCACAAUUUUUGGUCUAGUUUCCUUCUUUUUGAAAUUGAAGUUGCAUUGUCACCUUCAGUGUUCUCCGUUUCCUCUCACAAGAGAUGUGUUUACCUUGAAUUAAUAGUUUUCUUUUGCGAGUCAACGUCUCCGUUAGGGAGAGGCUUCGGUGAAGAUCCCGAAUUUAUUUUGAUCAUUUUUUCCUGUUUUACUAAGUUUAUUUCCCUACUAUUGUAGGUACCUUAGGAAAAUCAUCCAUGCGUUUGCCUAAUGCUACUGGAGAUUUAUCAUGUGUCUUAUCAUCCACUUUGUUUUUUGUAACCUGGCAAAGCAAAAGUAGCAUUCAGAAGAGUUUAACUCUUUAUGUUGAGGAAAUUGAACUCUAAAUAGAGGGAAAACUUAACUCUCUCAAAUGAGGAAUGAGGAAUAAAAUUCAACUCCGUGAGGUGAGGGAAAAAUAUCAACUCAUAUACCUAACAACACUUGAGAUAUCGAACAGUUGCACAUAACUGAAAAAUCCUCUGCUUUAAUGCAUCUCCUCGUAGAAGAUGACGUUGUAAAAAAAAAAUUAAGUCAUAAUAAGCUAUGUUGCUUGGACUCAUCAAAAAUGCCAAUGAAUGCAUGUCGAAUUCGCCAAAAUUAGUGUUUUUUGAAGAAUCCUACAUGGGUGUGGCAUCAAAAUAAAGAGUCCACACAACUAAGAUAAUAAGAAAGCUUUUCAACUCUCUCAAUGCCUUCUCAAGUACCAUAUGUCGAAUUUUAGAAAUUUGCACAGGAAUAGUUUCUCAUUCAGGUGAUUGAAAAUCAAAGGCAGGCCUCUUCGUUUCAUAUUCAUCACCACCACCCCACAAUUUCCUACAACCACCGAUCAAAUCUUUUUUACUCCAAAGAUGUGACGCUUUUAAGGAAAAACAUCAGAUUCAAUCCUUAAAUUUAAAAAUGACGAUGAUAUUCUAUGCCUUUUCACUUGUGAGAAUACUUCACGAAUUUCUGAAUUUACUUGUCAUUGUUUCAUGUAAGUAUUAAAGUCAGAUGCAAAAAAUAGCACAACUGUAUCUAAAGAUACAUUAAGAUUAUCAAAAAGUAUAUCAUCUGUUAGAAGUAAUUUUUUGAAAGUGAAAAUGUUUUGAAGUAAAGCGGCUGAAAAAUACUUACACUUGUCACCCUCGUGAUCUUUCAAUUUUCAGCUUUCAACACAAUAAAUAGUGUGGCCAAAAGCUCUUGAUUAAGGGAUAAAUAGGCCAUCAUUUUCUCAAACAAACAAAAUGCUUUGUCGCACGAUGGUACUCAUUUUAGCAAAUACAACUUGAUAGAUCAAUUACAGUAAAAAUUAGUCAAGAAGCCAUAACCUUAUGCAACUUCAAAACUAAAUAAAACCAAGUCUAAUAUGAAAAAGUACGUAUGCAUGUAAUCUUGUAAUCAAAAGAGCAUUCAAGAGGUGUUGUGAAAGGUGCGCUUAAGGCUUGAAGCGAGGCACAGAACAUAUUGAGAUCUUUGUCUGUCUUGGUGAUUGAACUCCAAUUCUUAAUUGUAAUACAAAAUACUCAUAUUCAAGUGCUUAAAAUUGAAAAUUAAUAGUUAAAAAGAGCUAUCAAGGUCUAAAUAGUUGACCUAUCCAAAUAUAUUUUCAACUUUUAUCAUUUCAAUUGCAUUCACUAAUAAUAUUCAAUGUCUCUAUAUAGAUGGGAAGUAAUAGCUCCAAAAUCAGGCAUUAAUCUUGUAAAUUGGAUGAUCCAUUACAAUAUUAUCAAAGAAAAUCAUUUUCCAGAAUCAGGUUCUAUGUGUGGUCAGAUAAUUUCAAGACAAUUUUUUGACAAACAAAUCUGUGAAAUACAAAAUGCUUUAAAGAUCCUCCUAAAACAUAGACAAAAAUUAAUCAAUGCCACCUUUUAUGUUGUAUGAAUUUGUUGAACAUGUUUCAUCUUUUCUUAAAUCCAAAUAUAUUUGUAUUAAUAUAAGUGAAUUGAUAUUCAUCAAAAGUUUACUGUACUUAAAAAUGAUAUAACAUAGUUCAUAUGUUUCUUGUGGGUUUUAUUCCACUCAUUACACACACCUAGAGCGCAUUGCAUAGUAAUAAUGGCAACAUCUGCUAGCAUUGAGGGUGGAGUUGGAAGUAGAUUAAUCAACAACCCUUCAAUGGGAGCCAAUGUGCAUGACUGGACAGUAAACCAAAUUAGAGAACUUAUAUACGACCAAGAAAGCUAUAACAGUAAACAAUUACUACAAUAAUUUGAACUUGAACACUUUGAACAAACUCAAAUGAAGAUAUAACUACACUAAGAAACUAUAGCAGAUAUCCAUUUUUGAAUAUUAUUUGUGAAGCUUAUUUCCAAGAUGGUUUAUCAUACAAAGUGUCUCUUUCCUCAUUAUACAUAAUUGUAAAUUUACAUUGAUAUCUAACCAUUAAUAUCUAUAAAAUGGGACAAACACAUGAAGACCCUCGGCAUAUGCCACCACUCCACCUUUGUCUGCAGUAACAACUUGCGGUAUCAUUCAGCGCUAAAUAAUUUAGACCAUAUGAUUAAAUACAUAUGCAUAUUAUGUGAGAUUUCAGCAAUAAAAUAUGAUUCUUUGAGAAAACACUUACUCAAAGAUAGUAGACUUCAUAGUUCACUGUUUUACAACUCUAACCUUUUCAACAAUUGUUGGAAACUCAGCCUGCAAAGUACACGUAUCCUCAUAUCACUUAGUUGAGAAACCCCUAUACUUGAUGCUCUAUUUAGAGUUGUUGCUUCUAUACCGCAGGUAAAUAUUGAUAGGAUCACCUAACUUGUCACUCGUAAAAGCUAUUGUGAAGUUGGACAACAAAAACCUCUUGACUUUUAGUCAAAAGGCACUUGUAAAUAAAGAGGUAUCAAGUGUGUGAUGAAUUUCAAAGGAAUAAGUUAAAAUUUGAAGGGGUCUUCUUGGGAAGAGUGUGUUCUAAUUAAUUCUUCACCAUAUACCUUUAGUUUUUCAAAAAGAUGAACAGUUAAGCCAAAAAAAUUUCAGACUAACUCAACUUCUUCACACAAAUAGACACACAAACAAAGAAAAAAUUAGCACAAAAAAAGGAAAAGAUGGCCAAUAGAAAAGGAGAAGUCAUAUUCUUUCUUAAUUAAACCGGAUUGAGUCGAGAAGCUCAAAUAUAAGCCAUCAUUGUGAGAGUUCAUUUCCUUCCACUCCUACGCUAAAUCUGAAAGAUUUUAACAAUAGGUAAUGAUUUAUUUCAAUAGUCUACUGAAUGUAGUACCAUAUCUUCUUUGAACCCACACCAAGAAAGCUCCAUAAUUUGUUAUAAAACAUCAUUAUAAAAAAUGAAAAUAAAGCAAAAUGUUAACCAUCUAGUUACUUAAAAGUGAAAUAAAGAGAAGGCAAGAGAGAAGAAAAGUAACCACAUUUAGAAUCUUAAAAGUAUGGAACUCUAAUGUAUUACCUACAGUAGUUAUAACAUCAAAGUAAAUCGCUGCAUUAUCUUUGUGUAGAUUAUGAAACUAUUAAAUUCAGUCUAGGGUAAUAUUACAUAAGAAAACUCAAAAUAAAUAGACUCCAUACACUGUCAUUAAAAGCGUAUAAUAUAGUUAUCAACAAUGUCAGCAAACAUCAAAGAGUGUUCUAACGAAAGGUCUAUUCUAGUGAAAUUCUAUACUGUUUUGCUUAAUCUGUUUGUCAAUAGGAUAACAAAUGGUAGUAGUACAAAGUGUACUAUUUCUUGGAACAAUCUUAGGAAGAGCAUUGAAGAUGGACUAAGGCAACAACAUAGAGCUCAAACACAGGCUUAGUAAGAGACUAAAAAGAAUGUAACUAACAUCCCUAUUAUAUACCAGUAUUUUUAGUCUCAAUAUUCCAUUAACGUUAAACAAAUCAAUUUUUAAAUUUGGUAGACUUAAAAGAAUGGCAUUCAUACAACAAACUUUCAAACAAAAGAAAAAGAACAGAGGAUCCAAAACCAACUGUUGUAACUCGACAAACUGAUCUGCAUAUCAAAAGACUGUUGUUUUUUCCAGAAAACUCAUUUGUUUAGAUUAUAAUGCAACUCUAAAUGAUUAGGGCUUUACUAUUUUUUAAAUUAGAUAAGUUUUACUCUACUUGCACAUGUAAUUUCUGCACGGGGGGAUUCAAUAAAACCCCCUUCCUUAACAUUAGAUCAGCAUUUGGACACAAAUUCUCAUAAGGUAUAAGUAGGGAUUAUUAACAUACAAUUGUAGUUAAAUGGAAGAUAUUCAUUGUUGAUUGUUUCGGGUAUACAACAGAUAGACUUCAAUCCACUUUAUGUUUUACGGAUAAGAGUUUUUGUUAGCAAAAAGACAUGAGUAGAUGAGAAGGGAAAUCACAAGUAAAAAAGGUAACAUACCUCCAGUCGCCCAUCGUUUUUAAACGAUAUUUUUGUGCCAUUUAUGAGUUUUUAUAAACCUGUCUUUAUUUGGUGGAGCUAUAAUGUGAAAGAUUAGUCAUGUUUGUAAGUUAUUUGUCAAUACCUUUCAAAUGGAAAUGAAAAUUCAUUAGCUAAAAGCAAAGCAAAAAUUUUAAGUUAAUGUUGAUGAAUUGAGACAUUGGUUACGUUCCUUGACCUACUGCCCCGCGUAAUGCAAUUGUCCAUCAGAUGCUUCGUUUCAUCUAUUAUUCAAACCAUCUCUUGUGCUAAUUACAUUAACAAAUCAACACCACUGAAUACCAAAUAAAACAUAAAUGCUGCAGGCAGAUGAUCUUAUAUAGAUUAGCAUCAAAAAAUUCAAAGGAAGAAUCAGCGAACUUUUUUUCGACUUUAUGAUACAUUAGAACAAAACCGAUCACGGUCAGUCAUUUUAAAAGUACAUUCAUUAAAGACAAAGCCAUAAAGGAAACAGAACAUGGAAAAUAAUACAUAGCAGUACUAAUGAUGAAACAACUAAUAAAUAAUAUCUGGAAUAUUCAGUUCCGAAUCUCAAACCUUCUUUAACAAAGAGCUUGACCUGCAUCUGUUCGUUGCCCUACUUCCUUAAGAAAUAAAAGUUCAUCAGUUGUGUAAAAACUGACCGCAAACAUAAUGUUUUCGCCUAUUUUGCUUGGUAGUUUCAACAGUAUAGAAAUCUAUAUGUAGAAGAAUUGGAUUAAGGUAGUAAACUCCAACCUUCAAUAGUCAAAAUUGAAGUGAAAUUUCAAUGUUGAUGCCCGAAGAAUUGGAUCAAGGUAGUAAACUCCAACCUUCAAUAGUCAAAAUUGCAGUGAAAUUUCAAUGUGAUGACAGAUUUGACAGUGACUUUGACAAUGUCUGGCAGUUGGUGUUUCCACGAGAAAGAAGGCAACAAAGAUGAAAAAGCUUCAUUCUAUCAGAUAUGAGAUAGAGAGCAAAGUUAUUUAUCAGGGGAAAUGAUUGAGAAAGACGGUUUUUUUCCAACAGUUAAUAUGAGAUUUAAUCUGACUUUUGAAAUGUGCAGUUAAAAAAGAAACUGCUGAUAAUGGAUUAUUAUUGUAAUUGUGGGAUAAUUUAAAACUUACAAAUUUAUUAAGGUUUUUUUUUUUCAUCUUUGGGGUUUUGAAGAAUGACCAAUCGGCAAAUUGGACAAAUGCCAUAUAUGCCAUAUAUGGAUUAAGAAUAGGUUUUUUUUCCCUCCAUUUUAAAAUAUUUACAAUAUUUAUUAUAUUAUUAUUUUUUUGACAUUUAAUUUUUUAAUUUGAUUGUAAUUACUGACAUUUAGUUUUUUUAAUUUAAUUGUAAUAACUAAUAACAGCCAUAACUAUAUUUAUUUUACUAAGUUGCCAAAUGGCUUAUUCAUAGGAUGCCAAGUGGCUUAAUGAGGAGGCUUUAUCCUUUCCUAUUAAUAAUAAAUAGAUAUAGAUUUUAAAAGAGAUAAGCAUCCAGUAUCCCCUCGAACUAUGACCAAAGUUGCUACGACAUACUUCAACUUCAUAGGGUCCUAUUACCCCCUGAACUCUAUUUUAGUGUAAUUUUAUCACCCUUUUUUGUGUUGACGUGACACAUUUAUUACAUAAAAUGAGGCCUGCGUCAAAGGUUCCAUGUCAGCUACAAAGAUUGACAAAAGGUUCCACGUUACCUAAAAAGAAUAACAAAAAUAUGCUAAAAUUUAGUUCAGAAUUAAUAGAACCUACGUGAAAUUUGAGUAAAUCAUAGCAAAAUUGGUUGUAGUUCAGGGAGGUACUAAAUGCUUUACUUUUUCUAAAGAAUAAUAAAGGUAUAUAUCAAAGUAAUCAUCUUUUAGUAACUUAUUGUCUUAAAACUACAACUGAUGUAUUCUUCCGUUUAAAUAGAUAAAAGCACUUUCCCCACAUGCAACAAUAAUUGAAGUUCUCAUCCUAAUUUAUCAGAAGGCAAUAAAAAUUAAUACCAUUUUAGUCAUUCAGAGAGGUAUCCAUUUUUCUCUUGAUUACUUGCUAGCUAUCUUUUGUGUUUUGCACCUUUUCUUCAUCCAGUCAUAUUUGUGUUCUUUAAUGUUCUUUUUCUCAUAGUAUAUUUGUUGCAGUGAUCAGUUGCUUCUUCCCAACUCUCUACCAUUGAAAGGUUAGUUUCAGUUAAUUACUAAGUUAAUAACUGUUGGUUGAGUGAUCAUCUAAGUUUGAAAAUAAAACUGAUGAUCCAAAAGUACAUAAAUCUGUCAGCGAAUACAAAACCAGACACAAAACUAGAUAGGAUGAGGUAGGAGGUCGAAUCUAGAAGCAUAGAGCGGCCACUACCUUGGAUGUGACAAGUCUCUGCCCGAACUCAGCUGUCGUGCGGCGCACUCGUACUUAGAUCUGUACCAAAAGGGCACAGUAGGGAUGAGUAUGGUUCACUUGUACUCAGUAGGUAUCAUAGUCCGACCGAGCAAAGUAGAAAAUAAAGUAUAUAAAAUACACACUAUGGGCACGUCACUACAAUCAGAAAAGAUCCCAAAUGGUAUCCCAUACCAUCUACACUAACCGUUCUAAUAUAAUACAUAUACCAAGUACAAGUACGAAAGAGAAGCGCAGAAUAGAUAGACAUCAAAUCAAACACAAAGGUACAAUCACAAAGAGUGCAUAAUGUAUGAAAUGCAAUGAGAAUGAGGAUGAUGAUGUGAUAAGUUUGAGGUUGUCGCACAACCUCUGUAUACACCUACAAUGAAAAGAGCUUAGAAAAGAUUGAUUUUGAGCCUUGAAUCUUGUAAUCUAUGUGUUCUUGCUUCUAAGAAUAUUUGGGAGGAACAAAAUGAGGGAUUUUGAAAAUUUCUACUAGUUUAGGACAGACUUUAGGGUUAUAAAACAGGUUGGGAAAGUUACAUGGGAUGAAAGGACAAGUUUGCCCCUAAUUUAAUAAGAGAAAAACAAACUUUUACGGUGGAGAGGUAUGAUCCCCUGGCUCGAGCUCCGCCCCAUGCUGCCCAACGCGCAGCUGGGAUGCUGCCUCACUAAAAUUUUUCUAACUUUUUGCUUGGGACUCGUUUUGAUGAACGGUCGGUGCCGUUGGAAAGAAGACUCAAAAAGCUUUAAUUUGGUAGGUAGUAGGCGACCAAAAUCAUUAUAUAUUUGGAUUAAUGAACGUUGGAAGUUGACCCAAGUAAGAAGAAAAAUUUUCAACUUAACUUUGAGCUAGGAGAUUUCUAUGACCUCAAUUCAUCUACAAAGAUGUUCCAUACUAAAGAAUUGAUUCUCACACUUAAAAAAUAAAUAUAAACUAUUGGGUUCAGGUCUAUACACAUAUGAAGAAGGUUCAAACCGAAGACUAAUAAAUUACAAGAUCAAAACUAUUUUAGAAAUUGUGAAUAGCGAAGACUAAUAAAUCACCUAUUCUUAUUUAAAUUAUGAGUACCUUUUUUGCCAAUCUGAGUAUCACGUUACCUAUAAUACAAUUGACCUCUUGCAUCUUGCAGCUUGCAGGUCAUAAUCGCAAAGGCAAACGUGAAUAUGGUAGAUAUGGCUCAUGCAAGUGUGGCUUUUCUUAAGUGAACAAUAGAAUCGCUCUUGAAAUCCAAUUCGCCGAUGCAAUCUCUAAUUGUGAAUAAUGAAGAAUUUUGCACUCUUCAUGAAAAAGUUAGGUCCCUGGAAGCAUUUCUCAAGAACUUUGAGAAAAACAAUGUUUCUGGGGAAAUGACGGAUUUUGAAGUAGAGUAAAAGAAGUUGCAAAUGUUAUUGAACAAACAAUUCAACUAGGAGUAACUGAAGUUGUAUUGGCAAAUGAUGAAAAUCUGAGAGAAAAGUCACAAGAGAGGCUUUUUGAUAGCCUGCAACAAGUAGCAGAGGACGUUGAUCAUAUCUGGAAAGAGUUCAAAAAGAUUCAAGAUAAAGGCAAACAUGCAUCAAAGGAAUCAAUGGUUCAAUAGUUUCCAAGCUCGUCAAAAGAUAAUAUUGAGAACAAUAUGGUUGGACGUGAUGAUCAAAGGGAACGGUUGGUAGAGCAUCUGACUACAGGCUACUCUGGUGAACCCAAAGUCAUCCCGAUUGUCGGGAUGGGAGGCAUAGGUAAGACAACCUUAGCGAACGAAGUUUACAGCGAUACAUGCAUUCGUUCUCAUUUUGAUGUUUGUGCCUGGGCUACUAUUUCUCAACAACACAAUGUAAAGGAAAUCUUGUUGAGCCUUCUGCGUUCUACAAAGGUUGACAAAGUUUUCUCGGAAAGUGAGGCAGAGCUGGCAAACAUGCUACAAAAGAGUUUAAAGGGUAAGAGAUAUUUAAUUGUAUUGGAUGACAUCUGGAAAACUGAAGCAUGGGAUGCCGUGAGACAAUGUUUUCCUCGUGAAAACAAGGGGAGUGGAAUAUUGUUGACGACCCCUAACACUGAAGUAGCGCGCUAUGCUGGUACAAAGAAUUCAUUGCCGAUGAGGUUCAUGGAUCAAGAUGAGAGUUUGAACCUUUUCAGAAGUGUAGCAUUUUCAAGUGAAGAAUUACCAUCUGAAUUGGAGACUAUUGGGAAGCAAAUCGUAGAUGAAUGUCACGGGUUACCACUAACUAUUGUCAUGGUUGCUGGACUUCUCAAAUCAAAAAGGGCAAUAGAAGAUUGGGAAAGUGUUUCUAAAGAUGUCAAGUCAUUCGUCACGAAUGAUCCUGAUGAACGAUGUUCACGUGUGCUUGGGUUGAGUUACGAUCACUUGACAAGCGAUCUAAAGGCAUGUCUUCUGCAUUUCGGAAUUUUUUGAGAAGACAGUGAUAUUCCAGUGAAGAGAUUAGUGAUAUCAUGGAUGGCUGAGGGGUUCCUGAAGUUGGAAAAUGAUUUGGAAGGAGAGGCUGAGAAGUGUUUGCAAGAGCUUGUCGAUAGAUGUCUAGUCCUCGUCUGCAAGAAAAGUCUGGAUGGAACAAAAAUUAGAUCAUGUAAGGUUCAUGAUCUAAUAUAUGACCUGUGCUUGAGAGAAAUUCAAAGGGAGAACAUUUUUAUCAUGAACGACAUUGUGCUUGAAUUUAAUUCAGGAUGGAAAUAUCUCAGUAUGCGAAAAAUGCAGCCCUUUAAACGCGUGACUGGUGAUGAAAUUGAUUAUUGUCGCUCUGGUCUUUAUAGGGCUCUUCUUACCCCUGUACAUCUUCAGUUGAGAGAUCAUGACAACAACGAUCUUUUGAAAUGAACCCGUUCUAUUUUCUCUUCUUACCCCUGUACAUCACAUAUUUUUCGCAAAUCAGAGAUUACUCAUUUCAAAUUACUCAAAGUCUUGGAGUUGAGACGCAUAAUGAUUGAUCAAUUCCCUGUACAGAUACUAAGCCUCAUCUGGUUGAGGUACCUAUCAUUGCAAUGCGGUAAGAAAGUAGGCAUUCCUCCAGAAAUUUGUAGGUUAUGGAAUCUGCAGACAUUUAUUGUUAAAGGGCCUAGUCUACGGAAAAUAACUUUUCCUGAGGAAAUUUUGGGACUAAUGCAAUUAAGGCAUCUCAAACUGCCCGAAUUUUAUCUGCCAAAUCCCCCUAGCGUAUCUGCUGACAAAGGGAGUCACAUGGGUUUUUCAAACAUGCAAACUAUUUCUUACUUGUCUCCAUGUUGUUGCACGAAGGAGUUUAUUACGAGGAUUCAGAAUGUCAAAGAAUUAGGACUCAGUGUAUAUUGGAUUGAAGAAUUAGGACUCAGUGCAUAUUGGAUUGACUAUGAUGGGCUUCUCAACAAUCUUGUCCAUCUGCAGCAACUUGGAACAUUGAGUCUUACAUAUCGUUUUGGAGGAUUUUUGCCAGCAAGUGCAAAAGCUUUUCCGGCAACUCUCAAGAAGCUGAAGUUAAAAAGUACUUAUCUAAGUUGGUCGUACUUGGACAUCAUAGCUGAAUUGCCUAACCUUGAGGUGCUGAAGAUGAUGUAUGGUGCUUGUGAUGGCGAAGAAUGGCGUCCAAUGGUUAUGGGAUUUAAUUGAUUGAAGCUUUUGUUAAUUGAACAUAAUGAUCUCAAGUACUGGAAAGCCAAAGAUGACAAUUUUCCUGUCCUUGAGUGCCUUGUGCUUAGAUGUUGCAAUUAUUUAGAUAAGAUACCCAUCGAGUUUGCAGAAAUCCACAUACUACAACUUAUUGAGUUAAGAAAGUGUCCUCCCAAAAUUGGGGAUUCUGCAGCGAAAAUUCAACAAGAACAAGAAGAGCUCGGAAACAACCCCGAAGGCAUGAGUUCAGACAACUCGUUCCCCAAAACCGUGAUUUGUCGAUUUGGGUAUACUAUAUUACGCUGGCCUAGUGUCGUGUGGUGUAUUAGAAUAGAAACUCCAAUCCUUGAGGCACACUUGGAUUGGGGCCUUCCCAGCCGAGUCAAUGGCGGAUUCCAUAUAGCCCGUGGAAUUUUAGAAUUGUAGGGGUGUACCACCUAACUCGGAAUUAAUACGAAGAUUAGAAACUGCAUUGUCAAGAAUGAUUUAUGAUUUUACAGAAAGGUGCCCAUGUGUUUUGAAAACUAUUUUAUGUAUGAUGUUUGAUAAAUUGCUCUCCAUUAUUUUAUUUACAUAGAAGCUUUAUUUUGGAUUGCUCUGCGUACCAGUACAUCUGUAUUGACCCCCCCUCCCUCCAGGUUCUGAGGCACAGUCUAAGGGUCCUGAUAAGCAGUAGAUUUCAUCAAACAGGAGUGAAGAGUAUUAGUUGGUGAGCCUUCUAUAUUUCAGAAGGCCUAGUUUCUUUCAGACAGUUAUUAUUUAUUAUAGGUUUGGUCUACUGGGGGCCUUGUCCCAGUUUUCAGACAGUUGUUAUUUGAUCAUGUAGUAGAGAUUUCACAGACGGUUUUUAGACGGUGUUUAGUUGAUAUUGGAUUUUAUUCGUUAUUGUUAAACUAGAUUUAGAUUAUGACCAUGUUUCCGUAGAAGAUUUUAUUUCCACAUUUCCAAUUUAUGUAUGAAUAGUGAAUAUGAUUACAAGUUAGAAGGGCUCUCGGGCCUUCAUGGUUCAGGUUCCGUCAUAGACAGGACCCUGGUUUGGAUCGUAACAUCUACCUUUACAGCAGUGCUUGAAGGCUAUAGUGAUGCUACUUGGAAUUCUGAUCCGAAUGACUCUAAAUCUAUUACUGCUUGGAUUUUUACUUUGGCUGGAGCAGCAAUAUCUUGGAGAUCAAAGAAGCAGACAUGCAUUACUCACUCAACCAUCUAGUCAGAAUUUAUUGCUAUGUCUUCUGCUGGAGAAGAAGUUGAUUGGCUGCGGAGUAUGCUGAUAGAUAUUCCAUUAUGGGGUAAGCCAAUAUCACCUUUGACUAUACAUUGUGAUAAUAAAGCUGCUAUAUUUCGGGCUUAAAGUGAUUGUUACAAUGGCAAGUUAAGACAAGUUCAUCUCAAACACAGUCAUGUGAGAAUAUUAUUGGAGGAUGGCAUAAUAUCGCUUCAAUAUGUGAAGUCCAAACUCAAUUUAGCCGAUUGUUUGUCUAAAGGGUUAGGCAAGGAAUUGGUGGUACAAACCUGUAAUGGGAUCGGAAUAAAGCCUGUUGUAGGUUGAUUGUACUUUAUAGUAACCCUACCUGAUGAUGUAAUCUUAGGUUCAAAGGGAAAAAUAAGUAAAGUUACAAUAGUGAAGCACAUCAAUAAAAUUUCCUUUUUCCCUAGAGAGUGUGAGUAGAUGUGCAUAAGUUGAGAUUUAUUCUCUUGAUAAAUCUAUAAGACCGAUAUCGGUUGGAGUAAAUAAUAACUCUUGAUAGAUUUGACAGUAUUCCUACAAAAGAAAAGAAUGAGAUUAUAUUCUCUUAUUAAGUCUAUAAACCGAUUUCGGAUGGAGUGUGUAGGAACACUCUUGAUAGAUUUACUGAUACUUUAUUGUAAAGGAGAAUGAGAUUAAUUUCUCUUAAUGAAAUUCAUAGACUACUUAGUCGGAGUAUGCAAAGUUACUCUUGAUGAAUUCACCGCACUAAGUGCAAAGUGGAGGCCGCUUCAAUAAGAUUUUUACGGGGAAAUCUUAAAGCAUUUAGCUAAAAAGAUUCGGGACACAUGGCCGUAAGGUGUCAAAGGAUGUUGAUUUUCACCGGAACAUAGAAAUAUGCAUAGAGUAUUUUUCUACUUCAUUCAAUGAACCACUUAGUUCAAGAUUUGUUCACUAGGGAGUCAAUGAUUUAGAAAGUCUUCACUAGCUAAUGUUUCAAGUCCAAAAGACACCAUUAUUGAUGCAUGUUGCUAGAUUGAUGUCUGAAAUGAAUUUUGUUUUUUUUUUUAAAGAUAAAAUUUCUUGAUACAAGUGGGGGAUUGUUGAUUUUAUGUUUCCAUAAAUUUUGAAACAAAUACAACGGUUAAAGAUUUUUAAGAAUUAUGUUUCAAUUAGUUUUGAAACAAAUGCAUCACUUAAAGUUUUGAGUUACAAAGGAAAUGAAUUUGACAAAUUUAUUAUUCAUAAGUUUUGAGUUACAAAGGAAAUGUAUUUGACAAAUUCAUUAUUCAUUAAGUUUUGAGUUACAAGUUCUUGAAAGAAUGACAUUUUUUGUUUUAAAACAUACAUGAACCUAUUAACUAUUACUUAAUUAAUAUACUUCUCAUGCAUGAAACUUUCAUCCUAUAAAUUUUAAAACAUGCAUGAAGCUAUUAACUAUUACUUAAUUAAUAUACUUCUCAUGCAUGAAACUUUCAUCCUAUAAAUAUUGUUUUCUUUGGCUUGAUAAGACAAGCACUCAAAACUACUUUCCCCUUGAAAAACACUUGAGAGACAUUGAUCAAAUGGUGAAAUCACCAAUUCAAGAAUAGAAGAGCAACAUACUUGAAUUCUACAUGUUUUUUCGCUUAGUUGAAUCCCGAAGAUAAAGUUGUCACUUGUUCUUCCGUUUGCUCGUGGGAGAGACUCCAACUAUCUUCAAGAAGCGUAUUAUCGUACCUCUAAGCCAAGAAAGUUUUAUUUUGAAUUUCUUGUACAAUUAUCAUUAUUGUUCUAACAUCUCAUUUCCCUAAUGCACAUCAUACAGUGGCUCGAUCACAUCAUAAUGAUGAUGAUGAUGAAGAAGAAGAUUCAGAUGUUGAUGUUGCAAAAGAUGAUGAUGAUGAUGAUUCAGAUGUUGAUGUUGCAAAAGAUGAUGAUGAUGAUUCAGAUGUUGAUGUUGCAGAAGAUGAUGAUAAUGAAGAUUCUGAUGCUGAUGCUGCAAAACAUGAUGAUAAUUACGAUCUUAAUUGGUUGUUCGAUGUUCAGAAUAACCUGUAAUGUAAACGGAAACAAUGGAUUAACAAUUUGAUACUGUUAUAGACUACUGAUGCUAGUUCAUCACCCUACCUUUUUUCAUAAAUGUAAAUGUAUUAUGUUAUUUGGUUUUAUAGAGUCCAUGAAGCGUGUUGUGUCUAUAUCCCAUAUAGAAAUUAAUUAUUUUUUUAAAAAAUACAUAUAAUAUAGUCAAAAAGAUAUAAAAAUAAAAAGAUUCGAACAAUCAUCUUUUUGAUAUAUCUCUAUGGUCUUUAUAGGGCUCUUCUAACCCCUGUGCAUCGUCAGUUGAAAGAUCAUGACAACAACCAUCUUUUGAAACGAACCCAUUCUAAUUUUUCAUUUGGUCUUUAUGAUUCAAUUUAUUCUGUUCUCUAAUCAGAGCUUAUUCAUAUCAAAUUACUCAAAGUCUUGGAGUUGAGACACAUAGAGAUUGAUACAUCAGGCUUUUGAUUUGUAGACUUGUGUAGUUGCUUGUCAAUCACCAGAACUAAUUUCAGUUUCACUCAUAUGAAUGGAAUACAACAGUUUUCUCAAAAAAUAACUUGUUUAUCAAGGAUUUAGACAUGUAUAAAUUUGCCAGUCUUUUCCAAAUACUUUCGAAAACAGCCUCUCUAUCUCCACGAGGUAGUGAUAAAGUUUGUGUACACUCUACCUUUUCCAGACCUCACUUGUGGGAUGUCACUGGGUAUGUUGCUGUUGUUGUUGUUCCAAGUUCAAAUCAUCGGUAACUAUAUGUUUAUUCUUUGUGUAGAACUUAUACUAGGUAACUACACAACAAAAUUUUUCGACGAAGGGUGUGCUGACUACCCUUUGAUAUAGGUGGUUCCGUCCAUGCUACAGCUAAUCGAGUUACAGAACUGUAGUUCAAAACUAGUGGCUUCUGCUGGACGAAUUCAAGAAGAACAAGAAUACAAAGGAAACAAAGCUGUGGGGGUUCGUACUUACAAUGAUCCAGGUGAACACAAUCAGUAGUGUACACAGAACUUCUUGUUGUGAACCCGGCUAUCAUAGAUAAUACUAAUGGGCCAGAUAUGCGUAUCAUAUCCUUCAAAAGUGGUUCAUUUUUGAAGGAUUUGACACGGCUACGGCAUCUUUUUUGGAGAGUACAAGCAACAUAGAAAACGUCCGUUUUCAACUUUUACACCUUCAAUGAAGAUUCUAUGAGGCUGGAUAGCCCAUAGUUAAGAAUCAAGUUCUUGUUCACCAUAGACAGAAUUAAACGUGAAAAGAAACACAACUAUUCACAGAAAUUUGCAGGUUUCGACCAUCCAUGAUGUACAAGUUAACAAGGAAACAAAGCGUAAAGUUGUGCAUCAAGAGAAUAUCAAUCAGAGGAUGGCCCCGGAGAACUCGAAUGACUUCUCUGUCUCUUCCAGACAAUGGUUCUUCUCCUCUCUAGUCCAGUUCUGAGCAAAAGCAUCAAUGAAAAUGGAUCAUGUAAAGUCGUUAAUAACAACUUAGGUGAAAGAAUACGAUAAUAGUUUUAAACAGUCGAAAAAUUGUAAAGAGGGGAUGAAGGAUUAUACUUCUGCAACUUUGUUCAGCUUAUCUAUAACAUUCUGCAGCAGCAGAGAAAGUUCGCCGUCCCAUUUGUAGAAUUCCAGCUCUUUCUUGUCUAGUAUCUUUUCAGCUACCUAUAAAGCAAGAAGAAGCAAGAUUGUGGACAGUAAAUGGUUACCUUUUUUCCUUUAAUGUUCGUAGGUCUACGAAGGAAAAGAAACAAUGCAAUAGGGCCUCUACGACAGCACUAGUUUAACGAAGGAAUUUGUAUUGGCAGUUUAGGAGUACUCCAUGUUACAUUUCUUCUAAUCUGAAUUUAUCGUCUGCCGGACAUUUUUAACACUGAUGAAUACUGAAAUUUUCAUUUUUACAAUGUUGUUUAGUUUGCUUGCUACUGUUAUCAUAAUUUCAACAAACUAAGUGAUCAUAAUGACAUGAACUAGUAAUAUUUCAACUACCAUCAAAGUUGAAGUACUAACGAGUAAAAGGGGUCGAACGGCAAUAUGGUAAGAAGGUGAAAAAUGUAAUUCAGAAAAUUCUAAGACCUAUGAACUAAGUUGUUUGUGACAGAAGCGUAAUGUUGUGGUAUGAACUAAACUAUACACCCUCACAUCCAUGUGAAACUAUGGCGUAACAAUUGAGUUUACUGAACCAUGUUCUCCACAUGAAGUUGCCUAGGAUACCCUUCAAAAAGAAAAAGAUUUACGAUGGUGGUACGGAGUCUAGCUUGUGCUCACUUUGGCUAUUCCACUGAGUAUCUGCUAACUCUCACCAGCACAGAUAUGGGGUAACUCUACCUAGCAACGCUUAGGUAAACGGAAUGAACGGCCUAGUGUUUUUUAUUUUUUUGCCACUGCUCGGAUUUAAACCUCAUCAUAUUUCUCCUCCCACUACAUUGACUACUAAACCACACCCUUGGGUGUCCUCAGAUACCCUUCAAAUUAUGACUUAAAAAUAACUUCGAAUUUCGCUCAUUCCAUAUUUCUAUGAUGAAAAUCUAGCUUUAUAUAUCACAGUAUCAGAAGUAAAAUGUAGAAUAAUACUAAAAAAUUCAAAGACGACAUUACUAACCUUUCUGCCUAUCAUGCGACCUCCAGCUGAAUGUGCAAAGUAGGUGUUGUAAAAAUGAAAAAUAAAUGCUUGAGGAUCCUUUUCUGAUAGCUCCUCUAAGUAACGAGCAUAGCUUAUGCCAGGAGUUGAUGGUUCUGGGUAUUAGAGUGGGUAAAAAGUCCCACAUUGGUUGGGGAAUGGACUAGUAGUUUGCUUAUAUAGACUUGGGUAAUCCUCACCUCUUGAGCUAGCUUUUGAGGUUGAGUUAGGCCCAAGAAUGUUCUUGACAUGGUAUCAGAGCCAGGUCCAUCUCCGUUUUGGGCUCCCGGUCCACGCGCCAAUGCCAGGUGGGCCUGGGCGUGGGGGGUGUGAGUGGGUAAAAAGUCAAACAUUGGUAGGGGAAUGGACUGAUAGUUUGCUGAAUAUAAACCAAUAAUUGAGUAUUGCGGCGGUACAGAGAUUGGUGGCUCCUUCGUCUCUGGGUCAAUGUUGCAGCCCCAGUCUUUAGCCGCUUUCAGCACCCCAGUCAUGGGGAUGAAUAUCUUUGUCUGAUGGGAAGAGCUAGCUUUUGGAAUUGAGUUAGGCCAGUUGGGCCUGGGCGUGAGGAGGGUGUUAAAGUGGGUAAAAAGUCCCACAUUGGUUAGGGAAUGGACUGGUAGUUUGCUUAUAUAAACUUGGGUAAUCCUCACCUCUGGGGAAAGACCCGGACAUUGAGAGGCGGACAAGGAGGUUAUAUCGCUCUAAAAUAGGUACUGAUAACGAACCACAAGCCCUGAGCUAGCUUUUUAGUUUGAGUUAGGCCCAAGGUCCAUUCUUGACACCGGCAUGGCAUGACCAUGUUGCCUAAACCAUUCCAAAUCCUUUGCUAAGACCUCUGACCUUUCUAAUCCUGUGUGACUGAACUCAGCUGCCUAAACCAUUCCAAAUCCUUUGCUAAGACCUCUGACCUUUCAAAUUCUGUGUGACUGAACUCAACAUAUGCAGUCAAACGAAUGAGCGCUAAGAUUGCGUUUUUCUACCAAGGCAUUUAUUUAUACGUCUCUGUGGAGAAUGUUUUCUUGAAAAUUGGAAGGCACAAAUGUCUUUGCUGUAUGUCAAAAUUAAUCACUUUGUGGUGUUAAUUACAUUAGUGUAAAGCCUUACUAAACAUAAAGGGAUACACCUUUCCGAUGAAUCAUUGCUUCCUUUUGUAAGAGGUACUUGAUGGCUAUAAAUACCUGCAUUUUUUGAGAAUUAGACACAGGUGUGACAACCUUUUUAAAGAGUUCCAGCAACUUAGAUAUAUAGUACAAGUCUGUAUGAUCCAAAUAUCAUCCUAAGAAAACAUUACUAAGUAAGCAAAGCGGAGCCAGGAUUUUUAGUCUAUGGUUCUGAACCGUAAUCGUUUUAUGGGAGUUAAAUAUUUUCACAUACUAAAUACGAAAAAGCUACUGAUUUUUGCCGAAUACAUCAAAUGCCUUCCUCGAGUAGGAGUGAACCCGAUGUUAAAUCUCUUCAAUGCAAGAGGUUAACUGGCAAAUAACGAGCUCAAACUGAAGAAAAUAUUUUCUGAUCAUAAGAUGCAGAGUAGAUUGAAUACAGAGGAGGAGAUCAAUAACUGCUACUACCUAAUCCUCUAUAUAUAGACAAGAGCUCUUCUAGAAUCUUCCUAAAAGUUGAUGAAUUAAGUUAGCUUAACUAACUGCUCCUAACUAACCGCUGUGUACGGCUCAUCACUUAGUGUACUGCUGUACACUUCACUAAUUGCUCAACACCCGACCACUUCACGCUGAAGGUUAUACUGAUCUACGAACCACUCUUCUCUUUGAUUUGUCCUCCCUGACCUCUCUUAAGCCUUUCAACGAUCGUUUAGGUAGCAUUAAGUCAGGCUUUGUCCCUGUCAGUAAGGACCAUUUAGCAACGGCAUAGCAACGUGGAAUGCAGUGCGACUCGUUAGCUGCUCUGUGACACUGAUUAACAACACUGAUGGACCUUAGGUCUAACUCAACCCAAAAGCUAGCUGAAGAGGUGAGGAUUGAUGGAGAUCAUAUAAAGAGGCCAAAUGCUCCUUAAACAUGAUAAAGACUAAUAAAUUACCUGAUCGGCUUCAAGCAAUGUGUGACUUCCAAGGAGAUGUGACCUCUUUCGUAUUGUAACAUAUUUUUGAGUUGAUAGAAUUUUUAGUAAUAUUACUCAGUUGGGCAUUACUAAAUUUUUGAGUUCACGAGCUCACAAUGGUUAACACGCACUCAUUUUAUUUGGUAACGUUAUUUAUUAAAUGAAUGGAGAUGUGCAUUUAUAUGGUGAUUCUCUUGUUUUAGUUUUAAAAGCAAUUACUAAUAAAGAUUGAAGUUCAAAGAUUUCAUCAUAGUUCUUACUGUUUAAAUUUUAAUUACUAUGUUUUAGCAUUAUUCUUUAGCUUUCAAGGAGAUGUAAUUUCUCUAUAUCUUAAAUAAGGGGCAUCUAUUUCUCGACUGCUUCGAACUGUUUAUCUUUAGGAAAGGGUCUAUCGGAAACAUCGUCUCUACCUCUGACAUAACGAUAAGGUUUUGCGUAUAUUCUACCCUCUCCAGAUCCCACUAUGUGUAUAAAGCACAACAUUUUUUCCAAAGUGCAUCUUUUUUUUUUUUGGCAGAGAUAAAGGACCAUUUAUGUUCAACAUUAUAUUAUAGGGACCUAAGUGAACCUACUAUGUAAAGUUAAGGGACUGUUUGGGCUGAUAAAUUCUGCGGAUAUCAUUUCAGCCACUCAAAUUUUAUCUUGGUUAGGUACUCUUAUCUUUUGUUUUUUACACAUUUGAUUACUGUUACUCAUAAUAUUGUCAUUUCUUUUAUCCUUUUCUCAAAUAUGUCUUUCAGUGAUUUUGAAGCUGUAUGAUCUGCCAUUGAAAGGUUAAUUUCCCUUAAUUAUUCUCUCAUUUAAUUAAAGUUUUAAAGCUAAAAGGUUAGUGGCUCUUUGUACUAUGUAUAUAGUUAUGUUGCUCGAGCUCCUCAAAAAUAACGUUGAUUACGUGUUGUAUCCUUCAAAAGUUGUGCAUUUUUCUAAGGAUCUGACACGGUUGUGGCAACUUUUUUAAAGAGUCGUCCCAGCAACAUAGAAAACACUGCCUAAGUAAGCGAAGCGGAGUUUUGAACCACAAUCUUUUUUGCUUACUGGGAAUUAAAUUAUUUUUACGCAUUAAAUGAGCUAAAGCUACUGAGUUUGGUACUGAACUCACUGUUACCCUGUAAUAGCUAUGAUUAAGGCAAAUGCAUUACCUGAUCUUAUUUAGUUUAUGCAUGCCUUUUCUGCAAAUUUGUGUAUCUCGUUAUUUGUAAUACCAUUGACCUCUUGCAAGCCGCAGCUUUCAGGUCAUAACCACAAAGGAAACAAGUGAGAAUACAGUAGAUAUGGCUCAUGCAGGUGUGGCUUCUCUUAUGAGAACAAUAGAAUCGCUCUUGACAUCCAAUUCGCCGAUGCAAUCUGUAAUCUGUGAUCACAGAGAAGAACUUUGCGCUCUUCGUGAAAAAGUUAGUUCCCUGGAAGUAUUUGUCAAGAACUUUGAGAAAAACAAAGUUUUCGGAGAAAUGACGGAUUUUGAAGUAGAGGUAAAAGAAGUUGCAAGUGCUGUUGAAUACAGAAUUCAACUGAGACUAACAGAAACUGUACUGGGAGUAAAUAAAAGACAGAAAAAAAAGGUGUGUCGAAAGUUUCGUGAAAGCCUGCAAAAAGUAGCAAAGGACAUGGAUCGUAUCUGGAAUGAGUCGACAGAGCUUCAGGAUAAAGGGAAACAAAUAUCAAAGGAAUCAUUGGUUCAUGAAUUUUCAAGUUCAACAAACGAUAUUCUGAAUGUUAGCAAUAAUAUGGUUGGACGUGAUGAUCAAAAGGAACGCUUGUUAGAAGAUCUGACUGUAAGCUACUCUGGCGAACCCAAAGUCAUCCCGAUUGUCGGGAUGGGAGGCAUAGGUAAAACAACCUUAGCGAAAGAAGUUUACAAUCAUGAAUCAAUUCUAUGCCGUUUUGAUGUUCGUGCCUGGGCUACUGUAUCUCAACAGCACAACAGAAAGGAAAUUUUGCUGGGCCUUUUGCGAUCGACGAUCAAAAUAGAUGACACGAGGGGUGAAGCAGAGCUAGCAAACAUACUGCAGAAAAGUUUAAAGAGAAAGAGGUACUUAAUUGUCUUGGAUGAUAUCUGGAGUUGUGAAGUGUGGGAUGGCGUGAGAUGAUGCUUUCCAACUGAAGACAAUGCAGGGAGUCGAAUACUGUUGACUACCCGUAAUGAUGAAGUAGCUUGUUAUGCUAGUUUAGAGAAUCUUUCUUUGCGUAUGAGCUUUAUGGAUCAAGAUGAGAGUUGGAUUCUUUUCAAAACUGCAGCAUUUUCCGGUGAAGCAUUACCAUAUGAGUUCGAGACUGUUGGGAAGCAAAUCGCAGAUGAAUGUCACGGGUUACCACUAACUAUUGUCGUGGUUGCUGGACUUCUCAAAUCUAAAAGGGCAAUAGAAGAUUGGGAAAGUGUAGCUAAAGAUGUCAAGUCAUUUCUCACAAAUGAUCUUGACGAACAAUGUUCACGUAUGAUUGGGUUGAGUUACAAUCACUUGACUAGCUAUCAAAAGACUUGUCUACUGCAUUUUGGAAUUUUUCGAGAAGACAGUGAGAUACCAGCGAAGAAUUUGAUGAGAUCAUGGAUAGCUGAGGGGUUCCUAAAGUUGGAAAAUGAUUUGGAAGGAGAGGCUGAGAAGUAUUUGGAAGAGCUUGUCGAUAGAUGUCUAGUCCUCGUCUGCAAGAAAAGUUUAGAUGGAACAAAAAUUAGAUCAUGUAGGGUUCAUGAUCUAAUAUAUGACCUGUGCGCGAGAGAAAUUCAAAGGGAGAACAUUUUUAUCAUGAACGACAUUGUGCUUGACCAAUCAGUUUCAGAAUGGGGACCUCUCAGUAUGCAAAAAAUGCAGCCCUUUAAACGCGUGAAUGGUGAUAAAAUUGAUUAUUGUCCCAAUGGUCUUUAUAGGGCUCUUCUUACCCCUGUACAUCGUCAGUUGAGAGAUGAUAACAACAACGAUCUCUUGAAACGAACCAGUUCUAUUUUCUCUUCUCGUCUUAAGAAUUCCUAUUUUCCUCUCAAAUCAAAUCUUAUUCAUUUCAAAUUACUCAAAGUCUUGGAGUUGAGAAACAUAGAGAUUGAUAAUUUCCCUGUACAGAUACUAAGCCUCAUCUGGUUGAGAUACCUAUCAUUGCUCUGCCCUGUGGAUUUUGACAUACCUCCAGAAAUUUGUAGGUUAUGGAAUCUGCAGACAUUCAUUGUUCAAGCGCCACAGAAAUUCAUUGGUCGAUCAGUUUUAAUAACUUUUCCUGAGGAAAUUUGGGGACUAAUGCAAUUAAGGCAUCUUAAACUGCCCUGAUUUUAUUUGCCAGAUUGCCCAAGUGGAUCUGCUGACAAAUGGAGUCACAUGGGUUUUUCAAACAUACAAACUAUUUCUUACUUGUCUCCACGUUGUUGCACGAAGGAGGUUAUAAUGGGGAUUCAGAAUGUCAAAAAAUUAGGAAUCAGGGGACGUGGAUGUGUGAGAAUUCUGGACUCUGGGCUUCUCAACAAUCUUUUCCAUCUGUAGCGACUUGAAACAUUGAGCUUUCACCAUUUGCCAGCAAGUGCAAAAGCUUUUCCAGCAACGCUCAAGAAGCUGAAGUUAAGACUUACUGCAUUAAGUUGGUCGUACUUGGACAUCAUAGCUGAGUUGCCUAACCUUGAAGUGUUGAAGCUGAUGCCGUAUGCUUGUCUUGGCAAUGAAUGGUAUCCAAAUGUUAAGGGAUUUACUCGAUUGAAACUUUUAUUAAUGAAAGAUAAUUAUCUCAAGUAUUGGAAAGCCACAAAUGACAAUUUUCCUGUUCUUGAGCGCCUUGUGCUUAAAGAAUGCCAUAAUUUGAAAGAGAUACCCAUUGAGUUUGCAGAAAUCCAUACACUACAGCUGAUUGAGUUUACAAGUUGUCUUCCCGAAAUUGGCGACUCUGCUGCACGAAUUCAACAAGAACAAGAAGACCUCGGAAACAACCCGGUGGAUGUUCGUAUCUCCAAUCCAAGUAAGUAUAUCUAUAGUAUUUAUCAAGGUCACACUCUGUUUCUCAUUUCCACAGGUCAAGUCAUACACAAAAGUUAUUUAGCUUUACCCCAUAUUCUUUCACAGAUCUAUGUAAGUAUAUCUAUAGUUUUACCAGAUUAGCUUUUGAAUCUAAUAAAUUUGGCCAUGAAAACUAAAAUUUUUUGGAGUUUGAGUUGAUUUGAUUGUAAAUGGGAGAUUUUAUAUUUCUAAUUUAUUUUGUUAUAGUAAUACCUGAGUAAGAAGACUUGAGCUCGUCCUAAGUAUCGUGGAUUCUUCGAGCAGCUUUUGGAAAAAAGAAGACAAGGAAAGGACAAGCAACAAGAGCAUUCAAUCAGUUUCUAUUCAAUAUGGGGAGUUUGAUUCGAUAAAUUUAUGUUGGAACGUCUUCUAGCUUGUUAAUUCUUAUUGUGCUGUACUUUUUCUCCUACAUGGAACAAUUUAUAUUGUGAGAACUGGAUGAUGAUUUCGUUUGAUUGGUUUAAUAAUUAUUGUAUAUGUUUAUAUCACAUAUAUCCCUGUAUGAUACUCUCAAGAUGCUUAAGUAGAGUCAGAUUCAGAAUGUUUGUCACACUUUUAUAUGAUUUUCAUAUAUCUGUGUUUGUUCACAUGAAGUUAAAGUUGAAAGAAGUGACUUCGGUUGAGCACACUCUAAAUCUGCAUCUGAAUAAUGUGACUCGUCGAACUUCUACUGACCCUUUUGGGAUUUCAUUUCAGUCAAGCAAUGUGUGGCUUCCAAGGAGAUGUGAUUUCUCUAAAUUGUAAUAAUGUGGCUGGAUUUGUAUUGUAACAUAUUUUUGAGUUAAUAGAAUUGUUAGUAAUACUACCCAUGGUUCUCUACUUUUUCCUCUUUGGUGGCUUGAACUGACAAUCUUUUAAUUGAAUAUCUCGUCAAUUAAGUCAACGCCUCUGUCGCUUUUUACCUGUGGCAGUAGCUAUGUGGUAAAAUACAAGGGAAGAAAGAGGUUAAAAAACAGAUGGCUAUAAUAUUAUAUUUUCAUUGAUAGACACAAAUCCCAAGGUCAAUUUGUUGUUGUCAUCCCAUUUCUUUAAAGUCAACUUUUUUUUUUUCAUAUAUACAACUUAUUUUGUGUAACUUGAUAGCAGACACAAUUUCACUUUUCUUUUAUGCUUCAUCAAUUUGUUGUUUGAAACUCAUAUUCAUGUGUCUUUAGUGUAUUUUUCUCCUUGAAAGUAUUUAUCGUAGUACCGUUGGUAUUUAUCAAUGCACUUCUUUUAUAACCUAUGUUGCUCGGAUCCUUUAAAAAUAUGCAGUACCUAUUAAUGUCGACAGCUCCAAAUGUAACAUCCUGGUCUCUCACGUCAGUCUAAGUCCAUCGAAGUAACAUUGGAACCCACUCGAGGGUUUUGCCCGGUGGUCAAUGAAGUGAGUCGAGAACCUAAGGUCUAGUUUUAAAUCCCAUUGAAAGGCAAAAAACACUAGGCGAUUUCUUCCUAUAUGUCAAAGCCUUUGGGGACAGAGUUAUCCGGUACCUGUGUUGGUGGGAGGUUGCAAGUACUUAGUGGAACUAGUCGAGGUGUGUGCAAGCUUAUGCAAUCUAUCCACUCAUAGAACGCCAGGAGUUCUCCGCAACUUUGACCACUUCUGUGACUCUUUUUUAGCCAGCUAUCGUUUAACCAACUCCUUGUCGUAUUGACUCUCGCAACUAGAACCUAUGAACAUCAUACAGCUCCCCUUCCACCCUCUGUGCAACGUUUUCUUGAACCGAUGAAGUUGAUUCUUCAUAUUUCUGAAGUGUCAAAUCAAGUGUAGUAAAGUAGGUGAUACUGACAUGAAUAUGAAGUAGACAUUACGUCUGUAGCAGAUACGAUAGUGAAUAGUGCAGAUUGAAGUUGCCUGAUUUCAUAAUUUUUACCUCACCGCCUUUGCAACUUUGUGAAUCGCGUUAUUUUAACACUAUCGUCCUCCUACAACUUGCAGCUUUCAAGUCGUAGUUGCAUUUUGCAAGCCGGAGAAUAGAUAUGGCGUAUGCGAGUAAAGCAUCUCUUAUAAGAACAAUGGAACUGCUAUUGUCAUCUGAUUUGCCAAAGCUGAAGCUGAAACAAAAUGAUCAGAUAUUGCCUUCAUUUGGAAGAGAUCCCUGUUGAGUUCACAGAUAUUUACUCACUACAACUAAUUGAGUUACAGAACUGUAGUGCAAAACUCGUGGCUUCUGCUAGACGAGUUCAAGAAGAGCUAGAAUCCUUGGGAAGCAAAGUUGUGGAUGUUCUUUCUUACAACGAUCCAGGUGUGUACAAUAAUUGCCUUUGAAAUUUCAAACAAUUUCGAAGUUUAUAGUUGACUCUUUAUGUUCGUUUUGCUACAGCUGAACGUGAACUUAGUCGAAGUGAUUUUGAUUCCGACAGAUGUUUACUAAGGAUUGAAGACUUCAGAUGUUAUGAACUGAGUUCUGGGAUUUGUUGACCACGCAAGUAUUUACACAGUGAACGAUGGACUUUGGCCUGAGGUGAAGUUACAACCCAACAAUAGUGUGGAUUUCCACUGGGAUCCGGGUUAAGCAAGCACGUUAAAUGGAGGCAGUCGCUUAUUGAAGGGGUUAUGCAAUUAUGUUGAAGCUUUGGCUUAGUCUGUUAUCCUCUCAUCUCCUUCUAGUUACGUUCUUCCUUGUAUUAUUCACUAUUAUCUUGUAUUCUCCGUUAGAAUUGUGUUGAGAAAUUCGAGUUGUUACAUCAGACUUUUGACUUGCAGACUUUUGUAGUUGUUUGUCAAUCAUCAGAACUAAUUUCAGCUUCACUCAUAUGAAUGCAAUACAACAUUUUUCUGAAAAAAUAUCAGGGAUUUAGACAUGUACAAAUUUUCUAGUUUUUUCCAAAUACUUUCGAAAACAGCCUCUCUACCUCCACGAGGUAGUGAUGAGGCCUGUGUACACUCUACCAUUUCCAGACCUCACUUGCUGGAUUUCACUGGAUAUUUUGUUGUUGUUUUUCCAAAUACCAUGGUAGAAGUUCCAAGUUCAAAUCAUAGGAACUAUAUUUUUGUUCUUCAACUUCCUAAGUGAAAAUUCUAGAUCUGCCAUUGUCGUCAACCGAUUUUAUAAAGUUCUUAAACUCUUUUUGUUUUCUUUCUUUCCUUCUUUGUAUAGAACUUAUACCUACACAACACAACACAAUUUUUCAACGAAGGGUGUGCUGACUACCCUUUGAAAUAGGUGGCUCCGUCCAUGCUACAACUAAUUGAGCUACAGAUUUGUAGUGCAAAACUCGUGGCUUCAGCAAGACGAAUUCAAGAAGAGUUUUCUAUGAAGGGUGUGCUGACUACCCUUUGAUAUAGGUGGCUCCGUCCAUGCUACAACCAAUCGAGUUACACAACUGUAGUGCAAAACUCGUAUACUGACUACUCUUUGAUAUAGGUGGCUCCAUCCAUGCUACAACUAAUCGAUUUACAGAACUGGAGUGCAAAACUCAUGGCUUCUGCAGGACAAAUUCAAGAAAAGCAAGAAUACCUAGGAAACAAAGUUGUGGAGGUUUUUUCUUGCUAUGAUCGAGGUGAACACAUGUCACGACCUGAACCGGGGCCCUGGCGGUGAUGAGCAUCCUGAACCAUGAAGGCCCGAGCGCGCUUCUCUAUCUGGCAAUCAUACACACUUUUAUAUAAUAUGAAGGAAAAAUGCGGGAAUAUAAAAUGAUACGGAAUCAUGGUCAUGCUCUGAAUUAUAUUUAUCAAUACGAAAUAAGACCCAUCAACAUCUAAACAACAUCUGUUUCUGUCUAAGAAAUCUCUAAUACAUACAAAAUAAACAAAACUGUCUUAAUCUGGGACAAGGCCCCCAGUGGACCUAAACCAAAAUAAAUAUCAAAAUUUUGAACGAAAUAGGCCUUCCGGAAUAAAGAAGGCUCACCAACUGCACGCUUCACUUCUGUCUGAAUACUCUACCGCUUAGCAGGACCUUUAGACUGAGCCUCAGACCCUGGAAGGUAGGGGGCCAAUACAUUUGUAUUGGUACGCAGAGCAAAUCCAAAAUAAUAAUUUAUAUUCAACAUAUAUGAGAGCAAUUUAAAAACAGUUCAUAAAUAUGUAAUAUGGUAAGAAUCACAUGGGCAAUUUUUUAUAAGACUCUGUAAAAUCAUCUGAACUCUGUGACACUCUUUGUUUUACUUCUGCGCUAGGUGGUAUACCCUACAACUUUGAAAUUCCAUGGGCCAUAAGGAAUCUGUCAUUAACUCGGCAGCCAAGCCCCCAACCCAAGUUUACCGCAAGGGUCGGAGUCUCUGAAUCUCUACUAUACCACAGGUCCGUCACCAGCGUACAACAGUAACAUAUCCAUAUCAGCAAAACACGAUUUUAGUCUAUGAGUCGAUUGACUCGUUCCCUCUUCGGGUAACCAUCUAACCCUCUGUAAGCCCAUUGUUAAUUCUUUACAACAUGCAAUCUUUGAAAUCAAACUCUGAAGACUCUACUUCUGUUAUGGCAUAAAUUUAUAUGGUAUCGUCAUACCAUUGACUUGCAAGUCACAUUCCCUAAGCCAUUUAUAGCAAAUUAUAUCUCUUUUCUCAAAAUAUGGAAUUUAUGAACCCCCAUAUCAACAAUUCUUUUCAAGAAACUCAUUCUUUAUAACUCACGUAACCACAUGCAAGAAAACUCUCAUUUUCAACAUUCCAAACACACAAGGGGUCAUGUCAAAGAUAUCAAUCACAUGCAAUUCUUUCUCUUUAACACGAGAGCAAAAUCAUAUCAAGAAACUCCCUCUCAUCAUCAUCAAAAUCAUGCUAAUUACUUUAAUAUUGAAAUGAUCACUUUCAAACCAUUAAACAUGCAUCUCAAAUCAUUCUCAACAGUUUCAUAAAUUCUAAAUCAUCAAAGAGAGGUAUUUUAAUGAUAAUGCUCUCAAUCAAAUCUUCAAUAUCAUACAUAUACAUAUAGAUGUAAAUAAAGUUAAGGGGGAAAGGCCUAAAGGCCAAAACAAUAAUAUUAUCAAAACAUCCAUAAUGCGAAAUUUAAAAACCCCUUAAAAUUCAUGCUUGAUAAUCUUUAAAUCAUGUUCUAGUCCUUACAAGCCCAUAUAGUUUUUAGGAUAAACUCCACGUACCUUAGAUUAUGAGAUUAGAAAAAUGAAGCCUAGAUCAUGAUAGAUGGAACCUGGAUUUUUGAUCUUUUUCAUGGAAUCCUUGAUCUUGGGGAUGAGUUCUUGACCUUAGAUUACUUAGGUUGAAGUAUGGAAUCCAGAUCUGAUUUCGUUUCUUGUGACCUUGGAAUGAAAGAGUUGAAUUCCUUGGAUUCUUGGAGAAAAGGAUUUUGGAUUUCGUUCUUGGGGAAGGGAGUAUUUUUGGUGAGUUGGUGUUGAAGAAGAUGGGCAAAUAUCGCCCUUUUUGGUGAUAUAAAUCGUCCUUUGAACGUUUGGGGUUAAGGGGAAAGGACCAAAAUGUCGUUUGACCCUUAUGGAACUGAAAUAACAUGAGAAUUGCCAUCCCCUUUUGGGUCAAGUAGACCCCGCGUUGCGGGGCUAUGGCGACCCCUCACUGCUUUGCAUGGCAUAACUUUUCACUCGAUUAUUGGAUUUUGGAAAAAUUAGUAUUGUUAGAAAUCUAAUUCGAAGAUCUUUCAUUUGAUAUAUAGUAAGACGUCUAAUUCGUUAUAUAUUGGUAGUUAUGAUCGAUUGAAGUUGACCCAAGUUUCGACACUCACUAAAACUCGAAUGAUAGGAAAGAUUUCAACUCGUCCUUGAGUUAGGUGACCUCUAUGAUCUAAACUCAUGAUCAAAUAGAAUCCACACUAUAAUUGAUUCACACGCUAAAUUUACAUAGCAUUUAUGGCUUUUGAAACAUCUACGCCUAGAAAUGACGGUUUUCGUUCUAUCCCGAAAUGCGGGGUGAUGCAUUAUCUCCCCCUUGGGAUCAUUCAUCCCAAAAUGAUGGGUGGGGACUUUUUGAAGUUAUAAAAGUGUAGAAUAUGAAACAAAACCUCGCAUUGAACAUGUUUCCUUAACAAAAUAUGUAAAGACGUCAAACAAGCUUCUUGAUAACCCCUAACGAAACGAGUAAGCAUGAAACAUGAGGCAAUGAGACUUUACAUAGGUAUGAUCUUGCACAUAAGUUCUAUGAAUUAUUAUUAUCAUCACAUGUGGUAGGGGUUUAUUUGAUGAUCAUAGACCUGAUUUAUAUUGGUACUAAUCAUGAAUAAUAUUUCGCGGAAGAUAGGAUUAAAAGCGUUCUCUACCUUACAAAGUACUACGAAUAGACUUAAACUUAUCUAAACCUCAAACAUCAAUCUACAUACUUCAUCAUUUCCAACAUGCAAUUCUCCCAUAACACAUCUAAUGUAACACCCCGCAUUUUUUUUGGGUUAAAAAUCGAAGCAUCGUUCAUACGCGUAUAGACCUAAAGUAGAUGAUUCCUUGUUAAUAUAUUUGUGGUGAUCAAUCCUAUAGUGUAAGAAUACCUUUGAAUAUGAAUUGAGGUCAAAAAAAUCGCCUAACUCCAAGACGAGUUGGAAACAUUUAUACUGAUUAAGUUUUAGUGGAUGUUAAAACUUAGGUCAACUUCCAUUGAUCAUAACUCCUGGUAUAUGAUGAAUUAGAGGGCCUACUAUAUAUCGAACAAAAAGUUAUGGUUAUUUUUGUGAGUGAGGCAGUGAGGUCAUACGAUAAGCGUGCGACGCACACUCCAUCACAUGCACCAAAUUUUCAGGUUCGGUUUCUGCGUUUUUAAGGGCAAAAUGGAUAUUUCCACCCCUCUUAUUCAGCUUAAACAUGAAAUUUUUAUCCCAAAUGACCUCAUUAUUGAUAUUUUCAUCAAAAACCAUCAAGAACACUCCUUAGGGUUUCAAACAAGAAAACCCAAACAACUCAAGAUUCAACCGUAAGUUUUAGAAAUUGAUUGAAUAUUUGGAAUUCCCAAGCCGUGAGCGUCAAGAAUCAUCCUUUAUUUUUCUAAAUAGAGGUACGUGGGGUUUAUCCUAAAAACUACAUGGUCUUGAAAAUAUUAAAGUAUGAUUCAAAGGUUUUGACGCAUGUAUUUUAAAGCGGUUUUGAAAACUAUAUUUUUGAUUAUGUAUUUCAAAUGUUUCAAUGUUAUUAUUACUUUUUCCUUGUGGUCUUUCCCCCCUAAAUUGAUUUACAUGUAUACGUAUAUGUAUGGAAUUGAGAUUGCAGAUUGUUUGAGAGCAUAAAUUAUGGACUCCCUCUCUUGUGAGAAAUUGAAGAUUUUGAUUUUGCUGGAAAAGAGUUGAAAUACAUGUUUUGUGAAUUGAAAGAUGUAUUCUCAAUGUCAUAGUAUUUGAACAUUGAUUUAGAAUUGUUGAGAGGAUAUUUCUUGAUAUAACUAUGUUUUGUGUUAAAGAGAAGAAUUGCAUGAGAUAGAGACUUUUGACAUGACCACCAUUGUUUGUUGAAUUGUUGAUAAAGAGAAUUGCUUAUUUGGUUUUGCAUGACUUUAAAGAAUGAGUUUCUUGAAAUGAUUUAUUGAUAUGGUGGUCCUGAAUUUAUGUUUUGAAAACAAAAAUUGUAAUAUGCUAAUAAUGGCUCAGAGAUGUGAAUUACAAGUCAAUGGUAUGACGAUACCAUAAGUAUGUAUGCCAUAACAGAGUAUGUUUUAAGAAUAUAUUUUUAGAGAAUGUGUCAAGACCCAAACUAGGGUCUGGCCAUGACGGACAUCCCGAACAUGAAGGCCCGAAACGCCCUUCCCUAUCUGGUAAUCAUGCACAAUAUUUCAAUAAUAAAAGAAGAUGCGAAAACAUAAACUGCUACGGAAACAUGGUCAGUUCUGAAUUCAACAUAAGUAUGGAAACUAUAAAUCAACUACAUCUAAAUAACAUCUGACUCAGUCUGCAAAAUCUCUACUACAUGAAAAUCUGACAACUUUCUGAAACUGGGACAAAGGACCCCAGUAGACCAAAACGGUAAUAAGUGACAUAAUCUGAAAAGACAGGCCUUCUGGAAUAGAGAAGUAUCAGUUGUCUGAAUUAUCUACUGCUUAUCUGGACCCCUAGAUUGAACCUAAGAACCUGGAGGGAGGAGCGAAGGUCAAUACAAAUUCACUGGUACGCAAAGUAAUCCAAAAUAAAGCUUUUAUCUAGAUAAAAUAGUUGGUGAGCAAUUUGUCAAAAUAUCAUGCAUGAAAUAGUUCAAAAACACGUGGGCACUUUUCUGUAAAAUCAUAAAUCAUUCUAGAAAAUGCAGUUCUGUUCUUCGCAUUAAUUCUGAGCUAGGUUGUACACCCCUACAAUUCUAAAAUCCCACGGGAUGUAUGGAAUACGCCAUUGACUCGGCAGGGAAUCCCCCAACCAAAGUGUGCUGCAAGGGUCGGAGUUUCUAUUCUAAUACGCCACACGGCACUAGGCCAACGUAAUAUAAUAUACCCGGAUCGGAAAAUCAUGGUUUAGGUCAAUAAGUUGUCUGAACUCAUGCCUUCUUCGGUGAACCACCUAAGCUCUGUUUAUGCCCAAUUUUAUCCUGUUCUGAAUCAUGCAUUUUUUUCUAGUUUCAACAUCUGAAAAGUCUGACUUCAAACAAUCAUUCUAUUCUGUUCUAAUUAUCAUGGCAUAAUCUGAAUUUGUGUCAUCACACCACGACUUGCAAGUUCUAUUUCUAAGCCAUAAUGCAUCAUGCAUAAUUCUUUCAUUAAAACACAUUUCAGACCACCCAAACAUGCAACAGUAUAAAAGAUUUCAUGUUCCAAAAACAUAGAUCAAAACUAUACUGAGAUUAUUCAAACAUGUGGUGGUCAUGUACUUUUGGCAAAAACCAUGCACUCGUUCAUUACAUAUAAUUUCAACAUUUAUCAAUACAAACACCCCUCUCUUUUGAAUUCAAGAUUCAUAACCAAAUCAUUCAUAAAUCAAGGCUUUUCGUAACAAGCUUUUCAAGAUGCAUUUACACUACUAGAAAUUACCCCUAUUGCAACGAACUUUUUUGCUACGGUUAACAAAGCGUUGCAAUAGGUGGUCUAUUGCAACGGUUGCAAGCGUUGUCAAAAAUUAUUAUUCUGUUAGCUCUAAUUUAACAUUAUAACCAUUGAUUUUGACCAUAAGCGUUGCAAUACCUAAAUAAAAUAAGAUCUGGCAACGCUUAAUUUAUUCCCUCCAUUUUCACAAAAACUUUUCAUUCAGUCCACCAAAAGAAAGCUUUCCUACAUCUUAAACCUCAUUCAUUUUACAAUCAAUGAUUAGGGCUUAAACAUUCUCUCUUAUUUCUCUUGCUACAAUCGAUGAUGGAAUUUCUCUUUUAGCUUAAACCUACAGCUUCUCAUUGCUACAAUCGAAUCGAUGAUGCGAUUACUCUCUUAGCUUAAACGUAUAGCUUCUCAUAGCUACAAUCGAAGAUUAGGGCUACAAAAUCACUAAAAUGCUAAUGACAGUCGGUACAAUUGGUACAAACCAUUCAAUCUUGUGGAGAUGGUCUGGUAGUGAGCUGCCGAUGGUGAGAUCUGUGGGUGUUACUGGUGCCGCUUCAAAAAUCAAUUUGUGUUGGAAAGUUUGACCAAAUUUGCACUUCAAUUUCUCUCAAAUUUGCACUUCAAUUGCUUCAAUUUGGGAAUUUUAAGGUUAGUGUAUUCUUCUAUCACUUUGACCUAAUUUUUUGGGAUUUUGGUUUUUUCUUAGGUUCAUUUGAUUGCGUGAAAAUUUUUUAUUUCUCCUUUUAAUUCUAAUAAUUAUGGUCAUUAUGUGAGGGAAGAUGUCGAAAUGCGUUAUAUUGACAACUAGAAGUUGAGUAAGAUGAGUAACACUUGUUAGAGUUUUAAUUAUUGUAGUCUUAAUUGUUGAUUUAAUUUGUAUAUAAUGUAGUUUCUAUGUUUAGAUUAUUAUUCUUGUUCAUGUGUGUUUUCAAAUUAACGAGAAAUGAUGUCAGUGGAAAGGAUGAUCCUUAGCUUGUUACUUAGAAAAUGCUACAUAAUUAUUGCCUAGUGAUUGCAGUCAGAUUGAGGAAACUGAUUGUGUUGAUUUGCUUAUUCGAUAGAUAUCUACAACACAAUAGUAGGAAGUAUAUCCAAUUUGUGUCUCCUGAACAUCAGGAGUCAUGAAAAUCCAACUAAAAUGUUUUAUUUUGGGGGAGGAAAUGUGGUGUGGCAGUUAGCUUAAGUGGUUAAAAAGGGAGAGCAGUCUCUCAGUUGAGACAUGUGGAGUAAUAUUCUGGCACGAGUGUUAUUUAUUUCUGUCCAGACUGAUUUUUUUGUAUAAUUGGCAUAAUGUUGAUGAUUUACUGAAAUAAUAACAAUAGAAGUGGCUUUAAAAAGCUAUUUGCACUCGUAAAACCAGUCACGAAUUGCAGCUAUAAGUUACUGGAAUUGACACCAAUACUAAUUAGAUGGUGUCAUUUCCACUGUUUAAUACCGUAGAGAAGAGAUAUUAAAAUAAUUCUAAACUUGUGUGACGAAUUUACUUUAGAUGUUUAACUUCACGGACAUUGGCGGAGCCACCUUGUGGUUCGGGGUUCAUCCGAACCCCCUCCAAUGAAACAGCUACAUAGCCAAAUUUAAAAUUUCAAAAAAUCAUUAAUAACUUAGUUAAAUAACUCUGAUAUGCUCCACUAACUCUACUAUAGAAUAAAUGGCAUGUCAAUGGAUAUUUUCACCUCUGAUAAGGAGGACCUGUAUAAUAUUGCAUCUAAAUGGGUGGUUUAGUUAUUCUAGAGGUUCUUUUGGGUGAAUACCUAAAUAGAGAUGGUAUAGGAAGUUCUCCAGUGUUGUUGUGUAAACCUGCCCCUAUACUAUCAUCAAUAUAUCAGGAUCAGGUGAUGUGAUGUACAACAGAUAGUGUAACAAGUAGGUCAUUCACUCUUAAAUAGUAGAUGCCUAGGCUUUUUCCUCUUUUCUUUUUUGGGUCAUGUGCAAGCAUAACUUUUGCUCCUUGCUGGUUCAGACAGGUCAAUGUGAUGAACACUCUGAGCAAGCUUAGUCAUGAUUUAGACUUCAAAGUAGCUAUGGUAUGUUUGAAGAACAGCAGAAAGUAGAUAAUUUUGUUUCUAUAAAAAAAUUCUCAAAUAUGAACUGCUUAUCUAAAUGUUGUAUGCAAGCUGCUAUCGUUUCUUUGGGAUUGAUAGGUGCAAGAAAAAACAAUGCCAGAAUAGCUGGCAUGCUGUAUAUUCUGUCCAGUUAUUACUACAAAUAAGCUAACCUUUGUUUUGUGUAAGAAUUAAUUUUCCUUGUUCUCUUAUGUCAACUCUGUAAUAUAAGUAUCCAAUCCACUCUGAUUUUUGGAAUUAUUACUGCUGCAGGUGUGGAUUGCCCAAGGUCUUGUUCAUUUGGGAAAGGGAUUGUUAACUCUCCCACCAUAUCAUUCUGAACAUUUUCUGUAAAGGUACUGGAGCAGUUUGAAUCUUCAGUUGUGCAUGACGAAACUCUAAAUCUACUAUAAAAUUCAAUGUUUCAUCACAAGAAGGGGUUUCUUCAUUGGAUCCAAAAACUUGGAUCUGCACAUCAAAAUGCUUCGUCAAAGACUAAGUCCAUCUCAUGAGUUCCUGGAUUAUCUAGCUUUGAUAACUUCACCAAGUCCUGCUGUAAUUAAAGAGGUUUCUAUUCCGUUCCGUUAUGUUUUUCUGCCUCACCAUUAUACUAAAUGCGUGAUUAAGUUGUAGUUGUGAAUCGAGGUGAAAUGGUCUGUAAUUUUUACAUGACAGAUAACAUUGAACACGAUCACCGAUUUUGAGCGUGAUUGCAAAUUGCCUGUCUAUGGCCUGGAGUAACAUGACUGAAUAAAGCUCUCCUUUUCCCCUUUCUAAUAUUGUAUUUAUGUCAUAUUUCAAUGCUUUUUUUGUUGAAAAACUUAGCUUUAGAAUUCCGAUGGGUCAGCGAAUUAGUGUUAGUAUUGUUAACAUUCUAUUUCAAUGAUGUCGUUGUAUAAGUCAUCGGCAGCACACUUCUGAUUAGAUACACUCUCUUACUGAUAAAAAUAGAGUUCUUUACUUUGUAUUUCUAACUUCUCUUAAAAAUUUUCUUUUUACCUCCACCUAUGGUGGUUUGUGGUACUUCUGGGCUAUAUCUUUAAUCCCAGAAUGUGACAAGUUGACAUCGAGAUUGCAAACGACUUGGUCAAGAAAGAGUAUUGGUAAUCGUCCGACUUCAACAUGCUUGAGUGAGAACCGUUCUACACUGGUUUGUUCUCUUUCUUCUUUUUGUCUUAGUUUUUCCUUCUCCGAAAGUAGUUUUGUUUCUUAAUUAUCUAUGCUAGAAUAAGCUACCGAAUGAACACUUAAACCUCCCCCCUAUAUAAUGAAAUCAUACAAAAAUUUGACAAUAGCCCUAUACUUCAAAAAUGUGUUGUUAAAAGCAUUCACAGUGAGGCGGGGAUCUGGCGUUUCAUAUGGCUGAGGUGACUUGAGGUGGAAGAAGUGACUUAGGAGUAUUUUCAGGCAUGUAUAAUAUUUCACUGCUCGGAGCGACUUUCUUCAGGUCGAAGGUUUGUUAUUUUCUGGUUCUCUUUUUCAUCCAAGCUCCAGGUAUGUUUCUUCUUCUUGGAAUAUGCUGAACUGUUUUAAGUUGCUGGCUAUGUACUACGCCGCCAAAUUUCUAUGCUUUGUUAAAGUUAAGCUCUACAUGUAUCCCUUUUGUUGAAUCUUGUUUACAGUAUGUCUGUACGCUUUUGUACUUAUUUGCCGGAUCUAGUAUUAACUGAAAGGUAAAAACAGGUGCCUCGUUAGACAUUACUCAUCUAAUAAAUUUGACCGUCUUAGAGAAGCUGAUUAUCAGAAAUAUAAUUGCCAGUAAUAAAGUUUGGAAUUUAUAGAUAUCGUAGUGAUUUAAAUGAUUUUGAUAUGCAUACAGAGGAUUCAUAUUGUUGACCAUGACUAGUUUGGAUUUUUGGCCUACAUUUAUUUAUGGCAAUAAACAGUUCUCUGAUAUGGUUGUUAUCGUACGUAGGAGCUAGAGUCUUUCAACAUAGGAAAACCUAUAGUCUGACUGAGUUUUUUCCUUUACCGAUACCUAUUCUUGCGUCUUACUUUUGGAAACUUAUGAGAUGCUAUUUUUCCCGGGGAGUCCGACUCUUCAAUCAAAAAAAAGACAGUCGUGUGCAAGUCGACUGAGAAAACACAAGCUUAACAUGUCUUUCUUUACCUUUUUCAUAUCUGAAUGUCUUUGUUGAGUUGGUUGGCAUCAUUAUCUUCUUUCUGUCUUUUCAUUGUCCGCCUCCGCCCAAACAGAUAUGCACUAACCUACCUGAAAUAAGGUAAAAGCCUUCUUUCCAACCCUUUGUACGAGACUCCUUUCUUCGUACAAAUGCUCGUAGGCGAAAGAGACCUUCCUUUGCUCCUGUCGCGGGAUCAGCUAGAUUCUCACAAGUUUGAUAUAGUCUUCCACUUCAUUACAACAACGACAACAACAUAUCCAGUGUCGUCGUGUCAUCCCACAAGUGGACUCUGGAGGGUAGAGCGUAACAGCCACCGUUUAACACUAUAACCUUAACUGCCACCAUUUAACUUUAUAACCUUAACGGCCACCGUCUAACCUUAUAACCUUAACGGCCACCGUUUAACCUUAUAACCUUAUAAGGCUAACAGCCACCGUUUAACCUUAUAACCAUAACGGCCACCAUUUAACCUUAUAACUUUAACGGCCACCGUUUAACCUUAUAACCUUAUAACCUUAACGGCCAUCGUUUAACCUUCAAAAACAUAAAUCGGAUAAACCUCUAAUAAAUAUAUGCAAAGGACGUGAAAAUAUCCCCAUUGCAGAUUCAUGCAAAAUCUGAAAAUCGUGAUUUUCUCAGGUUCACUAUAUGCUUCGAUAAAAGUUGCUUCUAUCAUCUAUUCAUCAGUAACACAUCCUUUGAAAAUAGAUUAUAUAGUUCCCUGUUUGAUAUAUUCUUUGUUAAUAUGAAUGGCUAAUAAUCUUGGAAUUCUAUUGAAUGGAGGGUGUUAUCUCUUCUGGAGUAGUCACUCUCUCCUGAUUAUUUGUUGUUUACGAAUGAAUGUAUAUUUUCAGGGUACUGCAUCUAUCAAAAAAGAUGUGGAAGCCCAAAUUCCAAACUAUCCAAACCUUCCAUCAAAGUUAAUUUGUCUUCUGCACAAUGUCACCCUGCAUGUACGUGAAGUUCCUGAUUGACUUGUCUUGAUAAAAACUGUAAUUUAUAUGUUGUUCUACGUUAAUAUAUUGUCUUUUGCAUUAUUUAGGCUAAUCCCGAAACAGAUGAAGUGUAUGCUCAAAUGACACUACAACCAGUUCCUUCUGUGUGACUCUCUCUUUUUGGUUUCAUUUUGGUGUUUCUUUUCUCCUUUUUUUGUGGGAUAAGCAUGGCCCUCUAUCAAGUAUAUCCUGUUCUAAUCAAAUUUAAAACGUAGGUAAUAUGAACGUCUUUGUGUGCAGUUUGACAAGGAGGCAUUAUUGAGGUCAGAUUUGUCUAUGAAAGAAAAUAAACCACAACCAGAAUUUUUUUGCGAAACCUUGACAGCAAGUGAUACAAGCACUCAUGGAAUUUUCUCUAUGCCUCGGCGUGCUGCCGAGGUACUCGAUGUAAAAUAGUCGAGGUGAGUUUUGUUCGAAUGCUAUGGUUUUAUUUGAAGAACAAAGUGUAAUGGGCAAACAAUAAUUUCUUCAUCAAGAAUUUCUAGAUAUUUUGACAUUGGUAAUUAGGUGGACUUUGGUGUCCUUUGUUUGGCAAUAUAAUUUUUUUUUAUGGAUGAUGCAUCAAAGGUUUAAACAAAGGAACCAAACCCCUAUCACCAAAUACUUUUGGUCCUGGGAUAAGUAAAAACUGAAGGUCAUUAACCCACUCGUGUCUGAAUUGUUCCUCUAUUAGCUUCUUUAUCAGUGGAGAUCAUACAGAAAAGUUCAAAUAAUAAUUGAGAUCGGAAAUUAUCUGGUUUAUUUGGAUUUUUAUCAGUUGGUUCAUAUAAAAAUUUGUUGUGGAAUAGUCCUUUUUAUGUUGUCAUUUAAGUGCUAAUUUAUAUUAUUUGUUCUCUAUUUAUCGGUGUAUGAAGAAAGAGAUGAAGAAAAUGAUGAAGACAUUGACCAUACUUGAGAAGAUUUUUUGGUUGUGGAUAAAUGCACUUAGUUUUGUGUUGAAUUUUUCUAAACUUAUCGCGACUUGAACUUGCUAGUAUGUAAAAACUUAACUAAUCAUUUGGAUUACAUUUUACUUUUGGGUUUAAAUUACUAGCUUGUUGCAUAUUUUGAAUAAUGAGAUUAUUAAUUAAUGAUUUUGUUGUGUGAUGUGUAUAUAUUGUGUUAUAAUUUAUUAUGUAUAUAAAUAAAAAUUUACGUUAACACAACUAUGUAUAUAAAUCAUUUUAAUAUAAUAACAAAAGCAUCGUAAUAGAUGCUAUUGCAACGGUUUAUGUCGUUGCAAUAGAAUCUAUUGCAACGGUUCAUAACCAUUGCAAUAUAUUAAAAUAGGCGUCCCAACAAGUGAUGAAAUAGUUGUAAUACAUAGUCAAAAAGCGUUGCAACAAAAUAGCAAAGGUGUCACAAUAACAUCUAUUUCGACAGUUCAUAACCAUUGCAAUAGCAUCUAUUGCAACGGUUCGUAACCAUUGCAAUAGAUGAAAAUAGGCGUCUCAAUAAGUCAAAAAAUAACCGUCGCAAUAGGCCUAACUAUGGCAACGGUUAUACGAAACCGUCACUAUAGCUCUAUCUAUGGCGACGGUUUAUACAACCGUCGCAAAAACCAUUGCCAUAGACCUAUUGCAACGCCCACCUAUGGGACAGUUGUUGAACCGUUUCGAUCGGCCUUUUGCAAUAUUUUUUUUUGGCCUAUUGCAACAGUUUUGCAACCAUCACCAUAGACCUAAUUUCCGGUACAAAACAAUUCAUAACAUGUAAGACAUGGAAACAAUCACAUCAAGAGAGGGAUUUGAUGUGAGUCAUUCUCUCAAUUUCAAAUAUCAACUCAAAUCACAUACAUAUAUGUAUAUAAAUUUUCAAAUCACUUCGGGGAAAGGCCCAAAGACCAAAGCAGUGUCAUUAAAGCUUCUAAAACAUGAUUAUAUUCAUAAUCCGAAACCCUUUUCUUAAAAGCAUGAUUUCUAUGCCCAUGAGAUUUUGAGAAAAAACCCACGUACCUUGAUUACGGAGAAAAGUGGAUGAUUCUUGAAGCCUUUGGUGUGGGGAGUCCAAAUCUUUAAUCACUUUCGAAAACCAUGGUUGAAUCUUGAUUUAUUUGGGUUUUUAGUUUGAAACCCUAGAGAGUGUUCUUGGAGUAAUUUGAUGAAAAUAUCAAUAAUGAGGUCAUUUGGGAAUAAAAUUUAUAUUUAAGUUGAAGAAGGGGGGCUGAAAAUACCCAUUUUGCCCUUAAAAUGCGGAAACAGAAUUGAAAAUUUGAAGCGUGCGAUAGGGCGUGCGUCGCACACUUAUCGCAUCUGUCUCAAUCACUAAAAUGGCCAUAACUUUUCACUCGGGUAUCAAAUUUAGGCAAAAUUUUUAUCGUUGGAAAGCUUAUUCGAAGACCUUUCAUUUAAUAUAUAAUAUUCCCUAUAAUUCAUCAUAUACUAGGAGUUAUGAUCGAUGGAAUUUGACCAAAGUUUAACCAUCCACUAAAACUUAUUUGGUAAAAAUGUUUUCAGCUCGUCUUAGAGUUAGGGAAUUUUUGUGAACUCAAUUCAUAUUCAAAGGUAUUAUUACACUAUAGUAUUGAUCAGCACACAUAUAUUAGCAAGGAAUCAUCUAGUUCGGGUCUAUACGCGUAAGGACGACGGCCUUGAUUCUAGCCCGAAAGUACGAGGUGUUACAAAAUGCAUGUUUUAAAGGAUUAAAAAUGGGCUUAAAGAGGGUUAGGUGGUUACUCGAAGAGGGCUUGAUUUCAAAUAACUCUUAGCCUAAAACCAUAUUUUCGGUACGGGUAUAUUAUUAUUGUACGCUGGCGACGGUCAUGUGGCAUAGUAGAUACAGAGACUCCGACCCUUGCGGCACACUUGGGUUGGGGGCUUGGCUGCUGAGUUAAUGGAAGAUACCAUAUAGCCUGUGGGAUUACAGAUUGUAGGGUAUACCAUAUAGCGCAAAAGUAACAUAAAGAGUGUCACAGAGUUUAGAUGAUUUCAUAGUCUUUUAGAAUACCUAUGUGAUUUCUUACUAUAUGAUAUGUUUAUGCACUGUUUUAAAUUGCUCUUAUGUAUGUUAAAUAUAAAUUAUUAUUUUGAAUUUGCUCUGCGUACCAGUACAUCUGUAUUGAUCCCCUACCUCCCAGGUACUAAGACUUAAUAUAGGGGUCCAGCUAAGCAGUAGAGUGUUCAUAGAGAAGUGAUUCGUGCAGUGGUGAGCCUUCUGUAAGACCCCGCAAAUUCAUGUGUCAAAUUCAGCUCGUAAAGCCCCAUGAAAGAUCCCAAGAUUAGAAAUUUUUGCUAAAUGUUCAAGAUUCAACACUUAGUCUCAUUUUAGACCUUCGAACUUCGAGGAUUUAUUUGACGACCUUCCCGACCUUCGUUUUUGGAUUUUCAAGUUGCGUUAUGAUGGGGCAAGGUUGCAGUACAUCUCGGGUAAGUUUCGGAAUUUUUCGGAUAGCGUAAGGGCAUGUUUGGAUUUGCAAAACAGUAGCACCAGGCGAUAGACCCGUUUCACCCGUCCUAGAGAACUGCUCUUAGCCAGGCGUCGCCUGAUCUACAGCAGUGGACUAGGGUAGGCGUCGUCUGCUAAGUUCGAUGCUUGCCCAAUUUUCUGCACUCAACCCCCGUGUCCCUAAGGUAAUUUUGGUCCUUUUGCCACCCUAUUUAUACUCUUUUACACGGGAUUUGAGCUCCAUAACACCAAAAUACAUCCCUUUUGCUGGUUUUCUCUCAAGAACAACCAAUAACUCAAGUUAGGGUUUUCAUAGAAGCUCUAAGAAUCAAGAGAUUUCACCGUAGAAUUUCAAGGAAACUUCUAACUAAGGUAUGCAUGUGUUGAUUUAUAGAUUCCUUUCAUCCAUAAAGCUCAAGAAUCAUCUUUCAAAUUUUGUAUUAUGAUGUUUAUGUUGUUGAUGGUUGAUGAUCAUGUUGUUGGAGUUUGAUGAUGCCCAGGAUGGGAUUUUUGUAUGUUUAUGUGAAGCUAUGGCGGUAUAUGAUGUAUAAAUAUAUGAAAUUUAUGGUCGAAUACUUGUAAUCUUGAUGAAUCUACCUAUGCCUAAGAUGUGCAUGUAAGGUGUUUGUGAAAAUACCUAAGAGACUAGAAAUCAUGCUUUUAUGACAUAAUAGGUCCUAAAUGACUAUUCCAUGUUCUACGUUUAAGUUCAACGUGAUUUCCAUGCUUUUCUUGAAUUGAAGAUGUUGUAUGAGAUGCUCAUGAUAUUGUUGUGAUAUGAAAUUACCAUGAUAUUGGAGCCAUGCAAGUAUAUACAUGUUUUAUUCAUUCCCGUCCAAGUGAUAGAUUGUUGAGAACCAUGCUUAGUAUGAAAUCCCUACUUAUAAUAUUGUGAAUUGUGGACUCUACUCUUAUGAUCAAGUCAGUCAUGUGUGUCAGUUUCCUUCCAUCGAGUCCUGGGGGUACAGUACCCGAAAAAUAUAGUUGUGCGCGUAGAUCCAUGUCAAGUUAUCACGAUACUCUCAGUCAAGUCAUGAUCUAUAGAAUUCAGUCAGUCAUGUGAUUCAGGAAACCUCAGAAAUCUUAGUAAUCUCAGUACUCAGUAAUCUCAGUGAUCUUAGUACCAGCAGUAUUCCUAGUGAUCUCAGUAGUUUCAGUACUCUCAGUCAGUACUCGGAACUCAGUAAGUUCUUUCAGUCAAGGGAACCAGUAAACUUAGUUUAACUCGGCUAAAUAAUACCGCUAGUAUCAGUUCAGUUAACUCAGCCCAGUCUAGUUCAGCUAAUCAGUUCAGUUUAGUCAAUCAGUUCAGCUCAGUUAAUCUGUUUAGAGUCUUUCAGUUGGGAGAUGGAACUAUCACCGAGCGAGUAUGGGGAUGGCGGCUUCCCCACUAUAGAGGCGGAGUCGUUAACAGCAAUCCCUAUACUCUAGAACUGCGUAGCUAGUACAGGACCAGGAGUCACCAUUAGAUUAGGCUUAACUACUUCCCCGGAUUCACCCGCCAUAUUAGGCUUGGCUCCCACCAGGUGUCACCCGUCAUAUUAGGCAUGGCAUCCUGGGUUCAGUUAGCAGUGUCUUUACCCAUGGCAAGACAUUGACACCCUUCUAAUCAGGGCAAGUAUUAGAUCCCACCAGUUUAGUAUCGGGGCAUGUCGGUUAGGUGACUACCUCCAAUAGUUACAAUUUCAGUAUCAGUCUUCAGAGUAGAAAUCAAAAAUCAAGACUGUCAGAUACAGUCAUCGAUCUCAGUAAGGAACUCAGAUAGUUCCACAGACUUAAAGACCACCGGUCAUAUGGGCUUGGUAUCUCAUUAAGUUAUUCAAUAUCAGUACUUAUAGAGGUCACCCGGCAGAUAGGCUUGAUCUCAAUCUCAGAUUUCAGUUGAGUAUUCUUAUUAUCAGUUCUAGAGAUCACCCGUUAUUUAGGCCUGAUCUCAAGCUUAGUCACUCUUAACCAUUAUUAGGAGAUUUAGACUAUCAGAUAUAGUCACUCAGUAUCAGUUACAUCGGUUAGGCCAAUCAUCAUAGUUAUAUCAGUUAUAUCAGUCAUCAUAGCUUACGUUAUCAGUAUUCAGUUUUUAGGACUGUUAGACACAGUCAAUCAGACCAGUUCUUCAUAAUUCGAACUGUCAGAAAUAUUCAUUCAUCUAUUCAGUAUCUCAGUAUCAGUAAAGUCAUGAUGUCAUUAUUCAGACUCAGUAGUCAGUAUCUCCACGAGUUCAGUAGAAGUUAUGUAUGUAUGUAUUCUCACACUCAUAGUAGUCAGCAUGUUCAUGCAUAUAAACCCAUGCAUUUAGCCUACCCCCACGUAUACUCAGUAUUUUAGUUGUGCUGACGCAUUCGCGCUAUGGUGCUUUCUUUUUAUGUUACACCAUAGGUUCUGAGGCGCAGGCUCCAGAUCAGCAGUAGCAGUUCAGUUAGCAGUGAGUCCUCAUCUUUCGAGGACAUGAUCAUUACAUUUAUCAUUCCAGUAUUUAAGUUUAUUUUCAGUUUAGGGAGUUAGUUGGAGACAUGUUUCUUCAACUCCUUAUUCAGACAGUUUAGAGGCUUUCAGACGAUUACAAAUUUUUCAGAUUCAGACUUUAGUAUUUUUUUCAGUUUUGUUUUGGUACUGUGAUACCACCUUAUUCAGACGUUUUAUUGUUCAAGAUUGAACCUUACGGCCUUUUAGUUCAUGUUUCCGCAUUUUUAUACAUAUAUUUUGCAGUUACAGGUACAGAUAUCAAUCUUGGGUAAGCUUGUGGUCCUUCGGGGUCAUUAGCAUCGUGUAAUGUUCCGAUUCAGAAAAUCGGGGGUUACACCUUCCUUGUUCCAAAAGGCCUGUGUAUUUUUAGAUUAUGUUAUUCUUUUUGUUUUGGUCUACUGGGGUCUUGUCCCAGUUUCAGACAGUUGUUAUGUUCGCAGACUAUUCCAGAUGUUGUUUAGUUGAUUUUGGAUUUCAUUCCUUAUUGUUAAACUUAAUCCAGAGUAUGACCAUGUUUCCAUAUUAGAUUAUAUUUUUGCAUCUUCUUUUAUUAUAUGAAUGUUGUGCAUGACUACCAGAUAAAGUAGGACGUUCGGGCUUCAUGAUUUGGGAUGCCCGUCACAGCUAGGCCCUAGUUUGGGUCGUGACAUCUAACCACAACAGUUUUUUGUCCUGUAGUAUAAUAAUUCUAUGCUGAAGCCCAACUCAGAGAAAAAAGGUGUUAAUUUAAACUAUGGGACCCGGUACUCUACAUCACAUUGAGAAAUCACCUCACCUCAUCACUAUAAUUCCACAACCUCAGGUCUUAAUUCAAGGAAUACUAACAACAUGUCACAUUGGUUUAUUUAUUCACCAAAAACAAAAUUCAAGCCUAUCAUCAUGGACCUCUCUACUAAGACCAGCAAAUUCAAUCAUUCUCGCAAAGAUUCUCUCCAUAUACUUCCCUUCUAACUAUAUACUUCCCUUCUAACUAUUUCACAUAACGAGAAUUUCUCUUUUCUACCCACUUCUCUUUUAACCGCAGCUCAAGAUAUCACCUCAAGAUUUUCACCUUUAAGAACAUCUAAUCCCUUGCCUACACAUUACUAUGCUUCCACAACCACCAUCACAUUAAUGUACGGAGGGUCAUUGAGGGACCCAAGCAAAAACAUCAUGAAUGAAAGUAACAUUUAUCAAUCCACUUAUUGCACUUCUCAAGGAGGCACAGGAGGUGAAGAUACAAUAAAAUAGACAUAACACAACACAACACAACACAACAUGGUUUCUUUAGGACAGACCAAAAUGAGGAACAUGGAUGCACAUAUCAUGAGUUAUAUGGCAUAAAGUUGAGAUUUAUGUCGUUAACAACUAAGAUAAGGAUUUCACUUAAAGUGAUUGCUCCUCAUUUAAAGAUCUGAACAUUUCCAUGAGUUAGCAUAAACUUUAUCACCUUGGGUAAUUUCGGCAUAAAAUGAUUCUGCAACAUAUAGAAACAUAUUUUCUUAGGACCAAACAUGUUGUGAGACAUAGGUUUGGAUCAUGAGCAACAUAACAUAUGGCUUGGAUAUUUGGAAUAUUGGAUCACUGAGGGACAUUAUUUCUCUUUGUUUGGAUAUCGAAACAUGACAUGAUUUACAUUAAGAGUUCAAACUUUAGGCAUAGGUAAUACAUGAAUGUAUGACAUAAGACAUUAUCAAGAUACUCUUCUAAAUUGAAGUUGGAGGAUUAUGCUUGAGUAGAAUUAAGUUCAUCAUGACUCCUUCCCGCAACUUGCCGCGUUGGGAAAAAUUCGGGAACUAACUUAAUUCCCCAUCUCCCCCUUAGAUCAAAGUCAUAAUCCUAGACUGACAGAUAUAUCCCAUUACCAAUUCUAUAGCCACAACUCUCAACAUAAAAGAGACAUCACCAUAUACUUAAACUCUAACUCUCCCUAAUGAUCUAUACCCCGAAGACCUUGCUUUUCUAUAAAUAUUACUCUUAAAUUUCGCCAACCAUUAUAGCCAUUACUCUACAACCCCCACUUCCAUGAGUGUACGCAUCACACUUCUUAUCACCAAGGGAUAUCAAUAUAUACAUGAAUACAACUCCUCUCAUUUAUUUCUAAUAUAAAGACACUAAAUUCUUUCUGGGACCUCCGUUCAGGAACACUAAUCAUAACUUCUUCUAACCCCAAAAUCACCACUUAUGGCUAACAUUAAUAUGGGUAUGGGCAUCUAUGCUUCAAAUCACUCAACACUUCUUCUUCAAAUCCUUAGAAUAAUAGCUUUACACCUCUAAUCACAUAACUUAGCACUUAACAAAAUUUGUAAAAUUAUACCCAAGGCUCAUAUUACCUACCAGUAUUUCCUCAGUUCAACUCUAACGAACACCGAACAACAACUCACCAGGCUUAUCUAUACUACAAUUUUAAGGACACAAACUAGGCACGCAAAACAUGUAUACUCAAAAAUACUAAAUUUUCCCUUCUUAAUAAUACUCUAAAGGCAUUGCUUUCCAAGAACGCUACUCUUAGUUUUUGUUACGAUCCUCUAUUUUCAUCAACCUACAACUUGCAGUCUCAUGAGCAUGCACAUCCUUACUCCUUAUCACAUACAAAAAAAUCUACUCCCCACUACUUAACCUUCUAACAUCAGACCAUUAAUUGCAUAAUUUAUAUGAAAGUGUGUAUGAUUGCCAAAUAAAGAAGGAUGCUCAAGCCUUCAUGAUUUGGGAUGCUCGUCAUGACCAGGGCCCUAGUUCGGGUCAUGACAAACUUGGUAUCAAAGCCGCUCCUGUGUCAUCCUUGUCGAUGUGGGCCAGAGUUCAAACUAAGUGUAGGCAAAUCUCGAUAAGGUAGGGAAAACCUCAGUCCUGAGUGUAGGCAAAUCCCAUUCGGUGGGGCAAACCUCAGCGAGGACGCUGAGUCUAUAAGGGGGUGUAUAUAACACCUCAACUUAGAAAGGAUUCCCACAUGGUAAAACACAGGAGGGAUGUUGGGUAUAUAAGUAAGAAAGUCUUACUCCCUAAUGAUGUGUUUUAAAGCUGUGCGGGCCUUGGCCCAAAGCAGACAAUAUCACUAGUGGGUUAGGCAGAGAAAGGGAUCUCUUGGGCCUUGAUGGUUUGGGAUGCCCGUCGUGACUAGGGCCCCGGAAGGGUGAUUCUCUCUCUUUUAUGGUGGUUGGAUAAUAUUGUGGCAAGAUUUGUAAAUUGUAUGGUUGUAUGUAAAGGAAGUGGCUGGCUAUGAUUAUUAUCUAUUUGAAUUAGGAAAGGAUCCUAGAGUGAAAAGCUAUGGUGGUUACAGAAAUUCCUUAUAGGCUAUGAAUGAAAAAGGUUAGAUUAACCAAUAAGUUACAAGUAUAGACUCAUUUUAGUAUGUGGUAUUUGAAGGUUGUCUAAAUGUAUGCUUGGGGUAAGUAAGUAUGAUGUGAGAAAGUAGAAUAUGUAGAUAAGAUUGUAUAGGAUUAUAAUAUAAGAUUAAGGUUGACCAUGUCUAUUAUGUGACUUUACCCCCUUGACCUUCUUUUCUUCAGUAGUUGUAAACUAGUACUACUUGUGAGAAAGUAUGUAGUAGAUUUAGAGGUGUAGUAGUAAUGUUAUGGAGGUGAUCUGGUUGAAGGUAGUAUCUAGGUGACAUGAGGUAUUUGAGUUGAUUUCCCUAUUUGUUGGACUAGUACAUUAUGUUGCAUUCUUCAUUGGUGAUUGAUGAUUGAUGCUAGACUAUAGGCUUGAAUUUUAGAUGUAGAAUGUGGUGGUAAGAAUAGUAGCUUAAGAUUAAUGAGGUAUGUUUUAUGGCAAUGAAUUGGUAGGCUUGAUGUGAUUUGUGAAAGAGCCUAAGUUGAUAGUUUAUGAAAAGUUUAAGUGGUAAGUGUGAGGUAUAUGUGUAUAUGAGGACUAGUAUUAAAGUAAUGAAUUUUGGGUGAAUCAUUAAGUGGAUAGAGUGUAAGUAUAUAAGAAUAAGUUGCACCCCUAGUAGUAUGGCAUUAGGUAAGAUUUUAUGAUAUUAUGAAGGAAAAAUACGAAAAUAUAAAAUGAUACAAAAUCAUGGUCAUGCUCUGAAUUAAGUUUAUCAAUAAAAAAUAAGACCCAUUAACAUCUAAACAGCAUCUGUUUCUGUCUACGAAAUCUAUAAUACAUAGGAAAUAAACAAAAUGUCUAAAUCUGGGACAAGGCCCCCAGUGGACCUAAACCAAAAUAAAUAUCAAAAGUUUGAAUGAAGGCUUUCCGGAAUAAAGAAGGCUCACCACUGCACGCUUCACUUCUGUCUAAAUACUCUACGGCUUAGCAGGACCUCUAGACUGAGCCUCAGACCCUGGAAGGUCGGGGGUUAAUACAUUUGUACUAGUACGCAGAUCAAAUACAAAAUAAUAAUUUAUAUUCAAUAUAUAUAUGAGAGCUAUUUAAAAACAGUUCAUAAAUAUGUCAUAUGGUAAGAAUCACAUGGGCAAUUUCUUAUAAGACUCUAUAAAAGCAUCUGAACUCUGUGACACUCUUUGUUUUACUUCUGCGCUAGGUGGUAUAUACCCUAUAACUCUGAAAUUCCAUGGGCCAUAUGGAAUCUGCCAUUAACUCGGCAGCCAAGCCCCAACCCAAGUUUUUUGCAAGGGUCGGAGUCUCUGAAUCUCUACAACGCCACAAGGUCGUCGCCGGCGUACAAUAGUAACAUACCCGUAUCGGCAAAACACGAUUUUGGUGUAUGAGUCGAUCGACUCGUGCCCUCUUCGGGUAACCGCCUAACCCUCUUUAAUCUCAUUUUUAAUUCUUUAUAAUAUGCAAUCCUUGAAAUCAAACUAUGAAGACUCUAGUUCUGUUAUGGCAUAAAUUUAUAUGGUAUCGUCAUACCAUUAACUUGCAAGUCACAUUCCCUGAGCCAUUUAUGGCAAAUUAUAUCUCUGUUCUCAAAAUAUGGAAUUUACGGACCCUAUAUCAACAAUUCUUUUCAAGAAACUCAUUCUUUAAAACUCACGUAACCACAUGCAAGAAAACUCUCAUUUUCAACAUUCCAAACACACAAGGUGGUCAUGUCAAAGAUAUUAAUCACAUGCAAUUCUUUCUCUUUAAUACAAGAACGAAAUAAUAUCAAGAAACUCUCUCAUCAUCAUCAAAAUCAUGUUAAUUACUUUAAUAUUGAAAAGAUCAUUUUCAAACCAUUAAACAUGCAUCUCAAAUCAUUCUCAACAGUUUCAUAAACUCUAAAUCAUCAAAGAGAGGAAUUUUAAUGAUAAUUCUCUCAAUCAAAUCUUCAAUCUCAUUCAUAUACAUAUAGAUGUAAAUCAAGUUAAGGGGGAAAGGCCUAAAGGCCAAAACAAUAAUAUUAUCAAAACAUCCAUAAUGCGAAAUUUAAAGCAUAAGUUCCAAAACACCUUUACAAUUCAUGCUUGAUAAUCUUUAAAUCAUGUUCUAGUGUUUACAAGCCCAUAUAGUUUUUAGGAUAAACCCUACGUACCUUAGAUUACGAGAUUUGAAAGAUGAAACCUAGAUCAUGAUAGAUGGAACCCGGAUUUUUGAUCUUUUUCAUGGAAUUCUUGAUCUUGGGGAUGAGUUCUUGACCUUAGAUUACUUAGGUUGAAGUAUGGAAUCCAGAUUUGAUUUCGUUUCUUGUGAUCUUGGAAUGAAAGAGUUGAAUUCCUUGGAUUCUUGGAGAAAAGGAUUUUGGAUUUCGUUCUUGGGGAAGGGAGUAUUUUGGGUGAGUUGGUGUUGAAGAAGAUGGGCAAAUAUCGCCCUUUUUGGUGAUAUAAAUCAUCCUUUGGACGUUUGGGGUUGAGGGGAAAGGAUCAAAGUGUCCUUUGAUCCUUAUGGAACUGAAAUAACAUGGGAAUUUCCAUCGCAUCGCGACCCCUAGUCGGGUUAAGUAGCCCUCGCGACGCGACCCCCUUUUGGGUCAAGCAGACCCCGCGUCGCGGGGCUAUUGUGAACCCUCACUGCUUUGCAUGGCAUAACUUUUCACUCGAUUAUCGGAUUUUGAAAAAAUUAGUAUUGUUAGAAAGCUAAUUUGAAGAUCUUUCAUUUGAUAUAUAGUAAGACCUCUAAUUCUUUAUAUAUUGGUAGUUAUGAUCAAUUGAAGUUGACCCAAGUUUCGACAAUCACUAAAACUCGAACGAUAGGAAAGCUUUCAACUCGUCCUUGAGUUAGGGGACCUCUAUGAUCUCAAUUAAUGAUCAAAUAGAUUCCACACUACAUAAUUGAUUCACGCGCUAAAUUUUCAUAGGAUUUAUGGCUUUUGGAACAUCUACGCUUAGAAAUGACGGUUUUCGUUCUAGUCCGAAAUGCGGGGUAUUACAACACAAUCAGUGGCUUACACUGAAGUUCAAUUUUCUAUGAGGCUGGACAGCCCAUAGUAUCAGCAACAUUGAGAAUUGAGUAAUGAUGUAACUCUUUAAUUAUAAUCAAGUUCUUAUACACCAUAGACAGAAUUAAACGCGAAAAGAAACACAACUAUUCAAAGAUAUUUGCAGGUUUCGACCAUCCAUAGCUCCCUAUCCAUUCAGCUAUGGAUGAGCUCUUUUUACUUUCAGAGGGCUAGUCAGUAGUUCAGUUUUGUUAAUAAGUUUAGAUCUUGGGUCUUGUCCUGAUAAACAUUAUUCAGUAUGUCAUAGAGGCUUGGUAGACACAUCUAAACUAUCACUUAUUAAUUUGAGAAACACAUGUAAAAACUGACUACACUAAAUAUUCAUUUACAAACUCAUUUAGGUGUUUCUAGCCAUUAAAAAUCAGUCCACGUGGCAUAUCUUUAUUAUUUUUUGCUAACUCUUUUUUUUUUUUAAUUUUAAUUGAUUUUUAUUAAUUUUAAGGUGUGUUUCUUAAACUAAUGAGUGAUAAUUUAGAUGUACUUAUCACACCCACAAUAAUUUUAGUAUGAAACUAAAAAAAAAAAAGAAGGGAUAAUUUUAGCAAAUUAAUACUUUUUGCAAAUUAAAGUAGUCUUGAUAAUUGAGUCAUAUUCACUUUAUGAGUCAAAAAUAUUUCCUUUCAUUUUUUCUAAAUAAUUAUUUGUUGCACUUUUCCGCACCAAAAAAAGAAAAUUAAAAAAAAAAAUAAUAGCAGCGAUAACAUAUUGAGCCAAACUUCUAAUAGAGGACAAAGUUGGACCUUUUUGCAAAAUACAAGAGGUCUUUAUCGACCUUCUCGCGAAUUAUACAUUUCUAUUUUAUUAUUACUAACAUAUUACUUAUUAAGUUGUUAUAUAUCCCACUGAAUAAAAAAUUAAAAAACUUUUAAGUAUAGUAUGUAAAACACACUUUAAAUAUCACCUUUUUUGAGUCUCACACCUAAACUAUUGGAAAUGUAAGAAAUACAUCUAAAUAAUUAUUUAUUAGUUUGAGAAACACACCUAAAAACUGACUAGAUUAAAUAUUCGUUUACAAACGCAUUUAGGCAUAUCUAGCCAUUAAAAAUCAGUCCACAUGGCAUUUUUUUUUUUUUUUUGGCUAAUACAUUAACUUUUCAUUUUUUAUAAUUUUUUAUUAAUUUAAAGGUGUGUUCCUUAAAAUGAUGAGUGAUAGUUUAGGUGUGUUUCUCACACCCCCAAUAAUUCUAAUAUGAAACUCCAAAAAAGGGAAGAAUAAAAACUACCAUUGAUGUGGUCUACCACUUAAAUAGAUAAAAGCAAAUUUUAGUUUUUUAAACAAAUUUUAAAUUGUCAAACACUUAAAAAGUUAAAAAUAAUUUAAAAGCUAUUUUUAACUUAAAAUAACCUCAUCCAAACACCCAAAUAAUCCCACCCACUUGCCCUUAGCCAACAGAGCCAUAGCCUUAAAAUGACGAUUUUAUCCUCACCUUUGACGGCCUUCAUUGGACUAGCAGCAUUACUUUUAGCAAUUUAAUUUACUUCGAUUCUGGAGUUUGUUUUUACCUUUUGUUUUUUUAGAAAAAAAAAAUAUUUAUUUCUUUUUUUACUUGUCGUUUUUAUGGAGUAAUGUUUUGUAAUUGGGAAUAGUGCAUCAUAAAAAUAGUGUUAAAUACUUCCUUCAUCUCAUUUUACCUGUUCCAAAUUUUCUAAUUUAUGUCCUAUUUUACUUUUUUUUUUUUUACUUGUUAAGAUUAGACAAUUUAUUUUUUCAUAUUUUAUCCUUUGUAUUAAUUUUUUUUUAAAAAUUAAAAUGUAAACAUCAUUUAAUUGAGGUACUAUAAUAAAUUAGACAUGUUAUUUAUUAUUUUUUUUAAUAUCUGUGUCAUCCUAAUUUGGGACGAGUAAAAUAGAACGGAGGGAGUAUAUAUUAGCGGGAAGUUUUAACGUUGCCUUCAUUUAAUAGUUUUAUGCUUUGUUAGUGGGGAAAAAUUAUGGUUGUUUCUAAAAAUGUUUUCUCACUAAAUGAAAUUUACUUGCACUUUCACAUUUUUAUGACGUUUUUGAAAUGUACCUUGUACCCAAAAAUAAACAAAUAAUUAUAGUUCAUGAUUUAAUAGGUUUUAUUUUUCUUUCUGAGUUCUUGAUUUGCAAAAAUAAAAAACAGAAGGAUAGUUUGGUACUCUAAUGUAUUCCAUAGUCAUCGCUAUUAUAUUUUUUAUCAACAUUUUAUAAAUAUUUGUUGUAUUUUCAAAGUUCUAGCUAGCGUUUAAUUAUAGAUUUUAGAAUUAGUUUUAAAAAGUUAUCUAUAAAUGUCUGUUUGACCAUGAAAUUUGAUCAGAUUUGAAAAUCCAUGCGGAAUUUUUCACUCACAAUUUCUUUUCUUCUUUUUUUAAAGUGAAAGAAAGUUUAAAUAUGACUUCCAAAUUUAAAAAUUACUAUGGCAAAAGCUCAAAUAUUCCGUUUUAACUUUAAAAUCUAAGAUCAAACGAAAAUUUAGGUUGCUACACUCUCUUUGUACAUUUUUAUGGAAUAAUACCCACGAAAAUAUCUGAACUUUGACCGAAUUACCAGUUGAGCAUACUGAAUUUUAGCGGAGGUCCUAUUACCCCCUAGACUUAUUUUUCGUAUUUUAAUGGCAUAUAUCUACCACUUGAAUAAUUGUGUGUUAGACACGCACAUUGAGUGAGUGAAGGAGUUAAAAAACGUUACAAACACAUUUUUUUUGGCCAAACGGCCCCUAACUUUUCUAAUUAUUGAAAGUUUUAUAUAUAUUUUUUUAUUCUUUCUCUUCUCUCUUCUUUCUUUUUUCUCUUCAACAAUAAAGUCUUCACCAAUGAUUGCUCCAUUGUAGAAUUAAAAUUGAACACAAUUACAUCACACACCUACACACUCAAAUGAGUCGUCUUCAACACACCCAAAUUUAAUUUAAUACUUUGAAUAAUUUCAAAUUCAAAUUCGAUUUCAUAUUGAACUCAAAUUUGAAAGCUUGGAAGCAAACGUAUGUACUUGCUAUAUACUUUUAGUGGCUCAUGAAUGAUUUUGCAUUACUACUAGCACUAAUUUAUACCAUUGAAUGUUUCUAGUUUUUUCUUCGAUUUCAACAUGACUUAAGUGGGAGCUAGAAUAAUUUGUUCCCACAUUGUGAACAUAUCUUUGCUUCUUGGAGCUGUGCUCUCUUGGGGUAUCAUGUGGCAUCUAAUUAUUGAACGCAAAGAAGCUUGGUUCCCUUCAAGUUUACCACAGAGCAGCAUGAAGAGUCUAACCCUGCAAAUCAGUUUCUAGUUUCCUGUUUUUUCAUUUUCAGUUUCCAUUUUGAAUUUCCAAAUUUGAAGAUUCCAUUAAUGAAAGUUUUCAAUUUGAAUUUGAAAUUUGAGUUGGAAUGCACUGAAAUCAUUUGAAAUUUGAUUUGUAAGAGGAAUUUGAGUUGUGGAAUCUUUAAGAGUUAUAAUGGUGAAAAAAUGUUGAAAAGUGAUAAAAUGGAAAAGAAACAACACGUGUACCACACUUUCCGAUGUCAAAACUAGGUAUAACUUUGCGAGGACAAUUAGUUCCACUUUAAAAAGUUCGGGUGAAUUAAUUCCACUUUAAAAAGUAUAGGUGUGUGUUCAAUAUGCUCAACUGAAAAUGUGGUUAAAGUUCAGAUAUUUUCGUGGAUAUUAUCCCUUUUUAUAUAUAUAUCCGAUUUAUUAAAUUAGAUGUCUAGUUUUUCUAGUUCAAUUUGGCAAACCAAGAUAUAAUUUACCAAUGAGUGUGUAUUUCACCUUUGUUGUUAAAGCAUAUACAAUUUUCUAACAUUUAUAAAUUACUUAUGAGCAAUAUAGAAAAUUAUCCUUUUAUUUAUUGUGACUUAAAAAGUGCAUCAAAUCAAACACGAACAAGUAAAAACGGAAGGAGAAAAUACUAUCUAAUGUAAAGGUUUUAAUGGCAUUGUGAUCUACAACACCAUGGCCUGCAAAUAUGCAAUGAAUACAAUCAAAUCAUAACGUUGCACAGUUGCAGGCAGAAAAGAAAAAGAAAUUUUAAUUCGAUUAUUAAAUCAAACUCAAUAUUGUUUCAAAGCUUAUAAAUCUCCUUUCUAAUAUGAGUAAUCGAAAUUCAUAACACUCAAUAUUAAUAUGCAGCCUUUGUUUCAAUUUGUGUGUUUUCCUUUUCUUUUUAUUUUGUUGAGAAAAUACUCAAUUAUCACUUUGAACUAUACGCGAAAAGGUUGAGACACAUCCGAACUUUAGGAGGGUCCUAUUACCUCCUGUACUAAUUAGACAUAUAUUUCACAACAUACUGAAGUGUCCACGUAGGCACACGUGUGUACCACGUAGGCACUAAGAUUGUCAAAUAUAUGAUUUUAAUCAGUCCAGGAAUAAUAGAACCCUUCUAAAGUUUAAGUGUGUAUCAGCCUUUUCACGUAUAGUUCAAGGUGGUAAUAAAAUAUUUUUCCUAUUUUGUUUAAAAAAUAAUCAUACUUUGUAUAUUAAAUAUAAUUCAUUAAUUUCAAUAUCUGAUGACAACAAGGGUGUAACUUUAAUGUACACCUUUUUUAAACACAAUGGAGAAUAAGACAAGUUUCAAAAUAAAAUAAACACUUUUUUUACACCUUAUACGAGAACAAGGUCAGAAAACAUUGACUGAAUGUGCACUAUUAUCUAUGGUUGAAAAGUUGAACCAAACUGUGUUGGACACUUUGCCCGGCCACUAGCCAUUACUUAUACGAGAACGUCUUGUUGUGGUAGGGGGAAUAUGUCUGACAUUCUAAUACUUUAUAUAUUUUUAAAUACAAUAAAGAAGUUCUCUCAUUCUAAAAGUUAUAAUUAAAAUUGGAUAUUCUUUAAUUUUAAAUAAACAUAUUUAAAAGUACAUUUGUCCUAGACAAAGGCGUUUUUGGCUAGAGCAGCAAUCGAAAAUCUUUACUUUAUAAGGUCUGAAUCAUACUUCUUUUUAUAAUUUAGUACAGAAAAUAAAAUUUAAUUUAAAGUUAUUGAAUUUGUUGAAUUUAUAAUUAGUAUAAUGACUUUGCUUCUGCCUUUGGGUAUAUAGAUGUUACAACAAAAAUAUAAUCGGUAUAAUUUCGCAAGUGAGUAUCUAUGAAAAGAGAGUUUGUAUGUAACUUUAUUUCUAUCUUGUGAAGUUAAAAAGUUAUUUUUGAUAGACAUUCAGAAUAAGUAAAGCAUAAAAUCACCUAUAAAAAAGAUAAUAUAAUAGGAAAAUACUUAUGUUCAACUGAAAAAAGAGAAACGAUUGCAACAACACAUAGUUGGAAGCAAAGAAAAUAUGUAAUAAUAGAAUCGAAGUACAGAUUAAUAACAUGUGAAUAGUUAUAACAAAACUGAUAAAGAAAAAGUAAACAACAUUCAACUACCUAUUAAUUUUCUAUCAUAAUCUCAACCUUCAUAUUUGCAAGUAUAUCAUGUCAGGUCUACUUAUCUCUUUCUAUACUUCUUCCAUGUAACUCUACUUCUCCUCAUACCCUUACCAUAGCCAAUAUCUCUCACCUCCUUGCUAAACAUCUGUGCAUUGGCAUAUCGAAAGUUAAAAUAUUUAAUUUCAAUGUAAACCUGUAUAUUAAUGUUACUCUCAACUUUUAAUACUAAAAUAUCAUUUUAUUUUGUAGUUUUAAAUGUAUCACGUGAAAAGUUAGAAUAGUAUUAUUAAAAAAUAUUUUUUUAAAUAGAUUAAAAAUAAAAAAAAAGAUCAAUUUUUUUUAAAUGAAGAAAGUACUUGUUAAAUUGUUAUAUGUUUCAUUUAAUAAAAAAUAAAAAUAUUUAUAUUUUUUCAAAUUAAAGAUAGUCUUGAAAAUUGAGUCAUAGCUCAUUGUAUGAGUUAAAAAAUUUGUUUCUUUUAUGAGAAAAAAUACUCCACUAUUUGGCUCCUUAAGUCCUAAGCUGGAGAUUUAUUAUUUAUUUAUUGAUUAGCCUAUAAAGUAUUAGUAUUAAAAUAUGUUUUUUUCAAAUUAAAGAUAAUCUUCAUAAUUGAGUGAUAGCACACAGUCAAAAAGUUUACUUUUUUUUAAGAAAAAAGAUACUCCACUAUUUGUCUUUGAGUCCUAAGCUAAGCUGGAGAUUUAUUGUUUCUUUAUUGAUUAGUCCAUAAAGUAUUAGUAUUAAAAUAGUUAUUUUUUUAAAAAUUAAAAAUAGUCUUCAUAAGUGAUAGCUCGCAGUCAAAAAGUUUACCUUUUCAAGAAAAAAGAUACUCCACUAUUUGGCUCCUUAGUCGGAGAUUUAUUAUUUCUUUAUUGAUUAGCCCAUAAAAUAUUAGUGGCAGACAACUAAUCUAAAUAAAAAAUUUGUGAUUGGUAGAGUAAAUUGGCCAAGUUCUUCUUUAAUAUAUUAAUGAGGGAUAUCUUUAAAUAAUUAAGGUAGAUCUGAAAAGGGUUAAGUAUACAUACAUAUUCUCCCUAUCUCAUAAAUAUAAAGAGAUUAUUUUUGAAGAAUCGUCAUUUAAAUAGAGCAAAUCAAAUUAGUUAUUAAAAUAGAAAAAACAUGACUGCUAAUAAAGAAAUCAGAACAUAACAUGUAUUAACAAAAUAAAAAAAACUUUUAAAUCUUGUGCUCCUAAAUUAAAGUUAUAUCAUAUGUAUUAAAAUAUUUUUUAAUCUUGUGGCCUUAAACACAUCAUGUAUAUAGUUGGAAUAGUGUUGCCAAAAAAGAAUAUAAUCAAUUUUUUAAACAAGCUAAAAUUAAAAGCAGAUCAGGUUUUUUGAAAUGGAGCACAUUAAGUUGUUAUAUGUUCCAUUGAAUAAAAAAUUAAAUUAUUUUUGUUUUGCAAAUUAAUGGUAAUCUUGAUAAUUGAAUUAUGUUCGAAAAGAUUAUCUAUCUUUUUUUUAAAAUAAUAAUUUUGCUCCUAAAAUUGAAGAUUUGUUUUGGUCAUCCAACCAUCUCUUAUUAUUUCUUUAUUGACUUAUUAAGUAAUAUAAUAUAAGUGGCAGCUAAUAUGUAUAAAAAAAUUGGUGAUUGGUAUAAUUGUCCAAGGUCUUUUUUUACUAUAUCAAUGAGCUAGGUAAAUCUUUACAUAAUUGCAUCAGUGACAUCUGGAAAGGGUUAAUGCAGAAUUUGUAUUAAGGUAGAGAGCUUAUUUUUUAUGGAUCCUAAUUUUAUUUUAAAAUAUAAUAAAGGUAUAUAUCUACAUAAUCAUCUCUUCAGAAUUUUUUCUCUCUUAAAACUACAACUGAUGUAUUCUUCCAUUUAAAUAGAUAAAAGCACUUUCCCCACAUGCAACAAUAAUUGACGUUCUCAUCCCAAUUUUAUCACAAGGCAAACAUACACUUUACUAGACACUCAGAGAGGUAUGCCAUUUUUCUCUUGAUUUUAAUCUUGAUUACUUGCUACUAUAUCUUUGUGUUUAUAUAUACUCAUAUUUGUGUUUUUUAUUGUAUUUUGUUGCAGUGAUCAGUUGUUUCUUCCCAACUUUCUUCCUGUAUUCACAAAUAAUCAUUAAAAGGUUAGUUUCCCUUAAUUACUCGUUUUCUGAGUUAAUAACUAUUGGUUGAGUAACCAUCUGCAAAGUAAGCUCAACAACUUAGCAUACCUACUGCCAUCCUGUUAUUUUUUGUUAAGCAUGGUUCUGAAGAAAAAGAUUACUCCCUUCAUUUAAAAAAGACUGAUGAAAAACUCAUUCCUAUAAAACGGAUUAAAAGGAAAAGUAGAUCAUUCUUUUAAACAAAGAAAAUUUUGUUUCAAUAGAAACCCAGGUCCAUUUCAAUUUGUUUGUUUGAAUUUGACUUGACACAAACCUAAAGAAAGUAAAAGGGACUUUUAAAUCUUAUGGUCUUAGACUAAAAUGUCGUUUAAUUUCAUUGUCUGACUUCCUACCAAAGUUAGAAAAUCCCACAAGUGGGGUAUCAGGAAGGUGGGGUGAGUGAGGUGUACACAAACCUUACCCCUACCUUUGCAAUUGAGAGGGGUAGAGAGAUUGUUUAUGAUAAACCCACGGUACAAGAAAACCUUUUUUGUAAACUAACAUUAAAAGAGAAGGGAAGAAGGGAAUUAAUUAGUACAACAUGUCCUGUGUAAGUCUCAUAGACCAUCACCUAAUGACCAUGGAAACAUGUGUAUUAUACCAUCACCUACUUAUGUUCCACCGCUUAGGACUUGAAACUGCAAGUUGUAGGAGGCCAAUAGUGUUAAAAUAACACCAUUCGAAAAGUUACAAAACAAACAGCAACAUACCUAUGUAAUCAUAUUAAGUGGGGUCUGGUGAGAAAGACUGUUUCCGACAGAUAAAGUUGCAAAAGAGUGAGUUAAAAACUAAGAAAUCAGGCAACUUCAGUCUGCACCAAUUUUAUGCCAAUGCUAUUCUGUACAUGCUAGAUCAUGAAAUAGUAACUUGCCACAACGAGAAAAAUUCGGAAACUACCUUAAGCCACCAUCUCCCCCUUAGAUCAAAGUCAAAAGUCCUAAACUUGAGAACAUAAUCUCUCAUCAAUCUAUAACCACAAUUCUCAAUACAGUAGGGGGUAUCGAUAUACACGAACAGAAACUUCUCUCAAUAAUUUAACAUAAAGACACAAUUCUUUCUAGGACAUACCCCUUCAGGGAUACUAAUCAUAACUUAUUCUAACCCCAGAGUCAUCAAAUUAUGACUAACAUUAUUAUGGGGAUAGGCAUUUAUGCUUCUAAUCACUCAACACUUCUUCAUCAACUCCUUAGAAUACUAGCAUUUAACCUCUUAACCACUUAACUUUCAAACUCAACAGCAUUCGUAAAACUAUACCAAAGGAGUACAUUGCCUACAUAUAUUUCCUCAAUUUAACUCUAAUGAACACUGUAGAACAACUCACCAGACUUCUCCAUACUACUAUAUCAAGAACACAAACUAGGUACGCAAAACACUUAUAAACAUUAUUACUAAACUUUCCCUUUUAAGUAUACUCUAAGGCAUUGCUUUCUAAGAACGCUACUCUUAAUUUUUCACUAUCCUCUAUCGUCAUCAACCUACAAUUUGCAGUCUCAUGAGCAUACACAUCCUCACUCCUUAUCACAUAAAAAUCCAAUCUCCACUACUUAACCUUCUAACAUUAGAUCGUUAACCAUAUAACUAAUAUCAAAAAAUCUUACCAAACGCCAUACUACCAGGGGUUGAAACUCAUUAUUAUAUACUUAAGCCCUUAUCCAUUUAAUGGCUCACCCACAAUUCAUAAUUUCAACAUUAGUCCUCAUAUACACAUAUACCUUACAAUUACCACUUAACUUUUCAUAAAUUAUCAACCGAGGCUCUUUCACAAAUCUCAUCAAGCCUACAAAUUCAUUCCCACAAAACAUACAUCAUUAAUCUUAAGCUACUACUCUUACGACCACAUUAUACAUCUAAAAUCCAAGCCUAUAAUCUAGCAUCAAUCAUCUACCACCAAUGAAGCAUGCAACAUAAUAUACUAGUCUAUCAAAUUAGGAAAAUUAACUCCAGAUACCUCAUUUCAUUUAUUUACUACCUACAAUCACAACCUCUCCAUGACUUCACUAUUACAACUCAAAAUCCACUACAUACCUUUUCAAAGGAAGUACUAGUUUACAACUACAAAAAUAAAGACAAUCAAAAGGGGGGGGGGGGGGGGGGGGAUAAAGUCACAUAAUAGACAUGGUCAACCUUAAUCUUAUAUUAUAAUACAAUACGAUCCUAUCUACAAAUUCUACUUUUUCACAUAAUACUUACCCAAGCAUAUAUUUAGACUACCUUCAAAUUCCAAAAACAACAAUGAGUCUAUAAUUAUAACUUAUUAUCUAAUCUAACCAUUUCCAUUCACAACUAAUAUGGGAUUUCUAUAACCACCAUAACUAUCCACUCUAGGCUUCUUCCCUAUUUUUUUGAAUAGAUAAUAAUCACAGCCCAACACUUCUUCUGUCGAAUGCCUUACAAUCUACAAAUAUCACUACCACGUUAGUCUAUCAAUAUAAAAUGAUAAAUCAUCCCUCAAUCGAUGGUUACACAACGAAAAAAUAUUUAUUUACACAAGAUAAAAGUUCCCCCCACUCUGACUUCUAAUCUUGUGACUUCAUAUCACCAACUUCCUAGCCCAAUCUCACUAGCAAUAGGUCAUGACACUUUAACAUACACAACUUGGGUGGAAAUACAGUUCUAACAUUCUUCUACACAUUAUGCCCAUUAUGCAUGACAUCUGCAACAAGAAUUUUUUAGAAAAGAGAAUGGAUACACUCUAUACAUCAAGCUCAAAUGUACGACUGUUGUAGAUAGGGGUAUAAAUUGAAAUCGAAACACUUUACAGUACUUAUGGACUUCUCUCAAGUUCUUGUACAAUUUCACAACCAUUUAUGACUAAAUAAAAAAAUAUCGUAUCAUUUAGAUUCUACGCUUCUACACUUGAAUCAUCUCAACAAUGAGACAUGCCUAAGAACAUCAGACUAAGGAGCGAAUUGGGAUAACUUUACUUUCAUAUGGAAGACACCACAGAACGAACUAAAGUAUGAAAGAGGAACAUUGUGACUCCAUAGCAUAAACUAGAACAUGAAGAAAAAGAAAUAUUCCUACACGUCUUGUAGCCUCCUACUUAUAAGUGUGGAGCGCUACACACCUCUAAACAGGACUCUACCCGACGCAAUUUCACAGACACCCUGGGACCAUGAACCGUGCUCUGAUACUAAGUUUGUCACGGCCCGAACCAGGGCCCUGACCAUGACAGACAUCCCGAACCAUGAAGGUCCGAAAGUCCUUUUAACUUGUAAUCAUAUACACCAUUCAUAUACAAAGAGGAAAUACAUAACAAAAUAAAAUCAUGGUCAACGAAUAGAAUUCAAAGGAACAAUUUAAAAUGGAGUUCCAUAACUUCUAAUAGCAUCUAAUAACAGUCUGCAAAAUCUCUAAUACAUAAGAGCCAAUAUCUUGUCUAGAACUGGGAAAAGGCCCCGAGUGUAGACCAUAAUCAAAGAAAACAACCAAAUAUGAAAAUCAGGACUUUCAAAAUAAAGAAGGCUCACCAACUGCAACUUCUGACACACUCGAUUCUAUUUCUGAAUGGGACCCCGGGACUGUGCCUCAGAUCCUGAAAUAUAGGAGGUCAAUACUAAUGUACUGGUACACAGAGCGAACAAAAUAUGACGACCCGAACUUGGGCCCUGUCUAUGACGGACAUUCCGAACCAUGAAGGCCCGAGAGCCCUUCUAACUUGUAAUCAUAUACACCAUUCAUAUAUAAAUAGAAAAUACGGAAAUAAAAUCUGCUACGGAAACAUGGUCAUAAUCUAAAUUUAGUAAAUGAGUAAUAAAAUCCAAUAUCAACUAAAUACCAUCUGAAAAUCGUUUGCGAAAUCUCUACUACAUGAUCAAAUAUCAACUGUCUGAAAACUGGGACAAGGCCCCCAGUACACCAAAAUCAUAAUAAAUAAUAACUGUCUGAAAGAAACUAGACCCUUCUAAAAUAUACAAGGCUUACCAACUGGUACUCUUCACUCCUGUCGGAUGAAAUCUACUGCUUAUCAGGACUCCUAGAUUGUGCCUCAGAACUUGGAGAGAGGGGGGUCAAUACAGAUGUACUGGUACGCAAAGCAAUCCAAAAUAAAGCUUGUAUAUAUAUAUAUAUAUAUAAAAUAGUUGAGAGCAAUUUUGUCACAUCAUACAUAAAGUGAUUUUCAAAACACAUGGGCACUUUCUAAAAAUCAUAAAUCAUUCUUAUCAAUACAAUGUCGGAUCUUUGUAUUACUUUUGAGUUAGAUAACACUCCCUUACAAGUCUUAUAUUUCACGGGCUAUAUGGAAUCCUCCAUUGACUCGGCGGGAAAGCCCCCAACCCAAGUGUGCCGCAAGGGUUGGAGUUCCUGAAUCUGAUACGCCAAAGGGCUCUAGGCUAGCGUAAUAAAUAAACCCGAAUCGACAAAUCACGAUUUUGGACAAUGAGUUGUCUAAACUCACUCCUUCUUCGGAGAACCACCUAAACUCUCUUUAAGCGCAAUUUUAUCCUAUUUUGAAUCAUGUAUUUUUCUAGUUUCAACAUCUGAAAAGUCUGAUUUCAAACAUGCAUUCUAUUCUGUUCUGAAUUAUCAUGGCAUAAUCUGAAUUGGUGUCGUCACACCAAGACUGCAAGUCCUAUUUCUGAGCCAUAAUGUAUCAUGCAUAAUUCUUUCGUGAAAAUACAGUUCAGACCACCCAAACAUGCAAACAGUAUAAAAGAUUUCAUGUUCCGAAAACACAAGUCAAUACUAUGCAAGAAUACUUCAAACAUAUGGUGGUCAUGUACUUUUGAAAAAAUUCAUGAACUCUUUCAUUAUAUGUAUUUUCAACAUUUUUAAAUACAAACAACCCUCUCUUUUGAAUUCAAGAUUCAUAACCAAAUCAUUCAUAAAUCAAGACACUUCGUAACAUGCUUUUCAAGAUGCAUUUCAAAACAAAUCAUAGCAUAUCAUGAGUAAAGGAAAAAUCAUAACAAGAGAGAGAUUUUUCAUGAGUCCUGCUCUCAAUUCAAUCAUCAAUCUUUAAAACACAUUCUUAAAUAUAUAUACAAUUUCAAAUCAAUUUGGGAGAAGGUCAAAAGACCAAAACAAUACCGUCAAGAUUUCUAAAACAUGAUUGUAUUCAUAAAUCUGAAAACCCCUUUCUUAAAAUCAUGAUUUUUAUGCCCAUGAGAUUUUAGGAAAAUCCCGCAUACCUUAAAUUAGAAGCUUUUGAAUGAACUCUAGAUUUUGAGGUGCUAUACGUACGAUUGAUGGGUGCCUCUUGUAGCCCUCGCAAUGGGGAUUCCGAAUCUUGAAGAAUUAGGGAAAACCCCACGGUUGAAUCUUGAGUUAUCUAGGUUUUUAGUUUAAAACCCUAGAGAGUGUUCUUAGGUAAUUUGGGUGAAUAAAGUCAUAUUUUUGUGUUUUAGGAGUUUAAUUCCAUGUUAUAGCUGGAUAAGGGAUGGAAGAUACCCAUUUUCCCCUUAAAAACGCGGAAACAAUAUCUGAAAAUUUGGAGCGUGUGAUAGGGUGUGCGUCGCAUGCUUAUCGUAUGUUGUUACUGUCUCAGUCACUAAAAUGGCCAUAACUUUUCAUUCGGGUAUCAGAUUUAGGAGAAAUCGAUAUCGUUGGAAAGCUUAUUCCAAGAACUUUCAUUUGAUAUAUAGUAGGCCUUCUAAUUUAUCAUAUACCAUGAGUUAUAGUUGAUGAAAGUUGACCCAAGUUUAAACAUCCACUAAAACUUAUUUGAUUGAAAUGUUUUCAACUCGUCUUAGAGUUAGGGGAUUUUUGUGAACUCAAUUCAUAUUCAAAGGUAUUCUUACACUAUAGGAUUGAUCACCACACAUAUAUUAAUAAGGAAUCAUCUAGUUUAGGUCUAUAACUUAAGGACGAUGGUCUUGAUUCUAGCCUGAAAGUACGGGGUGUUACAUUAUCUCCCCUUUGGGAUCAUUCAUCCCCGAAUGAUGGGUAGAGGCUUUUUGGAGCUCUAAAAGUGUAGAAUAAAGAACUUAAUAUAGAGUUAAGUAUUUUUCCUCAACAAAAUAUGUGAAGGCAGCGAACAAGCUUCAUGUAACCCCUAGUGAAACGUGAAAGCAUGAAACAUGAGAUAACAAAACAUAACAUUGACAUUAUCUUUGCAUGUGUUUUAUGGCACUUGAUCAAAGCAUUGUAAGAUAUGAAUUUUUCCUAAGAAUCCUCGCCUUGAUUAAGAUUGGUACAAUUCAUGAGAUGUAAAUCUCGCGGGACAUAAGAAUAUUAUCCUUCUCCAUCUUACAAGAUGCAAUAAAAAUACUUAAGCUUGGAGACAUUAUUUGCCUACGCCCCAAACAAUAAAUUACAUGCCUCAUCAUUCCCAACUUACAAUUUUUCCCAUACACGUCUAACCACACAAAUUUGAUUUCCAUUGUAAUACACUUCUAUGUUGAAGCUUUCUUUGAUUCUAGAUCAAAGAUUAAUUUCUAUCUAGAUUAUAUAUAUAUAUAUAUAUAUAUAUAUGUAUGUAUGUAUAUAUAUAUAUAUGUAUAUAUCAAGUAGAUUGUUGAUUUCGAUGUAUAUCUAUCAGAUCGUGGCUUUAUGUAACAAAUAUUUUAAUAUCGUUGCAUCCAGUAUUUUUGUUUCGGAGGAAAAAUGUGCUAACUUAAACUAAGGGACCCUGUACUCUACAUCAUCCAUAAAUCAUCUCACCUCAUCACUAUAAUCCAACAACUCCAGUCUUAAUUCAAGGAAUACUAACCACAUGGCACAUUGUUUUAUUUCUUCACCCCACACAAAAUUUAAGCCUGUCAUUACUACACCCACUACAUGGAUCUCUCCCCACUAAAACCAACAAUUUCAAUCACUCUCACAAAUAGUUUCACCAUAAUUUUCUCUUCUUUGCUAUUUCGUACAACAAAAGUUCAUCUCCUUCCUUUUCCUUUCACCUAUAACCUCAGCUCGAGAAUCACAUCAAAUUUCUCACCUUCAAGAACAUAUACUCCCAUACCUAACACACUAGUACGCUUCCACAACAACCAUCAUACUAACAUAUGGAGGGCCAUUAAGGGACCCGAGCAUAAACAUCAUGAAUGAAAGUAACAUUAUCAGACCAUCACGCAUACUUAUUGCACUUAUUCGAGGAGGUACAUGAAAUGAAGAUACGAUAGAAUACACACGGAGUACUUCUGAUAUCAAGUGUCUAGAUCAUCAGAGGGUUGUUCGGCACGAACACAACACAUUGUGGUUUCCUUAGGAUAGACCAAAAUGAGAAACAUGGAUGCACAUAUCAUAAGCUAUAUGGAAUAAAUCCGAAAUUUAUGUCGUUAACAACUAAGGUAAGGAUUUCACUUAAAGCGAUUGCUCCUCAUUCAAGUGCUGAUUUUUUUUCAGCAUAAAAUGAUUCCGCAACAUAUAGAAAUAUAUUUUUCUUAUGGCCAAGCAUGUUGUGAGACAUAGGUUUGGAUCAUGAGCAGCAUAACAUAUGGCUCGGAUACUUUGAGUAUUAGGUCGCUGAGCGGCAUUACUGCUUCUUGUCUGGACAUCAGAACAUGACAUGACUUACAUAGAGAACUCAAACCUUAGACAUCGGCAAGGAUUGAAUACAUGCGACCUUGGUAGAAUGAACUCUUAAACUGACGUAGGAGGAACAUGCUUGAAUAGGAGUAGGUUCAUCAUGACUCUUCUCUACUUGCCAAAAUGAGAAAAUUCAAAAACUACCUUAACUCACCAUCUUACUCUUAGAUCAAAGUCAUAAUCCUAGACUUGAGAACAUAACUGCUUAUCAAUCUAUAACCACAAUUCUCUAUACAAUAGGGGAUAUCGGUAUACACAUGAACGCAAACUUCCUUCAAUAAUUUAACACAAAGACACUAAAUUCCUUCAGGGACAUCCCCUUUCGGGAAUACCAAUCAUAACUUCCUCUUACCCCAAAAUCAUCCACUCAUGAUUAACAUCAUUAUAGGCAUAGAUAUCCAUGCCUCUAAACACUUAAGAGUUAAGACUUCUGUUCUUGGAAGGGAAGGAUGGUUUCAAUUUGGGAAGAAUGUUAAUUUAGGGCUAAAGUGCUAUUUCGCUACUCAAAUUUGUGUUUAGGCCGAAUUAAUGUGGGUGAAAAUGAACCAAAUGCACUUAAUGAGAUGGAGUUUAAAUGCUGAAAUUUUCAGGUACGUGCAGCAGAGCAUGCGUCACAUGCUGCAUCACACAGCACUAGACCAUGCGACGCAUGCAUAUCGCAUGAUGCCACUGUUUUGGGCAUCCAAACAUGCCCUAAACGACGCCCAAAAAUUCCAAAACUCAAUCAAGACAUACCCUUGACUUCCCCGAUCAUGGAUUAAUAAGAAAAUCUAAAAUCGGAGUUCGAGAAGGUCAAAAAUAAAAUCAUCAAAGAUUGGGAGCUUAAAAUGUAACUAAGUUAUUUUCUUUAACACUUAGAAAAAGGGAAUCAUUUAAGUUGUUAGCCAUCUAAGCCUGUUACUAAGUAACAUCAAAUCGAGAAAACUAUGGGGCGUUAUGACUACUUAAUGCAUACUCUAAAAGCAUUGCUUUCCAGAAUGCUACUCUUAAAUUUUGCUAUUCUCAAUCAUCAUCAACCUAAAACUCGCAUUCUCAUGAGCAUACAUACACAUCCUCCCUUUUUAUCACAUCAAAGUCCACUCUACACUUAACCUUCUAACAUUACACCUUUAAUCGCAUAACUUAUAUCAUAGAAGAAACCUUACCUAGCAACUCAACGGUACUACUAUGUCUACUAGCCACACGCAAUAUGUAAUAGUCUUAGAAAAUGCCACAACUCCAGAUCACCUUGGGCAUACUUCUACCUCAUACAUACAACAUCAUACUUUUUUACGAAUCAAAUAAACUUAAUCUAUGGUGUAUAAUCUAUUGCAUACACCAUUCAAGCCUAUUAGAUCACUUUCAUAUAACUAGUAUCAUUAACCAAGAAAUCACCACAUCCACCUCUAUGGACAUCAACUGUUCAAACUUAAUGUCUAGUGCUAAGCAUGAUUUACAACCCAACCUGACACAUAAUUCUCAUAAAACAUUCAUCAUUAAUCUUAAGCCACUAUUCUUACAUCCACAUCCUACAUUAAAUUCAAGCCACUAGUCUAGCAUCAAUCAUCUACCACCAAUGAAGAAGACAACAUUAUAUACUAGUCCGUCAAAUUGGGACAUUCUAUCCAAAUACCUCAAAAAUCUACUACAUACCUUCUCACAAGUAGUACUAGUUUACAACUACCAAUGGAAAGAUGGUUAAGGUGGGUAAAGUCACCUAAUACACAUGGUCAACCUUAAUCUUAUAUUAUAACCCCAUACAAUCUUAUCUACUUAUACAACUUUCUCACAUCACACUUACUUACCCAAGCAUACAUUUAAACUACCUUCAAGUUCCACAAGCAACCAUGAGUCGAUAAUUAUUACUGACUGGCUCAUCUAGCCAUUUUCAUACUUCAAGCAGACAACAAUUCACCUUAACUAAUAACUCCUUCUCUACCUUCUACUAAACUAACACACAUGCACGUAUCACAUCAUUACCAACUCAAUCUCAUGCAAAAAGAUUUGACUAUACAAAUAUUUAACCAACACAAGAACAACAAGUUGCUAGUGAAUCGAAAUAGGCCUCACACGGCUUCACUAGAUUUUGAUUUUUGUGUUUUGAACAAUAAAAUGAAAUGAAUAACAAAGCAACUAUGCUAGUGAAUCGAAAGAUCCCAACACGACUUCACUAGACUUUGAUUUUUUUUUCCAAAAACACUAUGAUAACAAGAUUAUAUAUUACAAGGAUAGAAAAUUGAUACACAAUAUUUAAUGAUCUAAGGAUACACAUCUUAUUCUGUAUAAAUAAAAAUCUGAGUCAAACACUUCCUCCACGGACUAUCAUGCAAUCCGCAGAUGGUACUACCACAUUAGUCUACCACAAGAAAAUGGUAAAUCAUUCUCAAUAAAUGAUUAUUCGGCAAUAAAUAUUUACUUACACAAAGGUCACCCUCAAUCUACCUCUAACCUUUUGACUUAAUAUCACUAACUUCUUGGUCUAAUUUCACUACCAAUAGGUCAUGACACCGACACUUUAACUUAUACUACUACUCGGGCUGAAAUACAGUUCCAACAAACACAAUUUUAAACUUGAGGGACUUAUGACACAUUAGGGAGAUCCUCUCAAGCCCCUUUGUGCGACCUCUGAAAUUUUUGCUAGUAAAUCGUAGAGCAUUAUCUAUGAACACCAAAGUAAGGAAAAGAAUUAGGAUAACUUUUCUUUCGUAUGGGCGACAUCAUAGCAUGAAUUGGAGUAUGAAGGAGGAACAUUCUGACUCUAUAGCACGAACUAGAACAUGAAGAAAGAGAGAUAUUCAUAAACGCCUAGUAGCCUCCUGCUUAUAAGUGUGGCGCGCUACACACCCAAAAACAAGACUAUACCUGAUACGAUUUCAUAGACACCCUGGGACCAUGAACCGUGCUCUGAUACCAAGUUUGUCACGACCCGAACCUGGGCCCUGGCCGUGACGGACAUCCCAAAUCAUGAAGGCCCAAGAGCCCUUCUAACCUGUAAUCAUAUACACCAUUCAUAUAUAAAUAGGAAAUGCGAAAAUAAAAUCUUCUACGAAAACAUAGUCAUAAUCUAAAUUUAAUUUUAAAAUGAGGAAUAAAAUCCAAUAUCAACUAAACACCAUUUGAAAACCAUCUGCAAAAUCUCUACUACAUGAUCAAAUAUCAAUUGUCUGAAAAUUGGGACAAGGCCCCCAGUAGACCAAAAUCAUAAUUAAUAAUAACUGUCUGAAAAAAACUAGACCCUUCUGAAAUAUAGAAGGCUCACCAACUGGUACUUUUCACUCCCGUCGGAUGAAAUCUACUGCUUAUCAGGACCCCUAAAUUGUGCCUCAGAACCUGGAGAGGGGGGGUCAAUACAGAUGUACUGGUACAUAGAGCAAUCCAAAAUAAUGCUUUUAUAUAAAUAAAAUAGUUGAGAGCUAGUCAUAAACAUCAUGAAAGAUAUAAUGUUCAAAACACAUGGGCAUUCUUGAGAAAACAUAAUAAACCUUUCUGUCAAAAGCAGUUUCUGAUCUUUGUAUUACUUCUGAGUUAGGUGGCACUCCCCUACAAGUCUGAUAUUCCACGAGUCAUAUGGAAUCCACCAUUGACUUGGUGGGGAAGCCCCCAACACAAGUGUGCUGCAAAGGUUGGAGUGUUUGAGUCUGAUACGCCACAAGGCAUUAGGCCAGCUUAUAAUAAUAUACUCGGAUCAGCAAAUCAUGAUUUUGGGCAAUAAGUUGUCUGAACUUAUGCCUUCUUCGGGGAACCACUUAAGCUCUCUUUAUGCCCAAUUUUAUUUUGUUCUGAAUCAUGCAUUAUUCUAGUUUCAAUAUCUGAAAAAUCUGACUUCAAAUUUGCAUUCUAUUCUGUUCUGAAUUACCAUGGCAUUAUCUAAAUUGGUGUCGUCACACCAAGACUUGCAAGUCCUAUUUCUGAGCCAUAAUGCAUUAUUCUUGAUUAUUUCAUUAAAACAUAGUUCAUACCACCCAAACAUGUAAUUUAACAGAGGGAAUUCAUGUUCCAAAAACAUAAGUCAAAACUAUGCAAAAUUCUCAUUCUUUCAAUAAACAAGUGGUGGUCAUGUAAUCUUUAACAAAACAUAAUCCAAAUAUAACAAUAUUCAAGAUAUUUCAUAACAUGUUUCUUAAGAUGCAUUCAAACGAUUUCAUAGUAUACCAUUAGUAAAUGAAAAUCAUCACAAGAGAGGGAUUUUUCAUGAAUCAUGCUCUCAAUUCAAUCAUCAACCUUAAAACACAUGCUUAAAAUAUAUAUAUAUAUCUUGUAUAUAUAUAUAUAUAUAUAAAAUAGUUGAGAGCAAUUUUGUCACAACAUCAUACAUAAAGUGAUUUUCAAAACACAUGGGCACUUUCUAAAAAUCAUAAAUCAUUCUUAUCAAUGCAAUGUCUGAUCUUUGUAUUACUUCUGAGUUAGGUGACACUCUCCUACAAGUCUGAUAUUCCAUGGACUAUAUAGAAUCCGCCAUUGACUCGGCGGGGAAGCCCCCAACCCAAGUUGCCACAAGGGUUGGAGUUCCUGAAUUUGAUACGACACAGGGCUCUAGGCCAGCGUAAUAAAUAAAUCCGGAUCAACAAAUCACAGUUUUGGGCAAUGAGUUGUCUGAACUCACGCCUUCUUCGGGGAACCACCUAAACUCUCUUAAAUCCCAAUUUUAUCCUGUUUUGAAUCAUGUAUUUUUCUAGUUUCAACAUCUGAAAAUUCUAAUUUCAAAUAUGCAUUCUAUUCUGUUCUGAAUUAUCAUGGCAUAAUUUGAAUUGGUGUCGUCACACCAAGACUUGCAAGUCCUAUUUCUGAGCCAUAAUGUAUCAUGCAUAAUUCUUUCAUGAAAAUACAAUUCAGACCACUCAAAUAUGCAAACAGUAUAAAAGAUUUCAUGUUCCAAAAACACAAGUCAAUACUAUGCAAGAAUACUUCAAACAUGUGGUGGUCAUGUACUUUUGGCAAAAUCCAUGCACUCUUUCAUUAUAUAUAUUUUCAACAUUUUUCGAUACAAACAACCCUCUCUUUUGAAUUCAAGAUUCAUAACCAAAUCAUUCAUAAAUCAAGACACUUCGUAACAUGCUUUUCAAGAUGCAUUUCAAAACAAAUCAUAGCAUAUCAUGAGUAAAGGAAAAAUCAUAACAAGAGAGGGAUUUUCCAUGAGUCCUGCUCUCAAUUCAAUCAUCAAUCUUUAAAACACAUCCUUACAUAUAUAUACAAUUUCAAAUCAAUUUGGGGGAAGGUCAAAAGAUCAAAACAAUACCGUCCAGAUUUCUAAAACAUGAUUGUAUUCAUAAAUCUGAAAACCCCUUUCUUAAAAUCAUGAUUUCUAUGCCCAUGAGAUUUUAGGAAAACUCCGCGUACCUUAAAUUAGAAGCUUUUGAAUGAACUCUAGCUUUUGAGAUGCUAUACGUACGAUUGAUGGGUGCCUCUUGUAGCCCUCGCAAUGGGGAUUCCGAAUCUUGAAGAAUUAGGGAAAACCCCACGGUUGAAUCUUGAGUUAUCUAGGUUUUUAGAUUGAAACCCUAGAGAGUGUUCUUGGGUAAUUUGGGUGAAUAAAAUCAUAUUUUGGUGUUUUGGGAGUUUAAUCCCGUGUUAUACCUGGAUAAGGGGAGGAAGAUACCCAUUUUUCCCUUAAAAACGCGGAAACAGUAUCUUAAAAUUUGGAGCAUGCGAUAGGGCGUGCGUCGCACGCUUAUCGCAUGCUGCUACUAUCUCAGUCACUAAAACGGCCAUAACUUUUCGCUCGGGUAUCGGAUUUGGACGAAAUUGGUAUCGUUGGAAAGAUUAUUCCAAGACCUUUCAUUUGAUAUAUAGUAGGAUUUCUAAUUCAUCAUAUACCAUGAGUUAUAGUUGAUGGAAGUUGACCCAAGUUUAAACAUCCACUAAAACUUAUUCAAUUGAAAUGUUUUCAACUCAUCUUAGAGUUAGGGGAUUUUUGUGAACUCAAUUCAUAUUCAAAGGUAUUCUUACACUAUAUGAUUGAUCACCACACAUAUAUUAAUGAGGAAACAUCUAGUUCAGUUCUAUACGCGUAAGGACGAUAGUCUUAAUUCUAGCCCGAAAUUACAAACUUAGUUAAUGAACUAGGACAAGAGAUAGAAGAUUUAGAUUUAAACAACCUAGUAAUCAAUAAUUUAAUGAAUGUUACUCAAGAAUGUGUACAUGAAUUCCAAAGAAACAAAGGCCUAGACAGCAAUAGAUGUCGUAUAUGUAAUUGGUAUCCCAGCAAAGACAAUAGAGCUAAAUGGAAAAAAUGUUACCUAGAAGCAUGUAUAAAUUGUAUAGAAAAUACUCUAAAAAUAAAAGUAGAAUCAGAGAUAAAUAACGGACAAAAAUAUACGAACAAUCAAAUCCUAAACCUAAGGGUGUCUACUUUAGAAACCCGAUUAAAUGAUCUAGAACAAAGAUUAACUAUUCUAGAAAAAGGAAAAACAAAAAUCACCAUAGAAGAAACGGAUACCCAAGAAGCGGUACAUUUAGAAAAAUUAGAAGCAGAACUUAUGAAUUUAGAAGAUAAUAACACUAGUCUAAUAUGCAACGAAGAUAAAGAAUUCUCUACCAUAAAAGUCUUAGUAAAAAUCAAAAUAAAAGACGUAGAAAUAGAAACUCUAGCAUUAAUAGAUCCAGGAUGUACUAGCUGUUUAAUCAAUAAAGAAAUAGUACCCAAACACUUAUUAAAAAUACUUGAAAGACCUAUAAUGGCCACUCAAAUGGAUGGAUCAUAAAAUAUUUAUCGGUAUUACAUAGAAAAAGCGCAGAUAAGUUUUCUAAAUAAUUGUAAUAAAUUUUAUAACCCAGUUUAUAACGUUAAUAGGAUAAUAACAAGAGAUUUAAAUAUAGGAUCAGAUUUUGUUAUAGGACUAAAAUUUUGUGUACAGAAUAAGGGAGGAUGUCUCUUAACAAGAGAUGGAAUAAUGCUCUUUAAAAAUUUGACUUAUACACCAGUACAAACAAUAACAUUGCCUACAGUAUUUAGAAAACUAAAUACAAGUAAAAAGAAAUCGCUUCCAGAACCAUGUUGCAAAGAUUGCCAAAAUAAUCAAUACAGCAACCCGUUAAAAGAAAAUCUGGAAGAAGUUAGAAACUAUUCUCUGCUUAAUGCAGAAGGACAAGAAUGCUUAACUAAUAUAGAAAAGGAAUAUACACUAAUAAGUAUAGAAACUCAGUUUUAUAAUUUUAGAAAAGGAAUAGAUAAAAUAGGAAUAAUAAACAGUCCAAAAGAUUUAGAAAAUAUAAUAUCUAUAUUAGACAAAAUGGAGAUAAUAGGAGAAAGGCCAUUAGCCCACUGGGACGCCAAUGAAAUAAUGUGUAAAUUAGAUAUAAUUAACUCAGAGUAUACAUAAAAACAGCACCUGUAGAAGCAAAUAAUGAAGAUACUAAAGAAUUUGAUAUACAGAUAAAAGAACUCUUACAAUUAGGAGUAAUAAGAAGAUCCACCUCUAGACAUAGAUCAGCGGCAUUUAUGGUAAGAAAUCAUAGUGAACAAAUAAGGGGUAAAGCUCGUAUGGUAAUUAACUACAAAAGAUUAAAUGAUAACACCAGAACAGAUGCUUACAAACUACCAGAUAAAAGUGAGUUAAUUAAUAGAAUUCAAAAUAAAAAGGUUUAUAGUAGAUUUGACUGUAAGUCAGGUUACUGGCAAGUCAAAAUGCACCCAGAUAGCAUAGAAUGGACAUGGACAGCAUUCACAUGUCCAAGCGGACAUUUUGAAUGGUUAGUUAUGCCGUUUGGAUUAAAAACAGCUCCGCCCAUUUUUCAACGAAAAAUGGAUAACAUAUUUGGAGAAUAUAAACAUUUUAUCUUAGUAUACGUAGAUGAUAUUUUAGUAUUUAGUCAAACCAUGCAAGAACAUUUAGGACACUUACAAGUAAUUUUUAGACUAUUUGUUAAACAUGGUAUAAUAAUAAGUAAAAAGAAGAUGGAGUUAUGCAAAACUUAUAUUAAUUUUCUAGGAAUAACUCUAGGAAAUGGAAAAGUAAAACUACAACCACACAUAGCAAAGAAGGUACUAGAAAUGCCAGAUAAAUUAGAAACAACAAAAGAUUUACAAAAAUUCUUAGGAUUAGUAAAUUAUGCACAAAAUUUUAUUCAAGAUUUAGGAAAAAUAGCAGGACCAUUAUAUGCAAAAACAGGUAGUAAAGGGCAGAAAAAUUUCAAUAUAGAAGAUGUUAAAUUAGUCCAAAAAAUAAAAGAAAAAUAAAAAAUAUCUCAGACCUAAAAAUUCCAUUAGAAUCAGACUAUUUAAUUAUUCAAACAGAUGGAAGUGACUUAGGAUGGGGAGCUAUCUUAAAAGCAACACCUAAUAAAUAUAGUAAUAAAAAUGAAGAACAAAUAUGUGGAUACCAGAGUGAGGCAUAUAAAGAAAAAGNNNNNNNNNNNNNNNNNNNNNNNNNNNNNNNNNNNNNNNNNNNNNNNNNNNNNNNNNNNNNNNNNNNNNNNNNNNNNNNNNNNNNNNNNNNNNNNNNNNNNNNNNNNNNNNNNNNNNNNNNNNNNNNNNNNNNNNNNNNNNNNNNNNNNNNNNNNNNNNNNNNNNNNNNNNNNNNNNNNNNNNNNNNNNNNNNNNNNNNNNNNNNNNNNNNNNNNNNNNNNNNNNNNNNNNNNNNNNNNNNNNNNNNNNNNNNNNNNNNNNNNNNNNNNNNNNNNNNNNNNNNNNNNNNNNNNNNNNNNNNNNNNNNNNNNNNNNNNNNNNNNNNNNNNNNNNNNNNNNNNNNNNNNNNNNNNNNNNNNNNNNNNNNNNNNNNNNNNNNNNNNNNNNNNNNNNNNNNNNNNNNNAUUCAUUUCGGACCAUUUAAUUUAAUUGCAUACCCUGAGAGCAACAUAUCCUUUAAAGUAAGACCAGAUUACGUUUUAGACAGACCCCAAAGGUGUUUAGUAGAUAACCUCUGGAUCUCUUAUAAUAGACAAAACCGUAAUCAUUUCAUGGCAUCUAUGAACUCUUUAUGCCAUUACAUGGCAGAAAAAAGUAGGCCUCGUUUUAAAUACUAUGUAGUCAUUCAUGGAAAAACUAACGGAAUUUUCCAAACAUGGUUAGAAGUAUUAGACUCCAUACAAGGUUUUAAAGCCCCUCUUUUUAAAGGUUUUAAUGAUUUUACCGAAGCCACCAAUCAUGCUAGAGGAUAUUUAGGGCCAAAUUAUUAUAUAUCUCCUUCCCUUAGACAAAAUCCAGACCAAAUACCCCAGUAUAAUUUGCAAAAAGAGACUGGAAAGAUUAUUUUUUGCAACCAUUGUUCUUCAAUGACGGAGAAUUUCAAAAAGCUAAAUGCUCAAAAAGAAUCACUCCUCAUGAAAAACACUAGAUUGAUCAAACAACUACAAAUGUUAGAAACAAGACUCAGCCAGCAGAAUCUAGCUAGCAAAACAGAUGCACAAACUCAGACUCCAGCUCAGAGUUCCCCAUCUCCUCAAAAAAUGGAUGAGAAGGGUGUGCAUUUCCCACUAAAUGCUAAGAAAUCCACUGUACCGGAUGUUGGUACAGCUAGUCCGGUUCAAAAGGUGAUUGGUAAAGACAAAUCAAAUCCGUUAAUGGCUGUCACUUUGCCAAAAAGUGAGGAUGAAGGGUGUUCUUCAUCAAACGCUAAAUUAACAAGAUCUGGAAAUAGGAUUUUAAAGAAGACUUUAAUAUCUAAAAGAAAAAAUGAAACAAUAGAGACAAUAAUUAAACAGACGUUAGACAGAUAGACACAAGAUAAAUACAUAAAUGGAUAGCCAGACGAACAGCCCACUAAUCUAGACAGAGUUGUGCCAGAGAUAAAAAAUACAGAUAAUAAUUCAGCAAGAUCAGACGAAGAAGAUAGUAUUGCACAAUUCCAGGAUGCCCAGGAUCCAUAUGAAGACAACGACUCAGGCAUGAGCUUCGACUCCAUUGCCCUGCACAACUUGGACACAUAAAGAUAAUCUACAGUUUCCACAGUUUGUAUUAUUAGCUAGCAUAGUCAAGUGGGGAUGCCUACUUUAUGUCUUGUAAUAAUCAGAGUCAGAGUGCUUCCUUUAUCACUACUUUCCAAAAGAAAGAAAAACUGUUGAAGCAUGCGUCAAAGUAAGUCUGAAAGAAAAUUAAUAACGCAUGUGACGAUGGGGCCCAAAGAGUACCCGACUUGCAUUAUUAAAGUUUCUUUCUUAUCCCUUAUCAAAAAGUGUCGGCCAACUGUGUUGAGGCCACGUAGUAGCCCUUAGAACCUCUCCUUUAUGUAAAUUUUGCCUAUAAAAGGGGUACAUUUUGUAGAGAGAAGAUAGAGUGAAAUCAACCAACUUCACUACCUACUGAAAAUGUGCAAACCUUUCCUCCAAAAAAAACUCGAAGCCAGUCUUUCUUGUAUAAAUUUUGUAUCAGUCAGCUUGCUUUAAAUAAAAGUUCCAACUUUUUUAUUUGAUCUCAAGGGGGUUCCCGAAAGGGAAACCUCUCUCCUAAGUUACUUCAUGUAAGUUCUUAUUUACGUAUUUUCCCCACAAAAAUAUUUAUCUUUAUGUUUUUUAUGUUUUUAUAUCGAUGAUUAAAGUUAUUCUACAUAUCUCUGUACAUCCUGUAAAUUAGUUCUCUUUAUAAAAUCUUACCCUUAGUAUAUGGUUAGCCUUUUAAUUUCUUAAUAACAACGAUGGAUUAACCUAUAAAUUCCUAGGAAUUCUGGCCUUAAUAGUCCACCAGGUCUGCAAAAUAGACACAGGACGAGUGUUAGUUGCUAGAUAAAAAUAUUCCGGGGUGUGGUUAAAGAAGUAAAGUGUUAAGAACAUAGAUUAAGCGGAAGAGAUGAACAGGGUAAGUUAAAAAAAAAAACUCUGGGGAAAAUAUAACCUGUAAGAACGAUAAAAAUGAAGAAGCUAUGAGAGAGAGGGAGUACUGAGUAGGUUUUACACAAAACUGACAAAUUUCCAUCACUAUUCACUAAAAAAUAUAUCUUUUUGCUAAAAUAUAUUUAUAUAUAUAUUCAACAUUUAUCAACAUGUAAAACUCCGUCUCAUCAAUUUGAAAAUCAAUCUUAAAUCAUUCAACAAUAGUCAAGAACAUUGAUACCAUAUUUUCUAAAUAACAUUCUUCAACUCAUAACAUUCUAAAUCAAGAGGUGUUGCAACAUGUGGGGGAGCGUAAUUAGUCAUGCUCUCAAUUCAAUUAUCAACUUUAACACACAUAUACAUACAUAUAUAAGAUUACAAAUCAAUUUGGGGGAAAGGCCUCAAGACCAAAACUUCAUCAUCAAUAAGGUUUCAUAAUAAAUAAAAAAUUGUAGAUCCAAAAUCCCUUUUUGUAAGAUCAUGAUUUCCAAACACUUAUUCAUCAUUAAAAUUAUUUCACCAUGCCCAUCUAGUUUUAGGAAAAUUCCACGUACCUUAGAUUAUCAUAUUAGAAAUAUGGAACCCGAGUAUUGAUCUAUUUCCUUGAAAUCUUGGCUGAAGAGUUAGGGAUUUUUCUUGUUCUUGGGAAAUAGAGGAUGAUUUCAAUUGUAGAGAAUGUGAAUUUGGGGUUGAAGGGGCUGUUUUAGGACUGAAAUUAUGUGGUUUGGAUGAUUGGGGUCAAGGGAAAAAGACUAAAAUACCCCUAAGGAAACAAAAAAGUCGCAACAGUCCCUCACUUGACAGACUGACAUACUGAAGUAAAUUGGGCAUUACUUCUUACUCCGAUGCUGAAUUUGGAAGAAAUAAGUUAAGCUGUAGAGAGGACUCAUCUUUUCAUUUGAUAUAUAGUAUGCUUCCCAAUUCUUUAUAUACAGAAAGUUAUGGUCGAUGAAAGUUGACCCUAAUCUGUGGCCAAACUAUGCCCAGUCUGCUCCCCAUCUGCUGAAGCAGAUGCAAGGCAGAUUAAACCAGUGUGUUCUGCCCCUGAACAACGCCCAAUCUGCUCCCCAUCUGCUGAAGUAGAUGCAAAGUAUAGUAAACCAGUGUGUUCUACCCCUGAACUGCGCCCAAUCUACUCCCAAUCUACUGAAGAAGAUGCAGAGCAGAUUAAACCAGAUUGGAUGGAAAAUACUCCACUUUGCAGAGUCAUAACUUUUAGCUCGGGUAUCGAAUUUAGGCGAAAUUGGUACCGUUAGCAAGAUACUUCUAAGACCUUUCAGUCUAUAUAUAGUAGGCCUUCUAUUUCGUUGUAUACAAGAAGUUAUGGUCGACAAAAUUUGACCCAAGUUGGAGUGUCCACUAAAACUUAAUCGAUGAAAUAGUUUUUGAACUCGUCCGAGGAUUUUUGUGACCUCAAUUCAUAUUCAAAGGUAUUCACACAUUAUAGGAUUGAUCAUCACACAUGUAUUAACAAAUAAUCAUUGGGUUCGGGCCUUUACGCAUAGGAACGAUGGUUAAAACUUUAGCCCAAAAGUAUGGGGUGUUACAGAUAAGUUUAUCAUCGGACAUCGAAGAGUUAUCUACUUUAUUUGGGUUCUUCUUAGUUAAUACAUAAGAAAUGUUGAGAAGACUAAGUACAAUAAAAGCAACUUUACCCUUCCACCUCUUGAAGUGAGUAUUGUUGAACUGGAAUGGCUUGUUAAGAACAUCCGCAGAUUUUUCAGUUGUUUCCAUUGAAUCCUCAUAAAAUUAUUGUUGAAAUUACAAUAAAAUUGCAACUAAAAAAACAAGUGAAGAAAAUAAAAUAUGUAGUAAUUCGCAUAUACUGCCAUUAGAGGAAAAAUGUGCUCGUUUUUUUUUUUUGGAGCUGUAUAGUGUGAUCAACAAAUACAUUCGCUAAACUCUAAAUUAAUAAUCAUGAUUAAAGAUACACUUUAAUAUAAAUAGAUAUUAAUAUGCUCUUAAUCCAUCAAAAUACUUGUUAAGUUGUUAGAUUUCCUAUUGAAUAAAAACUUAAAGUACUUUUGCGUGAAGUAUGUAAAACAUACUUAAAAUAUCACUUUUUUUUAGUCUCACGCCUAAACUAUGGGAAGUGUAAGAAACACGUCUAAACUAGCACUUAUUCUUUUGAGAAACACAUGUAAAAGAUGACUAGACCAAAUAUUUGCUUACAAACUUAUUUAGGUGUGUCUAGCCAUUAAAAAUUAAUUCAUGUGGCAUAUUUUUAUUCUUUUUUGUUAACACAUUAUUUUUUCACUUUUAAUUAUUUUUUUGUUAAUUUUGAUGUGUGUUUCUCAAAUUAAAAAAUGAUAAUUUAGUUGUGUUUUUUACACUUCAUACUUUUAGCAAAUUAAUACUUUUUGCAAAUUAAAGGUAGUCCCGAUAAUGGAGUGAUAUUCACUUUAUGAGUAAAAAAGUUUUCCUUUCUUUUUUUAAAAUAACUAUUUAUCUCCUUAGCUUAGCUGGAGAUUUGCUUUGAUACUCCUUAUUAUAUAUUAUUGUUUCUUUAUUGACUUAUUAGUCCACUAAAUAUUAGUGGCAGGAAGCUAAUAUAGCACAAAAGUUGUGAUUGGUACAACAAGUUGGCUAAGAAUUUUUUUUAAUAUAUCAAUGAGGUAUAUUUUUAAAGCCAUUAUCAAUCAGGAAUCAAUUUUUUCUUACAAUUGCUUUGGUGCAUAUUUCAAACCAUGGUAUUUCAUAAAUUUACACACUUUAAUUUCUUGGCCAGCGUCAACAGCUCGGAUUGUUCCAUAUAAAUCUCCUCAUUUAGAUCUCCGUUUAAAAAAGCAGUUUUUACAUUCAUUUGAUGAAUUUGUAAAUAAAAAAUUGUUGCAAUAGAAAUUAAAAGUCUAAUGGAUGUAAUUCUAGUUACCGGAGAAAAAGUGUCAAAAAAUUCUAGGCGUUCUAGUUAUUUAAUAACUUUAGCCAGUAGCUAGUUUGUAUUUAUCAACAGAUCCAUUCGGUUUCAACUUUUUACGUAAGACUUAUUUACAUCCAAUUGCUUUACAAUGCAGUGGUAAAUUAACUAGCUUCCAAGUUUUAUUGGAAAUUAGUGAUUCAAUUUCAUCAUUUACAGCCUUUUCCCAAAAAAUAGCAUCAUGCAAAGAUAAAACUUCUUUUAAAGUUAGUGAGUCAUCUCCAACAUUAAAAACAUAACAAUCAGGACCAAAAUUUUGUUUCUACUCUAGCUCGUUUACUUCUUCUUAACUCAAUCAUAAUUUUUUUUAUUUUUCAAAGUAAAAGUAGAAGAACUAGGUAGUGAUAAAAUAUUUUUUUUUUGUCUCAUGACCCCCAUUAUUUUAGAAUCAAAAAGUGCACAAGACUCAAUUAACAUGACAUUAGUCAAUUCAACCAAAGUUCUAUUCUCCCUUUUCGCUAUCGUUAGAUGCAGGAUAACAACGAGGAGUAGUUUCAUGAAUUAUACCCAGCGAUCUAAUAAAAGAAUGAACUCAUUUGACUCAUAUUCAUUGUCUCUAACACUUCUUAUUCUUUUUAUUUUUCUACCAAACUGAUUUUCAAUUUCAUGGAGAAAAAUUUAAAGUUCUCAAAAGCAUUACUUUUAUUUUUUAUUAUGUAAACUUAGUAAAAUCAUCAAUGAAAGUAGUAGAAUAUCAGUUUCCUCCACAAGUUAAAAUUCCUUCAAGUUCACAAAUAUCAAUAUGAACUAAUUCUGAUAAAUCAAUUUUUAUUUCAACUUGAAAAUGAUUUUUUUUUUUUUUGUGAUUUUGGCUUUAAUACAAGCCUAACAUUUUUUAAAAUUCUUUUUGAUCACUGGAAUUAAUCCUAUACUACUAAUGAUUCCCACAUAACGAUCAUUUAUAUGACAUAAACGAGCAUGCCAAAAAUUAGUAGAAUAAAGAAUGUAAACAGAAGUAUAUGUUUUAUUCAUCUCAACAUUCAACUGAACAUACCAUCACAGGCAUACCCCUUUCCCAAAAAAGCAUUAUUUUUCACAAUUACAUAUUGAUCUGAUUCAAUAAUUUUUUUGAAGCCUAUUAAGAUUCUCAUAGAAGGAGUAUAAAGUACAUCUUUUAGGAUUAAUAUCCUUCCAGAAGUAAACCUCAACUCGACAUCUCCCGACUUGAGUUGUGUGAGAAUUUUCAAGCAUGAUGGUUUUGAGUUCCUCAAAAUUAGUAUAUUUUAAAUCAGUCUUUGUCAUGCCCACUAUCCAUCAACAUUCUCUACUAUGUUUAUGUUUGUUAUCACCACCACAAAUGGUUCUUUGAUAAUAUUUGCCUGAGGUGUAGGCCCAUGUUUUCAAAAUUUGCAAAAUAGAGCAAUAUGCUCGUUCUUGCCACAAACAAAGCACAAUCCUUUUAAUUGUACAUGUAUUUUUUGCUUGGUUAUUUAUACCAUUAUUGUCUUUGGGAUGUCUACCAUCAAUUUUUUUGAAUUUUUUCUUCUUAAGCUUCAAAGUAGUAUUUUUGUUAGUUUGAGGGGUAGCAUUAUUUGAAGUUAUUAAAUUUACCUUCGGUGUGAUGUUGUUUUGUUCUGUUUACAAAAGUGAAUCUUUGCCCCGUGCUACUUCUUCCAUGCAGAUUCUCAUUAUCAAAGUCACAAGAGAAGUUUUCUUUUUCUUGUGGCACGUAGUUUUUUAAAAUUCUUUCCAUGAAGGUGGAAGUUUAUCAAUUAUGCCACAAACAGUAAGGUUAUCUCCAAUUUUAACUUUUUUCAGACCUGAGCUCUCCAACAACAUUAUGAAGUCCUAAACUUGGUCUACCACUGAUUUGUUGACCACCAUUUGGAAUCGAAAAAAUCUUCUAGCAAAUAUUUUUCUACUCCUGCCUCCUCUAUGUCAUACUUACUCUGUAAGGUUUUCCAAAUUUUCUUUGCACUGGAGUAAGUUCUAUCAUAAUAAUCAUAAAAAUUAUUAUAUAGACAAUUAAAAAGAAAAUAUUGACACUUGUAGGAGUCACCGUCGUACUUUUCAACUUUCUCUUGAAGAGAGAUAAGUUUACCAUCGACCAUUGAAGAGUUAUCUAUUUUUUUUGGGUUCUUCUAAGUUAACACAAGAAACGUUGAGAUGAUUUAAGUAGAAAAACACUUUGCCCUUCCAUCUCUUGAAGUGAGCAUCGUUGAACUGGAAUGGUUUUUUAAGAUCUCCCAUCUUGACUUUUUAUGGAUUUUUCAGUUGUUGCCAUUGAAUCUCCUUAAAAUUAUUGGUAAUAUUAUAAUAAAAUUACAACUGAAAAUUAUAAGUAAAAAAAAAAAAAUGAAUAGUAAUUGACAUAUAAUGCCAUUAGAGGUAAAAUGUGUUCAUUGUUUUCAUUUUGGAGCUGUAUAAUGAGAUCAACAAAUUCAUGCACUUAACUCUAAAUUAAUAAUCAUGAUUAAAGAUAUACUUUAAUAUAAAUAAAUAUUAAAAUGCUCUUAAUUCAUCAAAAUACUUACUAAGUUGUUAGAUGUCCCACUGAUAAAAAAUUAAAAUACUUUUGAGUGAAGUAUGUAAAACACACUAAAAAUAUCACCUUUUUUUGAGUCUCAAACCUAAACUAUUGGUACCGUAAGAAUAUCAUCUAAACUAUGACCUAUUAGUUUAAGAAAUACAUGUAAAAGCUGACUAGACCAAAUAUUUCCUUUCCAACUUAUUUUGGUGUGUCUAGCUAUUAAAAAUUAGUCCACGUGGUAUAUUUUUAUUCUUUUUUGCUAACACAUUAUUUUUUAUUUUUAAUUGAUUUUUAUUAAAUUUGAAAUGUGUUUCUCAAAUUACUAAGUGAUAGUUUAGGUGUGUUUCUCACAUCCCCAAUAAUUUUAAUAUGAAACUCCAAAGGAAAAAAGGAGGGAUAAUUUAGGUGAUAUUCUUUUUUUUUUUUGAAAUAAAAGAAUUAAAUAAACAUUUAGGAAAGUGGAACAUGUACGGCCACUGUAGAAGCUUCAACUUCAUAAUCUGGGUCAAAAUUCUACUGAAAAAGGAAUGGGUUCUGAUUGUUUGCUAUAAGAUUACUCCCACGUUACUCAUAAUCUGGAUGAAUGAGUUCCAUCUUCCAGCGCCUCUAAUAAUCGAUGAAAAGGUAAAUCAUCUUCGAUUUCUCAAGUAGUUGGAACCCCCCAUAUUAGCUCGUUUCUUGACCUUAACUCGAUUUCUCUACUGGUGCAUGAAGUCAAGAUUAGGAUCUCUAACUUAUAUCUGGAAGCUGAAAUGAAUCACAUCAACUUAUGAGCUCAGGUACAUCUAACACCUUUCAAAGUAAUUUUCGAUUUCAUUACCUUUCCUUCUAUGGAUUGAAUUCCAAAGGAAUUAAUACCAACUUAUGAAUUCAAGAUACUAAAAUUGAUUAUUACUCCAAUAGUGUUAUACUUGAAACACUGUAACUGAGUGAACCAAUCUUGGGCUACGAUGAAGAAUAUGAAUGGUGUUGUUAAGUCCUGGUUUAGUACCCAAUGAACACCUCAAUGCUCUCACCAGCUGCAGGUACUGUCAACCACUAGAAAUUGCUUCAGACUUCCCAAUCAACUAGUCAAAAAUUCACCAGUAGCCUUACUUGUAUCUCUGUAAUGAAACAUGGACAGUAAAACUUAAGAUUUGAACUUAUCAGUUGGAAUUGCUUGAUAUAUUUAUUUUCCUGAUUCUCAUGCUUAGAGUGUUGAUCUUGUCAAGAUUAAUAAUCUUUUUCCCUGCACUUGGGACUUCCUGAAUUGAGCUGAAUUCAUAUGUACCUGCAAAACUAAAAACUAAGUUAGCAAAAAAAUUAGCAAGAGUAUUUCCCUCCCUUAAUGAGUGUUGUACUCUCACUGAUAGGCCAUUUCUGAUCCUGUUAAUAGUCUUGACCUCUUUAGAAACAGUCCAAGGAAUCUCCCAAUCUCCAUUGAUAAUGUUAACCAUAGCCAAAGAGCCAGUUUCCAGGAUAAUGUUGGAGCCCUUCCCUUAUAGCUCUAGCCUCAUCCACUAGGUUAGUUGUAUCAGAAAACCUUUAGCUCCUACAAAUUCUCCUUCAUGAUUUCUCAAACAAAAAGCAGCAACAUUGGACCUGGGUUAUCUUUAGAGGCCCAUCAGUAGUACAUGUUAACCAACCAAAAGGAGGAGCCAUCCACCUAACAACUUUACAAUGAAAAUUAGGUCUAUAAUUUUCCAAAAGAGAAACCAUUUGGGUCCAAUUAUUAGGAAAAGAAAAAUUCAACUUUAACCUAAUAAAUUUACAUAUAGAAUCAUUAAUGUCCCAUAAAACCUUAUUUCUAGAGUAUGAACCACCAUAAAGAAUUGUAUCCCUCCUCUUUCAUAGAAACCAUAGGAUGAUGUUAGGAAGUGCCUGAAAGAUUAUUUUCUAUCUAAUAUUACCUUGAAAAACCCACCAUCUCUUCAUAGUCUGUUUAACCUGUACCUAAGGGCCUAAGAGACCAGCAUAUCUAGCAUAGUAAUCCCAUAUAAAAAUAGCUUCUUCCCCUGUCAAGAAUAGGUGCUCUAUGGUUUCCCUCAUGGGAAUUCUACAACACUGACAUAUCUGGGAAAUGGUAGGAUUGUAGGCAGCCAUGACAGCAGCCACAAGAACCCUAUGUGUCCAUACCCUCCAUUCGAAAAAAGAGAUUUUGAAAGGAAGCCCCUUCACCCACAACAUCAUAAAAUCAUUAUUAGGAGCAAAUUUCUUUCUUAAAAUUUCCCAAACAGAUUUGACAGUGAACUUACCUGUAUUAUUCUUUAUCCACCAAGGUUUAUCCAUUUCUCUAGUCUGUGUAACAUUUCCCAUAUUCAUCCUAACAUGCUCAACAGUAUUACUAGGCAAAUGUUCUUGCAUGAGUUCAUAAUCCCAACCAUUUUCUGUCAAGAACAUAUCAGUAUCUGUUAGAGAAUGACAUCCGAGAACAUUAGUAGGUUGAACAUAUAAUGGUCCAAGAUUAGUCCAAUUAUCAAACCAAAUGCUAGAUGAAUCUUCCCUUGGUUACCACCACAAAUUCUGUUCAACAAUCUCUCUAUUUUGCAGCAUGUGUUUCCAUACUUCAGAACCACCUUUCCAUUGAACAAGAGCGGGAAUUUGUUUUUUUGCAGUACUUGUUUCACAUGAAAUUAGCCCAUAAUGAAUUUUGGGUCCUGAAUUUCCACCAAAGCUUGGCAAACAUAGCUUGAGAUAUAUCACCCAUAGAUUUAAAACCCAAACCACCUUCAAUUUUAGGUAAGCAAACCUUAUCCCAAGAAGCCCGAUACUUGCUCCUACCUAAAAUUUAUUACUCCAGAAGAAUUUUGCAAAAAUUCUAUGAAGCUCUUUCAACACACAAUUAGGAGGAACAACCGCCGAUAACACAUGAAUUGGAGUACUUUGUAAAACACUAGUGAUUAACACUUCCUUGCCCCCGAAGGACAACAUGUUGCCUUUCCAAGCUUGAAGUUUGUCUCUCACCCUUCUAAUAAGCUCAACAUAAUGCUCUUUUCUUUUCCUAGCAUGAGUGAUCGGACAACCAAGGUAUUUGAAUGGAAACUAACCCCUGAAAAACCUGUGCAUUCUUCCACUAAUAUUUUUAAAUCUGUAGCAACACUCUGAUGUAUAAAGAAAUAUCUCUUUUCUUUAUUAAUUUUCUGACCAGACUGAACUUCAUAUUCAUGUAAAGUUGACACAAUCUUUUUCAAAGAAUAUUUGUCAGCAGAAGAAAAAAUAAUAGUAUCAUCUGCAUAUGCAAGAUGAUUCAAUUGUGAACUCCACUUAGGAAGACCAUAACCAAUA
rnacentral:lncRNA from 1 species